rnacentral:lncRNA from 1 species
UUCUUCCGCGAGUCGAUGCUGAAGAAGGGGACUGUGAUGCCAAUGCCGGACAUUAGGGAUAAAAUGCCCAAAAGGUCGUUUUUGCCCCGCAGUAUUUCCUCCAAAUUACCGUUUUCAACCUCCAAACUCGAGGAGAUGAAGAAAAUAUUCCAUGCCGCGGAUAACUCAAGCAUGGAGCACAUGUUCACAGAGGCAUUGGAUGAUUGCGAGAGAGCACCCAGCAAAGGCGAGACCAGGCGCUGCGUCCCCUCCAUCGAGGACAUGAUCGACUUCGCCACCACCGUCCUCGGCCGCAACGUUGUGGUUCGCACCACCCAAUCCGUCGAAGGGUCAAAACAAAACGUAAUGAUCGGGUCGGUCAAAGGGAUCAACGGUGGACAAGUCACCAAAUCGGUGUCCUGCCACCAGAGCCUGUUCCCUUAUCUACUCUAUUACUGCCACUUCGUUCCCAAGGUUCGGGUCUAUGAAGCGGACCUCCUGGACCCGAAAACCAAAGCCAACAUUAACCAUGGUGUUGCCAUCUGUCACUUGGACACCUCCGAUUGGAGCGCAGGUCAUGGUGCAUUCGUAGCAUUGGGUUCGGGCCCUGGCCGGAUUGAAGUUUGUCACUGGAUCUUCGAGAAUGAUAUGACCUGGACCAUUGUAGACUGAUUCAUGACCCACCUUGUCAGCUCAGUUCGAACCACUUGGUCAACCAAGCUGGCGCGACCCCGACAUCUGCUUGUUCGUUUCCUUCAUAACGAGUCAUGGUGAAAUAUUUCAAGGCAUUUGCUUCAUCUAUGUAAGGAUGGUAAUUUAUCUCAGUUGUGCGAGAGCUAAGGAAGGAUUAAAAUGUUGAAAAUUAUAAAAAUAUGGGUAGUUAAAAUUUAGAUAAAUAUAGAAAAAUGUUGGACAGAAAAUUGGUUAAAAAAUACCAGUUUAAAAGAAAUUGAUGGUAAAAUAAGUAAUAAUUUAUGAAAACUCAAAAAAAUAAAAAAUAAAUAAUAAUAUAUAUUUUAAAAUUGUUUUAUUAGAGAAAAUUAUAUAUAUAUGGAUAAAAUUUAUAAUAUUAAUUUGUAAAAGUUGAAAAUAUAUUUAUUAAACACAUUUAAUAUUAAAAUUAUUAUCUAAUUAGUAUAGAUGUAUUUAAGUCUAUAAAAGAAUGAUAAGUGUGCAUAUAUAAUAUUUAAUUAUUAUUUAAAAAUAUAUAAAAAAAAUAAAUUAAGAAGAUUAUUAUGAUGAUUUUCAGAUCCGUUGAAUGAAAUUUUAAAGUACCAUAGUUAAAAGUAAUUCAUUUAAUUUUUUUUUUAAUUUAAUAUUAAUUUCAUGUCUUGGGUUCAGAUGAUGAAGAUUUUAUUAAUAUGAUACUUCAUUCGUACGUGAAAGCAAGAGAAAAGUGACAAAAUCAGGAUAAAAUCCUAAAAUAUUAAAGAAAUAUCAUGAAAUCGAGGAGAAAUAUCAAGAGACUUUAGAGAAAUACUAGGAAUUUUCAUAGAAAUAUCAAAAAAUGUAGGAAAAAAAUAGAGAAAUACUAGUAAAUAACGACAAUAUUGGUUGAUUUUUGGCAAGCCAAGAUUUCCAUCCCUUUUUGGUAUCACGACCGGUCGAUGCACUGAAAUUUGAAGAUAUUUCAUUGAAAUAAUGUUGAUAUUUUCACCCAAAUUUCGCAACGUUUUAAUCUUUGAACCUAACAAAUGCUUUGAUGGCUUCCGAAAGGUGGAAGGUAAUGAAUGAAUGGCUUUCAGUAAUCAGUAUUAGAACAAUGGUGCUUCGCUGGGGCUUCAUUUCCUAAUAAUGGCCUAGAAAUCUAUGAAAGAUGCAAAAUUGAUGUGAGGUCCACGUGAUGUACAUGGACAAAAUUGCUCUUUUAUUAUUUAAGCAUGUGAUAGUUGUGGAAAUGGGCCAAAGAAUUCUCUCAUUACAUGGAUGCAUAUGUGAUGGAUAACAUGACAAAUGCAAUAUUGCAUAAAACAAACAGGGUCAAGCCCUAGUUUUAGAAAUGAAGCUCUUGUACUCAAAACUAGGAGAAUAACGAAGACCUCUCUAACUAAGGUUAUGGCAAAGACCUCCACGAUCAGGGCAAUGGCAAAUACAUAGAUAGAAGGGAGGUUGCACAAUUGCAAAACCUUGGUGAAGGGAGGGAAAUGAGGGUGAAGUCAUGAUGGUGAAAUGACCACAAUCCAAGCCUUGGUAAGUUAUAUAUUAAUGUCCCUCCCAAUCUUAAAGUCUUGAAAUUGAUUUGAUAGGUUCUAUCAUCAGUUUGGCUUGGAAACAAACCAAGAAUCUAAAGCCUAUGAAGUAAAAGAAAAUGAGUGAUGUUAGAGAAAAUGUUAUAAAUUGAAUAGAUUUAUGUUAUUGAAAUUUCUAGAGAGUAGAUAAUUAUACAACUAUUUUGAUAAGCCGAAUACAAUAUUAAGCAAUGGAAUGAAAAUAUUAGUUUGAAAUCUUCAAAUUGAUAACAAAUGUGACAGUGGGAAUCAAGCAAGGAAAAAAAAUAUUGGGAUAUAUUAGCGAUAUAUCGGUGAUAUAUCGUGUAUCAGAGAAGACAAAUAUGAUAUAUAGAUAAGAUAUAUCGUCUGACGAAAAUAUUGGUAAAUAUCGGUGAUACAAGUAAAAUAUCGACCAUAAAUAAGAAAAAAUCGUUGAAAUUUUGGAGAUAUAUUGGAUAUAUCGAAGAUAUAUCGGUGAAAAAUCGAUAAAAAAUUAAAUUAUUAUAAAUAAGUUAAUUUUAAUUAUGCUUUAAUUUAUUUUGUAUGCUAAUUAAAUAUAAAAUCAUAAAUAAAAUUAUCAAUAUUUUUAAAUAAAAAUAUUUUGUAUCAAAAUGUACCAAUAUUUUAAAAUAAAAAUCAUAAAUAUAUUUAAAUAGCAUAAUUAGUAAAUUUGCAAUAAUUUAGUUUUAAAUUAAUUAUUUUAUUUUAUUUUGAUAUUCAAGUGUAAUAAUAGUAUAUUGAGAAUAAAUUAACUUAAUACAUUUUUAAAUUAGUAUAACAUUGAAUUUAAAUUAGUACAUUUUUAUAAUUAAUUAAUGUAUUUUUUAUAGAGGUAAGUAAAUUAACUUAAUAUAGUAAUAUAUUUAAAUCAUAUAAUUAGUAUAUUUAUAAUAAUUUAAUUUCAUAAUGAGUUUACACUUACAAAAUUCACAUUUCUUAUCAGUCGAUACUAUAUAAUUAAAUUUAAUAUUGCAAAUCAUAUCAUACAUAUAUUAAUUUUUUCAACAAAACAAUUUUAAAAUGUCUAUUAUACUUCUAAUUUCAUUUUUAAGAGUUCUUUACUUACAUUUUCAUAAGUUUUGAUGAAUUUUUUGUGUAUCGAUAUUUUGUGUCAAAAUAUCUACCGAUAUAUCUCUGAUAUAUCCGAUAUAUUUGUAAAAUCUAAGUAUCGAUAUAUCCAUGAUUACCGAUAUUUUCAUUCUUGAAAACAAGCUCAUGCAAAAUUUUGAUAUAGCUCUAGUGUUUUGCAUAAUAACCUUUUGAGGUUCAACACUCGAUGUGAGAAUAAACCAAUAUCAAAGUACCUUAUUGAUUUGUAGCCUUAUUCUAACCUAGUUGUAAAAUCUAAUAGGCUUAAUUCUUCUUAACUUUGAUAUAGUUCCCCAUAUAUGCCCCCAUUUUUAUUAAAGCUUUAGCAACUCCCAAGCCAUAAGGCUUUAGGGCACUAGGAUUAAUUAGUGAUUUUCUUCGGAUUCAUACCCUAGUUUCUGGUCAAUUAUAGGUUUUUCCACAUAUGCUUCAAUCUCAAGACACCUACAUUUUGAUGUGAACCUCAACUCUUACCUAGGAGUAAAGGGUACUAAAUUACUCAAUAGGGACUCUUGCCAAAGGCAAACCCAACAACAACUUAAGGAUAAUAAACCCAAAAUUUAUCAUACAAGAACUUAGACCCUUGAUGCCUUCAACCUACCUCACUCGUCUAUGUGCACCAUGUGUUAUAAAGGGUGAACAAGAAAUAUCCACUUGGAUUAUUAAUGGUUUAGGUUUUAAGUUGAACCAUGUUUGUUACUAGGCUACUGCCUAAUCAAGUAAUUUGACCCUUUGUAUUGAUGUAACCUAGUUUCAACUUACUCAGCCUCCAAAAUUUUGAUAAGAAAGACUCUCAAAAUUGAAUUUAGGGUAAGUGCAAGUAUGAGGUACAAGUAUGCACAAGGGUUCCUGUUUUUUUUUUUUUUGGUAAAUUUUUCAUUCUAACCCAUCCUUUACCACCCAUAUAUCAUCACAUCCUAUUCAUAUAAUAUUCAAUAACUACUCACCCCCUGACCUAACCUAAACAUUGUCCUUAAUGUUUUCAAGUAAUAGAGAAUAAAGGUAUGAAACAAUUCAACAAUGAGGAAAAAGAAGGGGGAGAUGGAAGGAUAUCCUCCCAUAGCACUGGUGAAAGUAGAAGGAUGACUUAGAGAAUUAUUUAAAAGCUAUAAAGCGAAAUAAAUAUAAAAUAAGACAAAUAAAAUAAAGAUAGGUAGGCAUUAUUUUAUUUUAUUUUAUUGUUUAAAAAUGGAUCCAAAAUAGGUGCGAAAGGUUAACUUGUUUCUUGUUAAAUAUGAGUUUGAUGGUCCCAUAACUCCAUAACAUCAAUGGGUUGUUUAAUUUUUGCACUGAAAUUAAGAGAAUAAACACGUUGAGAAUAUUCCCCUUUCAUUUAUUUUUCAGGAACUUCUUUUUUGGAACCAUGAAGAUGAUCAUAUGUAAACAGUAUUAUAUGUUAUGGAAAAAAGGAAAAAGUCGAAGUGAUAUGCUAAUUCUGAUGGUGGUGGAGGUGGUGAGAACUGAGAAGAUGGCUGUGAAGGUGGUAGUGGUGGUGGUGAAAGUCCAAGCCUCCGCCAUUUUCCAAAGGGUAAGCCAUCUGAUCAGACCAUUUUUCAGAUGGGCUUUUUGUCAACUCGAGCAAGGAGUCCCUGACAUGGUCAGCUUGAACCAUCUCACUGUCCCUCUUCUGCUACCAAGAUGAGAAAAUCAACAGAUACACAUGAAAAUAAUUUAUCAAACAGUUGAUGAGAAGUGUUCAAGGGUGGCCUUACCUCUACUUUGAACACAUUAGAAACCAGGCCUUUGCAGCUUGUUACAUUUGCAUUUGUCACUUCCAAGCCUAGAGAGCUCAGAGCCUCCAUCAGCCUCGCAAACCCGCCAGCCUUGUGCUCACAAAACACCUUAACGAAGAACUCAUUGCCUUCUAUCUGAGCCACUUCCACUUGGGGCUGCAGCAUAGUUUCAACUUUCACUUCCAAUUGAACACACAGAAAAGAGAAUCACAGAAUGGAAACAAUAAAUAUCAUCAAGUACCUCCAUCUGCUGUGCUUUGUCAUUGUUGAUUUGAUCAGUUUCAUGGUUUUGCUUAGGGAGCCUGCAGGCACUGCCAUUGCCUGCUUCUCCCAUAUGAAUCCCGUUUUGAGCUUCUUCAUUUUCAGUUUUAGACCCAAUGUUAACUCCUGAUCCAUCAUUGUUCAGAAUUUCAGAUUGGACAUUGUUAUGGUUGCUGUUGAUGCCUGCAUUAAUCUUCCCCCCUUCAUCGUCUGAAUGCUCUUCCAGCUCAUCUUGAAGAUCCUUUGCUUGUUUCUGCAACUCCUUCACAAAUUCUAUUGCAUCACCCAGAAUUGAAGCUCUAUCCAACUAGGAAUCAAAAAUACAUCAGAUAUCAGUAAAAAGUACUAAUCAUAGUGUGAAUUAAUCUUGAAGAAUCUUGACCAGGCCAAAGAAGAAUGACAGCCACCUUAGAUAUUUUGGGAACCAAAGCACGAAGCGCAUAGAGUCUAUCAUUAAGCUUCUUCCUUCGCCUCCUCUCAGCGACCAAGUUUUUUGAUUGAGUCCCUUUUCCAGUCCUCCUUCGGUACUUCAAAUCAUCAUCAUCAUCAAUCUGAUCACUGCAGUCUGAUACUGAAUCAGCUUGGUUUGCCAUUUGUUUAGUACUCGAAUCCUUAUCAUCACCCAGCUGCUCCUUGUUUGCUAGAGGCUCCAUCAUUUCUCUAUGCAUGUUUUUGGAAUUGUUAGUACACACCAUCAUGGAUUUCUGCAUUGCCUCCAUCUCCUGAAAUCCACAAUCUGAGGACAUAAAGGGGUUAAUCACCUUCUCUGAAAGAAAUGAGCCAUCGGAUCCUUCAAAGAAGAUAUCAUUCUUGACGCUACUCUCAGAGGUGUAACUGAAUUGCUGCAAGAAGUUCAUGGGAGAGCUGCAUAGGCGGAUUCGUUCAACUGAGAUGUCAAAUGGCAGAUCAUUCAAGUUCUCCAAUGCUGUUACUGGGGAAAUUGUUGCCUGGAAAUGAUUGUUGGGAUCCUUUUCCUCAUCUGCAUUGCCUGCAUUGGCAUUAACUGAGAAGAUUGUAUCAAUAUUGCUUGAAUUCAUCAUGGCUUCCUGCUCCAUCAAGAUUAUGUUGCACUGUGUUGUGACGAAGUUUACUACGUGUUGAUCCUCAGCUACCUAUUUCAAUAAAUAAAUGAAGUUACCAAUUUCAUUUUCAUCAUGAAAAGAUCAUUUUUCUUCAAAUCAACCUGAAAAUACUAUGUUAAGAACUGAUCAGGCACAAUUUGAUGCAGCUAAUUAAUAUUUUCAACAUUAUACGAAACAUUAAUAGUACUUGAUUAGCAACAAACAGUUCAAUUAGUCCUCCCAGCACUGGAAUCAAGAGCCUGGUCCCAACUGUUUCCUGCAAAAACCCAAGUGGAAAAUCAUUAUCUCGAUUGGGGAUAUGGCCUAGUUUAAAUAGGAAUUUGGAAUACUACUCACUUCGAGAACGCUUGAAUCUGAACUAUUACAGAAGUUGAGCCAUCUGGGUUGGUUUGAAAUCAAGGUCUGUCCAUGAAUGCUGCUUAUAAGCAUCUAUGUCAGGUGAAGUUUUAACUGUAUGUCAUUUAAGGCGAAAAGGCUGAAAAAAAGGGAGAUACCCAGAAUCUAGGGAAAUAGAAGAAGGCAAUUGGGCAAGAAGAUCACAAGAUUUGGUUCUUGGAUGCUGCAACAUGGCAUCCCUGCAAGGAAGUACACUGGAAACAGGAAAAAGAAUCUCCUCUUCACCAUUUUGAGUACUGUUUUCGCUUCCAGCACAGCAACAAUCCAUCCAGUCCAGAAACCUAAAACAAAACCGAAUUAUGAAUCAUGAGCUGAUCACAAAUAGCACAAGACAUAGAUUGAAGCUUUUCACUCAACCUUUGAUCUUCACUUAGUUUCCAAAGAACACAGUAGUCCCAGCUUUUCAAUCCCACAAGAGGCCUCAGCCUCUCCUUGAGGCUCUGCACCAUGUUGACCAUUUCUCCUGUAAUUAACAUCAUGCCCACUUCAAAAAACCUGCAUUAAACACAAUUCCAUGACAAACUAUCCAUUGCCAAAAAGUUUAAGCUACCAGAUAACUAGACAAAAAUGAAUAUUAAGCUUGAAUAAUCCUUGGGACUAAGAAAAAACAAAAGAAGAAAGCAAUGAAAAGGAGAAGAAACAAAAGCGAAUAUCCAUACAAACUUGGAUUACUUGAUAGCAAUAGGUAACUGCAACAUCAUCCAAGAGACAGCACCCACUUCAUCCAAGAAAACCCCAUCUCAGCAAAUGGGCUGAGAGAGGUAAAAGCAAAAGCUCAAAUUCUUCGUUAGUCUAAAAUCUUUGGUUUUAUAUUUGGGGUUUUGGCUUUUACUUUGGUAGGUGAAGUGUAGUGCAUGCAUGAGAGAGAGGGUGAGAGUUUUGUAAAGAAGAUAAGAAAAAACGGAAUAUAAAAAGGAUAUAUGAGAAGUAAUGAUGGAAGGGCGUAUCGUGUGAGCUAAGAAGGCGUACAAAAGCCUAACUAAUUCGGUUAUAUAUUCUUUCGUCUCUCAACUACUCUCCUACUUUGAAUCAUAUUGAAAACUACUCUAAAAGAAUCUUCUUCAAUUGGAUAUGUCUUCCAAUGUAAAUAAGCAAAAUAUUCUAAAUUAUCAAAGUUCUAAGAUAAUUGUAGUAUCACGUAUUUAUAUUUUGGAAAAAAAAAAAAACGAAGUUACCAAAGAGGUACUUAUUCAAUUCCUCGUAUUCAUAAUUGAAAAUGCACAAAAAGAAAAAAAAUCUAACUCGUUUGGAUGAAGCUAUAAAUAAUAUGAUUAAAGUAUAAAAAAUAAGACUAAAACAUAAAUGAAAUGAAAUCAAGUUACAAAGCAGUUAGUAUAAAGUAAUUAGGCCUAAAUGCAUACGUAAUAUAACUUAAUUAGUCACACUUUUCUGAAGGUACCUCUCAAGCAAUCUAAUCAAAUCUUUAUAUCUUUAGUACCUUGAUUGUGUUAUCAUAUUUUCACUUACACUAGAGGUGUAAUUUGAUUGAAUUAACCUAACUCAACAUGAAGUUUGGAUGAAUUUGAGCAAUCAUCUUUUAAUACUCGAGUUGAGUUUGGGUUAAGUUUUUUUAACCCGAACUGAAGUUGGAUUUGGAUCAAAAUUUAAACAACCUAAGCCUAACCUGAAUUUGAUUUAAUAUUUUUAUAAUAUUACAAAAAGCUUUUUCACUAGUAGCCAUAUUCAAAUCCAUCAAAGCGUUCCUAUCUAUUGUGGUGCAUCUCAUUUAUGAGAUACAACAAUUAGAUAUCGAGAUAACAUUCUUGAAAGGUCAUCUUAAUGUUAGUAUCUAUAUGAUGCAACCAGAUAUUUUCAUAAUAAAGGGUUUUGUUUGUACAAGAAGACAUAGUGAAAGCAUAGUGGUGCUUUAAGAUCUUGUAGGUAGAUGACAAUCUACUCAUUGGGAAUAAUAUAGAGACAUUGUCACUAGUCAAAAUUUGUUGUCUACUUAGUUCUAUAUGAAAAUCUAGUAGGCACAAUAAAUUCUUGGGAUUAAGGUCCUUAUAGAUGCAAGAUUAUGAAAAUUUUGUUAUGCUAUAUCAUCUACAUUAACAAGCAUUUGUUCAAGUGCAUGAUGCAAGAUAAAAAGGGUUGCUCCAUUUUGGUUUAGAGUUAUCUUUCUCAGAUUAAUUAGUAUCAUUGGACAUUUAAGGAGAUAAUACCUUAUUGGCACAAUUUAUGAGAGUUGAAUUAACUCUUAGUUCAUUUAUAUGCAUAUAAGGAUGUUUUGAUAAUUACAAAAGAUUGUAUAGGGAUUAGUAAACAAUAUUUUUGAAUUGAGCUAAUUAAUUAAUUAGAAGAUCAUGUAGAGUUAAUUAAUCAAUUAAAAUCUUAUUUGGGCUAGAUUAAGUGAUCUAAGCCUAUGAUGGACUCAAGUCACUUAAACCCAGUUAGGAACCCUAUAAAAUACCCCCUUAAGGCUAAUGGUUUCUAUACUUUAGUCUUCCAUCAUCUAAUGAGAGAAAAUCCUAGCCUCCACCCUCCCAAACCUCUCAUCGUUUGUGUGCUAAAGAAAAAAGGAGAGCCAUCGGGUAGGAGAUCUUAGGUUCACAAAACUUCCAAUGGCUAUAAGAUUGAUCUUCAUCGAAAGGAAUUGAUUUGGGAAUAUCCAAAUUAGAGGUAUUGUUUUCUAAAGCACUAUUAUAUAUCUUUUUAAUGUUAAAAAUGGUCUUUAAUUUUUGCUUUUGUUGCAUAAUAUCUAAAUGCCUCAGGUAGUUUUUAUGCGCCUAACUUGAUCAUAGGAUAAAAAAUAGAGUGAUUCGGGAUUCCUUUCAAUCUUAAAGACACGUGAUCAGGAAAUUUAUGAUCGUUAUAAUUCCUUAACUGGAAUUUGACAUAUGCUCUUAGAGAGUUAAAGUAUGUCAAGUGAUUAUAUUAUAGAAGGAUUUGAGACUCAAAGAUUUGAGAGGUUGAUAGCAUCUACCUCAUUAGAUUACAAACACCAAUUCAUAGGAACUCUGCAUGCAAUGAAUAGUAGGUCAUAAACACAAGUUUACAUCUCAUUUUAAUAUCAUAAGAUAUUGGAGUACAAUUGGCUCUCUAUAAUAGGAUGUUGAUUCAACUUCAGAAUUAGAUUUUGAGUUAGUAUUUUCUUAUAGGUCUCAAUAGUACUUCAUGCUCAUAUUCCUUGGUGGUACAUUUAUCGAGGGAUAUUUAGGUUCCUUAUUCAUAUAUAUAUAUAUAUAUAUAUAUAUGCAUAAAGAUGUUUUCGUAAAAACACAAGGUUGCUUUAGAGUCUAUGAAUGGUCUUUUUUUUAUUAUGCUAAUUAAUUAAUUAAGACCAAAUGGGAUAGAUUAAGUGACCUAAACCAUAGAUGAGUGUGGACCCGUAUUUUUCAUCUGUGUUCCUAGUUAAUGGUGAGACUUGCUUUUUAUUAGUGAAAAUUUGAUUUUUGAAAAAGUUAGUCUCCACUUAUUUUAGUUUAUUUUUAAAAAGAAAAUAAAGUAAGAAAGAAAACUUUGUGUAAUUCCUUAUUUGAAAAAAUGACAAGUUUGUAAACCAAAAAUGGAUUUAGGAAUUAAGUUGCCUAUUGGGAAAGUAUGGUAAUAAGUUAUAGCAGCCCUUUAACCUUGUAUAUCUAUGGUCUCUACUAGACAAAUGAAGAAAAUUAUGACAAUUGAUUAAUUAAACAUGAAUAUUGAAAAAAAAAACACAAUACAAGCAAACAUACAACAUGACAUUAGCUAAAAAAUAAAUUACAAGAAUAUAAAAAACUGAUAUAAGCUAAAAGCACAAAAUGAUUUAUUAGAAAAUAUGUUUAUUAUUCCAAAUGUCAUAACACAAUUUUAAAGAAAAUUCAAUUGUUUAUUUACAAAUAAAGUUCAGUUUAUUAACAAAUGAUUUGAUUUAUUUAUUCAAAUUGAAAGAGGUGUUUUUUUAUUUAUUUAUUUAUUUAUUUAUUAGAAGAGUUUAUUGAAUAAAAUUUCAUUUAAAGAGAAAAGUUUGAAUUUGAUUUUAUUUAUAAAAAAAAUGAUUUUUAUUUAUUUUUACUAGAAAAAGAAUGAAUUUUUAUGAUUCUAUUUUCAAGGAAUUCAAUUCAAUUUUUGUUUAAAGACUUUUUUUUUUUACAAAUAAUUAAAAGAAAGUGAUUUUUACAAAAUCAUUUAUAGAAAGAAAAUUCUAAUUUGAUUUUAUUUACAAAGAAAUUGAUUUUUAUUAGUGAUUUUAAAAAGCAUCAAUUUGAUUCUUAUUUUGGGAAAAAAAUUAUGAGGAAAAAGGUUUUAACCAAUUUAUUAAAAAAGAGAAAUUUCAAUUCAAAUUUUAUUUAAGAACAAGUGGCUUUCCUACAAAGUAUUAAAAAAAACUUAACAAAUUUAUUAAAAAGUAAUCUUUUUCUAAAUUUAUUUAGAAAAAGAAUUUCACAAAUUUAUUUAUUUUUCUUUAUUUACAACAAGAGAUUCCAUUAAGAAAUAUUUUUUCUUUUUACAAAUCCUAUUUACAAAAAUGAUUUCACAAUCCAAUUUUUAUUAAAGAUUUUUUUAAAUACAACUUUCAUUUCCAAUCCAAUUUUUGUUUCAGAAAAGAUUUUAUUUCAACUUUUAUUUUCAAUCAAAUUUUUAUUUUAAUAUUUUUUUACCAAUUUACUCAAAAAGGAAUUUUACAAAUUUAUUUCAAGUCCAAUUUUAUUAAGAAAGAAAUUUUGAAUUUUAUCUAUAAAAAAAUUGUUUACCAAUUUAAUAAAAAAUGUAUUUCAAUUUAAUUUUUAUUCAAAAUGUUUUUACAAAUUUUAUUUCUGAAAUUAUUUACAACUCAAAUUUUUUAUUUAAAAAGAGAUUUUUAUUUGAAAAGAAAGAUCUUGACAUUUUUACAAUUUUAUUGAAAGAAACUUUGUAGUUUUUUGUUUUUUAAAGCAUUUCUAGUUUCUAUUUGGAAAAUGAUUUUACAAAUUUAUUUUCAUAAAGUGAUUUUAUAGUUUUUAUUUGGAAAAAGUGAUUUUACAAAUCUUAUUUGAAGAAGUGACUUUGCAAUUUUAUACAAAAACUAUAAGAAUUUUGUAGAAAAGUCACUUAAUUAAAAAGAAAAAGAUUUGAAGUCUUUUUUUACUUUAAAAAAAAUUAGAUUUAUAAAUUUGAUAUUUGAAAAUACAAUGGAAUGAAAUGGAAAGAAACUUCACAAUAAACAUAUGGGAGAAUAUGAAUAAAUUAGAUAAAAUAAUAAAAAGACUAAAGAUAAACAUCAAAACUAAAAUAUAACAAACAUAUAUAUGAGAAAAAAAAAAGUACUUAAAAAAAAUAUACUGUAAACAAAUAUUCCUAAAGAUAAAUAAAAAGAAAUAAAUAAACAAGUAAGGGAAUAUACCCAAUAUUAUGCAGUGAAAGAACAAUAAAACAAAAAAAAAAUAGAGAGUAGUACUCUCCAAGCCAUCCCCAUUGCUUAAACCCUUAGGGUUCUUCACUUCAUAUAACCUCCCAUGGGAAAAUCCAACCCUCCAUGUGUUUAGCAUUCAGGCUUAGCCAAAGAAAUCUAAGAAAUAGGCUCAUGCAUAGAAAAUAAGAAUAGCAUAAAUAAAUAAAUAAGUCUGACACUAAUAACAAACUAUCAUCAAAUUAGUUCAAUAAAUUUCAUCAAUAAAAAUAGGUUCAAAUGAAUAAAUGAAACUUAAUGAAAAUAUCCAACAUACCAUAGUCCCAAAUCCAAAAUUCCAAUUAAUAACCAAUACAACGUAUCUACAAUCCUAAGUUCAAUAUUCAUAAAUAAUGCACUAUGAAGAUCAAGAAAUAAUAAUAAAUAAAAUAAAUAAAAAUAAGGAAAUGAGGACUUAUCUUGAAACCCAAAUAAAGAAAAAAUGGUGGUAGUGGACUUGAAAAGGGUGGUGUCAUGUGAUGAUAGUCAUGGAAGCAUGUGGUGUGGUUAACGGAUAAGAGAAUGAGAAACAAAGAAAACAGGUGUAGAAGAAAUAGGAAAUGAAAGAGAGAAAGAUAGAGAAACAGAGAAAAAAAAAAGAUGAGAAGGGAAGAGAAGUGUCAUCGAUCAAAGAGGCUCGUCGGUGGUGAUUAGUAGCCGAGAUAGUCACUGGUAGGAAGGCACAGUGAAGGUAGGGUGGUGAAGAAUGGUAGCAAUACAAAAUGGGAAAGAAAAGAAAUAAGAGAGAGAAAGAGAAUACAUAGUGAAAUGAGAAAGAGUGAGAUGAGAUGAAAAAGAGGACUGUUGGUCAACAUCGUAGAACUGCUAGUGAUGCUACCAACAUCAAAGUAGUGGCUGGCCAUGGAGGUGGUGGUGGGUGUGGAGAAAGAAAAAGGAAAAGAAAUGAAAGAAGAGAAAGGAAAAGGAAAAAGGAGGAGAAAUCCCAAUGGGAGUAGGCAACUGAAGAUGGAAAGAAUGUGUGGUCUUUAGGGUUUUAGAUGAAUGAAUGGUGUAAAUGAAGGGGAAAAUGAAUGAUCAAGAUGGGUUCUUCUAAAAUGGGUAUAAAAUUUGGUAGUCUACAAUGGACUCAAGUCACUUAAACCCACAAGGAAACCUAUAUAAACCUCUUUUAAGGUUUUAAGGCUUGAGACACUCUUGACAUUCAGUUUUUCAAAGAGGAACCCUAGUCUCCACCCCUUCAAAAGGGGAUUCCACCUUCUUACAUGUUAAGAUUCAGGAAAAAAAUAUUAUUGAGUUGAAAGCUUAUUGGCUUUUUACACCCGUUACACUUCUUUGUAGAUUGGAAACAAUUUAGGAACAUUCAUAUCAUAAUUAUUGCAUCUAAACUCCAAAACUAAAGUUUUUAAUAUUAACGUUUACCACUCUAUAUUGAUUUGGCUCAAGGUAUAUAUAACAAUGAUAAAACCUUACAUAAAUAGAAUUUAAGAAUCACUAGGAAUCCAUGAUAUCAAAGAAUAGACAAUUGUAUCAUCCUCCAAGCUAAAAUUAGAGGGCAUUUACUUUUCAUACCAAUUCCUUAGCCCCUACUUUAUUUCAUUAUUGAGUUUAACUAUUCCCAUUAAAUCCUACUUUAGCUUUUCAUAUUUCAUAUCCCAAGAAAGCCUUUUAACCUCUCAUAGGUGUGUUGUCACCUACACAAUCCAUUAAAGAAAGAUAAAGAGUUAUUCUUGAAAAUUAAAGAAUUCAAAAGCAAUAUAUUGAUUGAUAAUAAUUGAGAAAGAAAUACCAAGCAAGAUCCUUUUCUAUCUUAUUCUUUAAAAAAAAAAAAAAAAACUCUAAACUCUUCAAAAAAAAAAAAACUAAAAAUUUGAGUUUUUAUAGUUUGGGUAAGAACCUUACAUGUGGCAUGUUCCUAUUGGUCACUUAUUUUCCAAAAAGUGCUUAAAAAUAACUAAAAACUAAUAAAAAUCUAACUUUAGAAUGUCUGGGCCCCAUUUUGGAUUGGAGAAGUGUCAAAAUGUUUCAUAUUGAGAAUUCACAAGUAAUGUGGAAUUGGAGUAACUAAAGUCGAAAUCAAUUUUAACAUGUAUUUCAACUUGGUAAGUUAGGAAUUUUGACAUGGUAAUGUGCAUUUCAACCUCUAUUUUGAUAUGAACUUCUCAUGUCAAAAUUUUCAUUCCAACAAAAACAUCGUCAAAAUGGCUAUCCAAUUUUAACAUGAGGUUCUGUUUCUGUAUUGCUUAUUCAAGUGGCUAUAACUUCUUCAUUUUAUCUCCAAUUCAUGCACUAUUUGAGGCAUUAGAUUUUUGAAUUCUCAAGCUUCAAAUUGAUAUGUGUCCUGCUUGAAAUGAUCUUAAUGAAUCCUUCAAGAUUCACGUCAAAGUGAAAGUAUAUGCAACUAUGAGGCGAUCUUAAACUCUAAUUCCUAUAUUAAACUUCAAGUUUUAUAGCCUUUAGCUUUUCUUUUUGUGUCUCAUUAACCUUUAUAAACUUGUUUCUCAUAUCUCAUCCUUUCUCCAUUUUUAGUUGUCAAAGCUCUCAUUAUGUUUCUAUUAGGAUUGAGCCUUAGAAAGCAUGACAUAAUAUAUGAUUACUACUCAAAAAGUGCUAUUUCAUAGCUUGUAAUGAACUCUUUUGAGUAUUAGUUAACACCUUUUAACCCAAUUAACAUAUUAAGGACCCUUGCAAUCAAUUCUAAUCAAAUUGUGUUAAGUUUUGGUGUUUUGAUAGCUUUUUUAUCACCAAAGCAAUCAGAGAUUGAGGAGAGUUCUUUGGAAUGCAAGAAGUAAAAGAUGUUCGGACACACCAUCGGAUGGCGGCGGAAGUCAAUGAUCCGGACAACAUAUCCGGAUAGGAUAUGCUAUCGUCCGGGUGUGAUGUUCACGAGUGUCGUGUGCCUCUUCCUGAGGGAGUCCGGAUAGGGGGAGCGCGCCACAUGUCCUCUUGGGGAAUCCGGAUGGAGUUGAUCCGGAUAGCCUUGCGCGCUCCGUGUCAUCCAGGAGAGGGGUCCCUACACCUUGCACACGCAGAUGGUCCCCCUUGCGCAGCAUAGCUCAGUCCACCCGGGGAAGAAUUCCGUGCGCCAACAUUUCAUAUCCGGAAUUCCGUGCGCCGACAUUUUACAUCCGGAUAUCUCACAACCGGAUGGGAGAGGAGGACGUUUCAACUUCUCUAGUCAGACAUAUCCGGAUCCUCUGAUAGCGCUUACCAGGAGAGUUUUUCUCUCAGUAUGUAGUACUGCGGUGUUCUCCUGAAGCUUCCUGAUAUUUCUGACCGACAUCUUGAGAUAUUUCCGACCGACAUCUUGAGAUAUUUUGUUUUAGAUAUUUGUUGUCUAAAUCCCCAAACUCUCCUUGUAAUCCACCUAUCAUAGGAUUCCUUAGUCUUUAAGUAAGUACAAAGGGUGAAUAACCUCAUAUAUAUAGUUUGUAAUUUUCUUUACAAAGGGAUCGAUCAUGUAAUUAGUGAAAGGAAGAAAUAUAAUUCACAGAGCACUUGCUCUGUUUUUCCUUCAUAUAAUUGUUUUCUCGUUAGUUUUCUUACUAGCCAAACAAGCUUUGAGGAAGUUUCCUCAGAGAAUGAGUGGCUAGACUUUUAGUUCCUUGGAGUUAAGGUUGCCGGGAAAGGUUCCAAGUGCAUGAAUUAGUAGCUUUGUGGUUUCAGUCAUUAAUGAAGAGAAAGUGUGAUCCUUAAAUGAUUUCUAUGUUUUUAGUUAACAUAAAACACCUUCAAGUCACUUGAGCCAACACUUGGUAAGGCACGUGAUCUCCGUCCAUGAAGAUGCACUUGUUUAUCUCUUGCAAGCUUUUGGGAAGUGACUUGGAGGUAGGAUUUUCUAGAAUUGCCAACACUUGGUAAGCUUUUGGAUUACAAUGAGACAUCCAUUAGUUAUCUCUUGCGAGCUUGAGAAAGGAAGUCCAAAGUUAAAGAUCACCUUGAAUGGCAAAUGCUAGGUGAGAGGCACGAGCCAUUACAAGUUGCAUCAGUGAGAGAGAAUUAGAGUUGAAAUCCAUUUAAAGGUUACAUCUGUACAACACCGGUUAGAGAAUUGACUAUAUGUUAAUUCUCUAAUGCGAGGAAAUGAACCAAAUGACCAGAGCUCUGUUUUUGCAUAAGGAACCUUCCCUGUGAACCUAAACCUCCAAGGAAUGUUUUUCUUCAUAAGUAAUUUCCAUUACUUUCUUUUUGGUUAGUUUAAGACCAAACCCUUUUCACUCAAACAUCUUUAUGUUUUCUUUUAAAGCUAACCUUGAAAUGAAAAAGUACCAACUCAGCUUUGAAUUGGUAUCAGUGGAGAGUUGAAAACCCUUCCCAGUGAAUGCUCCUAGAGCCACUAUACUAUAUUAGCUAAAGCUAUCCUAAUGCAUGGUGAUAUAGGUUAUAAAUUUUGUUGAUCACUUCCUCAGUCAAGGAGCACCAGCUGGACAUGAAUCAGCUGAGACACCAAUUGGGAACGAAUCAAUAUAACAGAGUAAUAUUCAUUUAUAUUUAUUGAUAUAUAUUUCUUGGUUUCCCUUUAUUAUCUCAUAUGUGUUAAUUGAUUAUUUAAGCAUACACGCCCUACAUCACUUACAUUGUACAUGAUUUGGGUGCAUUAAAAGUUUCAUAGAAGAUCUAGGUCAUGGGUUUUUUUUAGGAUGAUGAGUUGUCUAUAGUUGGUUCAUGAAUUUAGGCAAUCAAUUUAAGAUUAUAAUGCACUACCUCCUGAUUGAAGGGAUGACUUAUCUUAGUCAUCGAGAUGGUUUUUUCAUGGUGAACACAAUAAUAUAUGUGAUGCACAUUGAAUAAGACUUAUAAUGAAUCAUGAUUCAAGGCUAUCUUGAUAGGUGAUAACACUCUCUUCUUAGAUUAUGGAUAUUAGUUCAUGGGGAGUCUGCAUGGAAUAAAUAUUAAGACACAAACCCAAGCUUUCGUUUUAUUGUAAUAACAUAGGAUACUAAAGUGCAAUUAAUUUUCUUUAGUGGAAUGUUAAAUCAACUUCAGAAUUGGAUUUUGAGGAAGCCAAUAUUUUUUUAUGGAUCCCAAUAGUUCUCACUCGAACUUCUAAAUCAAGGAAACACAUUUGUUUUAAGGAUAUUAGGUUUUAGGGUUCAUAAGUGUGCAUAAGAGUGUUUUGGUAAAAAUACAAGUUGCACUAGAUCAUAGAAAUUAACUUUUUGGCAUAGGUUAAUUAACUAAUUGGAGCCCAAUAGGGCUAAUUAAUUAAUUAGGAUCCAAGUGGGCUAGAUUAGGUUGUCCAAGCCUAAUUGAACUUAAGUUACUUAAGCCCACUAAGAGUCCUAAUACCCCUAAGGGUUUCCUACACUCUUUUACUGUCUUUUUCCAAAGAGCCUCCAUAGAGAUUGAGAAACCCUACUUUUCAUCUAAGAGAGAAAAGUCCACUAUUUUCUUGUGCCUAGAGUGUUUUAAGGAGAGAUCAUUGGAAGGCUAAUAGGUAGACAACAUCUCCUACGAAUUCAGACUUGUUCUUCACCGCAUAAAUUAGAUUUGGGAACAUCUAGAUCUAGGUAUGGUUUCUUUUUUCUAGAUUAUUAUUUUAUUUGAUUUUUUUUUACCAUUGUUUCUACUAGAAUAGUUUCUAGAGAAGCCUAGGGUAGAUUACUUGCUCUCUAUUCGAUCCAGGGUAAGGAAACGAAUAAAUUCAGAGUUCUCAUCAGUUUCACAUUCUUAGAGCUUCUUCUAAACAUAUUUGGCAUCUUUUCUACCAUGAAUGACUACUCUUGCAACUUGUAUCUUUAAACCUAAGAUUUAACUAAAGAUGUAUCUUAGAUAGACAAAGUUUUUAUCAAUAAUUCAAAUUAAGUUGAGUGAGUUGAGCCUUUAUAUUGCAUAACUAAUUCUCAAUAUGUGCCAUUAAAACACAAUUUGUGGCUCUAAUUAACUAGGAAGCAUCUAUUGGAGUAAAUUGACAAUAAAUUGAUAGAAUCAAGAAAUUUUGAUAUGGAAAGUGGAAGUGAAAGAGAAAAUUCAUUUCAACAUCAAAUCAACAAUAGAGGACAAACCAAUAUCAUUUUCUAUGUCAAACUCCUUUAUGUCCCUUUUAGUAUUGCAUUCUCAAUCUAUUACCCUCGGAUAUUUGGAGAUUAACAUCCGAUGUUGAAAUUUCAAUAGAGAAUCGAUUCUAAAGUUGAUUUCAACCCAAUGUCAACUUAUUAUGACUUGUUUCCUUCUUUAAAAUUGCUUCUUCAUGAUUUUUUUUUUGUCAGUUUUAUAUUAUAUUUAGACUGUUCCUUGUAGGAUUAGGGUUAGGAUUUAUUUAUAUAUUUUAUGAUUAUUAAUAGGGAUAUAAAUGGGUUAAAGGAGGAUAACCUUUAAAACUUUAGUAUAUUUUAAACAAUUUUAUAAUGAAGGAAUAAGCCAAUCUUGGGUGCCAUGAUAUCAAUCCUUUCCUUAUCAUGGUAUAGAACUUUGGCAAGUAUUAGGUUGUUUCUAUCAAGCUUUAACUAAUGAACCUUAUCAAACUUUAGACAUAAUAUGUGAAGAGAGAAUUGUAAAGAUGGAAUCAACAUUGGCCAUGUACUUGUUGGAUUAUCUUACAUCAUGUACUAUAAAUCUUGAUCUUAUUUCUAAAAAAAACGAUAUGAGUUUGUGAAUGAAAAUGUUAACCCUAGCUAGAAGGGAGACACUCAAUCUCCUUCUAUUGCAUCAUCAAAUUCUCUUACUAUAUGAGGGUUCCACAUGAUCAACAACCCUUAGAAAAUGUGCAUAGUGAAUACGUACAUAUAGACCCAAUUAGAGGUAAUAGUCAACUUGGAAGCAACCGGUGUUGAGAUGGAAAUUAUCAAUGUCAGACCAAGUGAAUUUACUAACCAAGUAACUCAAGUUUUGGCUGAAUUUGCGCUUGAGACAAAUACCUUUUUCUAUCAUUGAAUACAAUCAGAAAAGUGUUGAAUGAAACUUAAGCUUAAUUAUCUAAAAAUAUUGAUGAGUUUGAUGUUAUGGGCCUUGUCACUAUUGCACAGGAUUUUGAACUUGAAAUUUUUUCUGAAAAUGUGCAAGAGUUCAUUUACAAAUAACUCACUAAUAUUGGGAGGGGUGAUACUAAUCAUCAAAUACACCAUGAGCAUACUAAUAAUUCUUCUUAUGAGUAUAAUGUUCACACACAAAACCAAUAUUUUUUCAUAUAUAAAAGAAGGUUUUUAUAGAAAAAUUGAAUGCAAAUCAUUACCUUUUAAUUUAAAUGUAUGCUAAGUCCCAAAUUACUUACCCAAACAUAAACUAAGUUCUCACUUAUGACCCAUGUAACAAGCUACACCAAGUAAGAAGGAUAGAACAAUUAGCUCAUAUGGAGGGCUCUCUAAUUUAAAAGACUACAAAUUGUCUAGGAUUCAAAGAAUGAUUAUAUUUAUUAUUGUAGUGGAAGGUAAUAAAAAAAGUCUUGAUAGUGGUUCCACUACUAAUAUAUCUACUGGUUUGAUCCUAAAUAUAUUUAUUUAGUGAAGAAUGUUGAAAAUAAAAAAUAAAAAUCGGAGGACCCAAGGGCAAUGGAAGUAAGGUGAAGGAGUUGAAAAUGCAUGAGAGUGCACAAGAACAUGAAAAGACAAGAAAAAUGUCAAAUUGAUACCCUAGAAUGCAAAUUGAUACCACGUUGAUUCCGACAUCAUAUAUUUAAUUUGACAAGAUACAAUAUGAGUGGAUGUAAAACAAUAUCUAUGCCAACAUAGAAAGAUAUUACACUUAGCAAAUCACCAAGUCCAAAUAAUAAAGAUGAAAUUAAGUAAAUGAAAAAUAUUCGUUAUGUGCAAGUAGUUGAAAGUCUAAUUAUACAAUGACUAGUACUAGGUCGGAUAUAUGUUGUAUCAUGGUAUUAGUUAGCAUAUACUAAACUAAUCUUAGCGAAGAGCAUUGGCCAGCUAUUAAAAGAGUAUUAAGAUAUAUUUAAGGUACUAAGAAAAAUAAACUAUGUUUUACAUAAGGUGAUUAAAAAAAUUAUGGGUAUUCGUAUGCAAAUUUUACCAGGGACCAUGAUGACUAAAAAUCUACUAGUGGUCAUACACUUUUAUUUAGAGGAGGUGCAACAUCAUGGUUAAGUAAAAAAGCAAACUUAUGUUGCUAGGCAUACAAUAGAAGCUAAAUAUGUAGCUUAUAGCUAGUAUGGCAACCACCCAAGCCUUUUGGAUUAAGCACUUAGCUGACAAUUUGAUAGUUAAGAAAUCAAGAGUUUAAGGUCAAAAUAGUAUUUUUGAAGAAAAAUAGCCAAAGUAGAUAUUCUCCCGAAAUAUUUGUCAAUCUAAUCUUUGCUAUCACAUGUUCAUUCAUGUAACUUUUUUUUUUUUUUUUGAGUAUAUAAAACCACAAUUGGUCAUUGUGAUUUUAGUUUUAAAUUUAAAAUCACAGUUACUAACUGUAAUUUUUAAAACAACAUACCACUUUAACAAAUAUUUUCAAUAUGAGAUUGAUAAUUUUUUUAAAAAAGAAAAACUACUUUGACCGAAAACUCAAGAAAACAAUUGAGCUUGUGAAUUUGCUGUGUGAUCAUAUGACUACAAUAUAUCAUUUAUUUGACACAUCAAGUUCAAAAGUGAAACACAUUCAUGUGAGUUGAUAGAUUGGAUUGAUUGGAUUAUAGUUUUCCAUAUAAUUGAAAAGUUGUAAAUCUUUGUUAAAGAUUCCAACUUUUUAAAAAGGGAUGCAAUAGUUGAUUGUCAAAAGAUAUUUAUCUAAAUAUUUAUCUAAUUAAAUAAGUGUCUUUUCAAUGGCUAUGUGUUAAAAUUGAAACAUUGUGAUUGAAUAGAUAUGAGAAUAUAUUUGAAAAAGCAUAACUUUUAGUAUUAAUAGAUACAUGUAAGUCAAAUUUGUAGUUCUCUCAUUCAUAUCUAUAAUAGGUUUCUAUUGAUUUUGUAAGAGUCAUACUUCGUUUUCUUCUAUUUUUUUCCCCUUCUUUGACAAUGUCUACACAAUAGCCUCCCACCAAUAGUCCAUCCAAGAUAUAACAUCAGAAAAACUUUCUUGACAAAUUGGGCAGAUCAAGAAAACAACAGUAACUAUUGCAGCAGAAGCUUACAAAUUAUAAAUAGGAUCAACACAAUUUUAGGAAGAAGGCAUUUGGUAGUUGCUAUUCUAUUAAAGCCACUUCUGAUGAAUAAAAGCAGUUGAAAGUUGGUGUAUCAUUUUUGUUGGAUGUCAUCACAUAUGGUGAUUGUGGUAAAUGAUGAAAUAGUCAAUGUUUUCAUAAUUCAAUCAUUGGCAUUGAACUAAAAAAGUUAUUAAUUUAUAAUUUAUAAAUUUGAUAAGUAGUGAAAUCAUGAUGUUAACAUGAUACCAUAAAUAUAUAAUUUAUAUUUUAUUAAAAUUUAAAAUAUAUAAAUUAUUGAAAACUUUAAUAAUAUUCAUUUUUUCUUUGACAUUAUUCAAUUAAAUUAUGAUAAAAAUAAAUAUAAAUGUAUUGAUAUUUUAAAUUUUAUUAAAUAAAACAUUUAUAAUAUUUAAGUAUAAAGAUAUUUUCAAAAUGAAAAGAAAAUACAAUUGUUUAUUGUUUUAUAAUUUUGGUUGAGGUUGGAAUCCCAUUGCUGCAAAGAAAUUAAUUAACUUCUGUAAAUUUCUCUAUCUUUUAUAACCUAUCGCUCAAGUACUAUGAUGGGUUAGUGAAUACUUAAUUUGGAGGUUUGAUUCAUUGACGAUUGAUUUAAUUAACUCUAUGUAGAACCCUUAAUCAAAUAUUGAGAUUAAUAAUGUUUUCAAUGUUUAAGAUUUGAAUUUGAAACAGUUUCGCAUUUUUAGAAAAUUGAGAUCCUAUUCCCGUUGAGAUCUGAUCUUAGGAGCAUACUUAUUCCCAUUGAAUUUCAUUUAUUUUGUGUUGAGAUUUUUGUUGAAACUAUGUUUUUAAAGUAUAGGGAUUGAAAGCUACAAUAAAGUAUCAAUGGGGUGACUGUUAUAAUUAUAUAGGAGCAUCAUCCAGGCCUGCACCAACUUACAAAUCCACAAGGGACUAUUUCUAUACUUGGUUUGCACUAGAUUGCAAAUUAGUGAGGAAUCAUCUCAUUGAAAUCAUCCCCAAGCCUACAUAAGCACAAAAAUGAAUAAGAGUCCAUCUUAGUCCCCAAUUGAUCCUUCCUGGUUCUUUUUAUGUUAAGCCCUUAGGUAAUUUCCAACCUUAUUUUGAUUUAGAAGUAAUUUUUUUUUUUUUUUUUUUGUAGCUCUUAUAUAGUUUUCCACAUAGGCCCCUAUUUUUAUUUAAAACUUUAGUAUAUUUUAAACAAUUUUAUAAUGAAGGAAUAAGCCAAUCUUGGGUGCCAUGAUAUCAAUCCUUUCCUUAUCAUGGUAUAGAACUUUGGCAAGUGUUAGGUUGUUUCUAUCAAGCUUUAACUAAUGAACCUUAUCAAACUCUAGACAUAAUAUGUGAAGAGAGAAUUGUUAAGAUGGAAUCAACAUUGGCCAUGCACUUGUUGGAUUAUCUUACAUCAUGUACUAUAAAUCUUGAUCUUAUUUCUAAAAAAAACGAUAUGAGUUUGUGAAUGAAAAUGUUAACCCUAGCUAGAAGGGAGACACUCAAUCUCCUUCUAUUGCAUCAUCAAAUUCUAUUACUAUACAAGGGUUCCACAUGAUCAACAACCCUUAGAAAAUGUGCAUAGUGAAUACGUACAUAUAGACCCAAUUAGAGGUAAUAGUCAACUUGGAAGCAACCGGUGUUGAGAUGGAAAUUAUCAAUGUCAGACCAAGUGAAUUUACUAACCAAGUAACUCAAGUUUUGGUUGAAUUUGCGCUUGAGACAAAUACCUUUUUUCUAUCAUUGAAAACAAUCAGAAAAGUCUUGAAUGAAACUUAAGCUUAAUUAUCUAAAAAUAUUGAUGAGUUUGAUGUUAUGGACCUUGUCAUUAUUGCACAAGAUUUUGAACUUGAAAAUUUUUCUGAAAAUGUGCAAGAGUUCAUUUACAAAGAACUCACUAAUAUUGGGAGGGGUGAUACUAAUCAUCAAAUAGGUACACCAUGAGCAUACUAAUAAUUCUUCUUAUGAGUAUAAUGUUCACACACAAAACCAAUGUUUUUUCAUAUAUAUAAAGAAGGUUUUUAUAGAAAAAUUGAAUGCAAAUCAUUGCCUUUUAAUUUAAAUGUAUGCCAAGUCCCAAAUUACUUACCCAAACAUAAACUAAGUUCUCACUUAUGACCCAUGUAACAAGCUACACCAAGUAAGAAGGAUAGAACAAUUAGCUCAUAUGGAGGGCUCUCUAAUUUAAAAGGCUACAAAUUGUCUAGGAUUCAAAGAAUGAUUCUAUUUAUUAUUGUAGUGGAAGGUAAUAAAAAAAGUCUUGAUAGUGGUUCCACUGCUAAUAUAUCUACUGGUUUGAUCCUAAAUAUAUUUAUUUAGUGAAGAAUGUUAAAAAUAAAAAAUAAAAAAUAAAAAUCGGAGGACCCAAGGGCAAUGGAAGUAAGGUGAAGGAGUUGAAAAUGCAUGAAAGAGUGCACAAGAACAUGAAAAGACAAGAAAAAGGUCAAAUCAUACCCUAGAAAGCAAAUUGAUACCAAGUUGAUUCAGACAUCGUAUAUUUAAUUUGACAAGAUACAAUAUGAGUGGAUGUAAAGCAAUAUCUAUACCAACAUAUAAAGAUAUUACACUUAGCAAAUCACAAAGUCCAAAUAAUAAAGAUGAAAUUAAGUAAAUGAAAAAUAUUCAUUAUGUGCAAGUAGUUGAAAGUCUAAUUAUACAAUGACUAGUACUAGGUCGGAUAUAUGUUGUAUCAUGGUAUUAGUUAGCAUAUACUAAGCUAAUCUUAGCGAAGAGCAUUGGCCAGCUAUUAAAAGAGUAUUAAGAUAUAUUUAAGGUACUAAGAAAAAUAAACUAUGUUUUACAUAAGGUGAUUAAAAAAAUUAUGGGUAUUCGUAUGCAAAUUUUACCAGAGACCAUGAUGACUAAAAAUCUACUAGUGGUCAUACACUUUUAUUUGGAGGAGGUGCAACAUUAUGGUUAAGUAAAAAAGCAAACUUAUGUUGCUAAGCAUACAAUAGAAGCUAAAUAUGUAGCUUAUAGCUAGUAUGGCAACCACCCAAGCUUUUUGGAUUAAGCGCUUAGCUGACAAUUUGAUAGUUAAGAAAUCAAGAGUUUAAGGUCAAAAUAGUCUUUUUGAAGAAAAAAUAGCCAAAGUAGAUAUUCUCCCAAAAUAUUUGUCAAUCUAAUCUUUGCUAUCACAUGUUCAUUCAUGUAACUUUUUCUUUUUUUUUUGAGUAUAUAAAACCACAAUUGGUCAUUGUAAUUUUAGUUUUAAAUUUAAAAUCACAGUUACUAACUGUAAUUUUUAAAACAACAUACCACUUUAACAAAUAUUUUCAAUAUGAGAUUAGAUUGAUAAUUUUUUUUAAAAAGAAAGACUACUUUGACCAAAAACUCAAGAAAUCAAUUGAGCCUGUGAAUUUGCUGUGUGAUCAUAUGACUACAAUAUAUCAUUUAUUUGACACAUCAAGUUCAAAAGUGAAACACAUUCAUGUGAGUUGAUAGAUUGGAUUGAUUGGAUUAUAUUUCCCAUAUAAUUGAAAAGUUGUAAAUCUUUGUUAAAGAUUCCAACUUUUAAAAAGGGAUGAGUAGUUGGUUGUCAAAAGAUACUUAUCUAAAUAUUUAUCUAAUUAAAUAAGUGUCUUUUCAAUGGCUAUGUGUUGAAAUUGAAACAUUGUGAUUGAAUAGAUACGAGAAUAUAUUUGAAAAAGCAUAACUUUUAGUAUUAAUAGAUACAUGGCUAGAUACAAGUCAAAUUUGUAGUUCUUAUAGGUUUCUAUUGAUUUUGUAAGUCAUACUUUUUUUCUUCUAUUUUUUUCCUAUCUUUGACAAUGUCUACACAAUAGCCUUCCACCGGGAGUCCAUCCAAGAUAUACCAUCAUAAAAACUUUCUUGACGAAUUGGGCAGAUCAAGAAAACAACAGUAACUAUUGCAACAUAAGCUUACAAAUUCUAAAUAGGAUCAACAUAAUUUUAGGAAGAAGGCAUUUGGUAGUUGCUAUUCUACCAAUGCCACUUCUUAUGAAUAAAAGCAGUUGAAAGUUUGUGUACCAUUUUUGUUGGAUGUCAUCACAUAUGGUGAUUGUGGUAAAUGAUGAGAUAGUCAAUGUUUUCAUAAUUCAAUCAUUGACACUAAACUAAAAAAAAAAAUUUAAUUUAUAAUUUAUAAAUUUGAUAAGUAGUGAAAUUAUGAUGUUAACAUGAUAUCAUAAAUAUAUAAUUUAUAUUUUAUUAAAAUUUAAAAUAUAUAAAUUAUUGAAAACCUUAAUAAUAUUUAUUUUUUCUUUGACAUUAUUCAAUUAAAUUAUGAUAAAAAUAAACAUAAAUGUAUUGAUAUUUUAAAUUUUAUUAGAUAAAACAUUUAUAAUAUUUAAUUAUAAAUAUAUUGUCAAAAUGAAAAGAAAAUACUAUUGUUUAUUGUUUUAUAAUUUUGGUUGAGGUUGGAAUCCCAUUGCUGCAAAGAAACUACUGUAAAUUUCUCUAACCUUUAUAACCUAUCGCUCGAGUACUAUGAUGGGUUACCAGCCCAUGAAAGGAUUUUCGCGCCCACGAGACCCAUACUUGGGCCAUGCACUAACUUCUCCAUUUGGGCUGCAAAACUUGUCCAAAUUGGCCCGCCUGGUCCCCCGUAUCCGUGUCCGGUUUGUUAGGACAACGAAUCAAAAGGGAGAAUCAGAUGGGAAAGAUGUCCAGGUGAUGGUCCAACCAGUUGAACUGGUUGCUUUAGUCCGAUUUUGAAAACAUUGGAUAAAGCAGCUGGGUAUACAAACUUGCUUUGGUUGGUUUACUUUUCUAUCUAUUUUUAGGCACAGAUGGCUAUUCUUGGGCUACAGCAUUACCCAUAUAAGAUCCAUAUUCUGAAAUGUAAUUUUCAACAUCCAUUGUAUUUAUACUUGACGGUCUUUCCUUGUUUAUUCUUCAUUGUAGUCUCAUGCUCCUCUGCAACCAGCUUUCUUGUCCACAUAAAAUGUGGUCUCUUGAUUGAAAUUACUCCACUGGUUGCUCUAAUAAGGAUGGUAGAGGCAUGAAAUAUUCUGACAAUUUCUCUUGUAGUUGGGGAGUUGACCUAAAAAGCAAGAACAUACCGCACCUGUAUAGGAAGUUCCUGAAGAGAAGAAGAAGAAGAAGAAGAAAGGAAAAUAAAAAUAAAAAUAAAAAAACAAAACAAAACAAAAACCUUGGAACGUGAACAGUUAGCCAAUUAAAAUUGCUGUAGUUGAUUAGAUGUGUCCAAAAAAAAAUAACUAACAAUUUUUUACCAAUUAUAUGAUUUAAAAGACCCUAAAUCAUAAUUAAUCUCUCCAAUUUAAAUGUUCAAGCUGUGGUAGGUGAAAAGUCAUUCCUUCUAGAGACGUCUCACCUACUACGAUAAUAAAAGCAUUUUUCAAGCAUUGCUCUGGUUCAAAAUGCGCACCAGCGUUUCCCCCUCAAGGACUGUUGCUCCAUCUUUGCUACUAGCACUGAUGAAGAUCAUGGUGACGAUGCGUCUAUUUAAGCAUGAAAAUUUAAUGGUAGGGACAUUCAAUGUUAGGUGGAGUGAAAUGGUCUUUAUAUGAUUCAAAACGGUAACGAUAGAUGUAAAUAUUUGAUCUUUCAAUGAUGCCUUCUGUUCUGUGAUGUGUAAAAUUGCCUUAUGUUCCAGUCAAGAAAGGAUUAAUUGCUUUUGCCUUGGGCAGUUAUGUCCAAUUUUUCGACCCAUCACAUGUUAGGCAACAAAUUAACUUAGCUACUAGAAGGGUGGAAAAGAAGUGACACCAGCACUGAUGGGAGUGGUUGAACUACCCUACAUCCUUGUUAUUAUCCUAAUAUACAACUUCAUCUUCCUUUUUUGGAGCCAUGGUUUUAUGGUUUUUAAUACACCCGUGGCAGGGAAAAAGCAAAUAAUCCCAGUUAGGUAUUAAUCAAUUGAUUAAGAUCAUAGCAUAUAUAUGCUACUUUUUGAGGAAAAGUGCGACAAGGGCCUGUACUGAUCAUGUCAUACAUGUAUCAUCUUUGUCGAUCGGAGACCAAAUAAGAGAGUGGCUCCAUACAUGAUCAUGCAUAUGCUUUGGACUGGCUGAAGGGCAACUCAUAUUCCGGACAUGGAAAAAAGAAUAUGAAGCAUAUAUAUGACAAUAACAGCAGGAAGAAGCCAGAAGAAGAAAGAAAUGGGCCAUUUUACGUCGCAUCCACUGAUAUGCAUUGUUUUAACGACUUCUUUUUCCACCUGCUUCAGAGCCGUCUUCUAUGAAGCGGCAUGCAAAGGUCAAAUUUCAUACUUUAAGAAUUAUUGAUCAUAUAGGAAACUGAAAGUAUGUACUUAAUUGGUGUGUAUAUGUUGAUGCAAAGAAUGAAAUCCUAAUUCGAAUGUAUUCCGUCCUCAUUUAUUAUGCUUGCCACCUAUUCAGGGGGAAGUUGUGUUUUGGUCUGAGUGUGCAUGAUUGCUUGGCACAUGCCUACCGGCUGGCGUGAAUGAUUGUUCGGGUCUGCACAUGUCUAUCAAUUUCUUGCUUCCGAAUCAUUCCUCUUGUGGGACUUUUUUUGCCUUCCUGGAUCAACGUCACUGCCAAAUAUAUGCUGACCACAUGUGUCUUUGUGUUCUUUAUAGAUUGCUUAUGGCUUCUCUAAAGAGAUAUCAUCCUCAGAGAUCAAGUUUAUCACUCAAUUUACCACAUGAUUUCACCCGUAUCCACAGCCAUAAUUGCUUGGUAAGCUUACGUACAUGAUAAAGAUGACAAUGAUACCUCUGGAUAAUGCCAUUUAAAUUCCAUGUGCGACCUCCAUGCGCCAAGCCAUUGCUUUGUGGCAACACAAACGCAUGAUCAAGGGCUACCGUGCAAUCAUAUAUUGUUCUGCUGUCCUCUUUAUGGCAUUUGGAUUUUGAAUCCUAACCAUUAUUUACACAAUAAAAAUGAUAAACCCUAGAGUCAAUUUUUCAUGUUUCUUUAUUUCUGCAAUAAAAGUAAGCUCUGAUGUGAGAUAUCAUCCCAUCUGUGGAAUCAGAAGUAGAGCAACAGUUUCAUGUAAAUAGAAUGGAUCAACAAACUUUUCUUUCAUGCCCACACUCUCUGUGUACAAGAUGGAAAUCUGUCCCACAACACAAGUAGUGGGCGAAAUUCAUUAAAGUUUUGGCAGCUCAUGAUGGAAAAGGAACCGUACAUAAAUUGAUUUGGUUGACCCAUUAAUUAAGCAUAUCUCAUCAAUAAAGACAGGUAAUAUGGAUCUGAAUUUCUAUUAAAAGAAAACGCAUCUUACCUCCAAUGCACCGAAAUAAUGUGUCUGAUAAGAUCCUUGAUUUCCAUCUAAUGGCACUCUUUUUCAUUAGACGGUUUUCUGAAAAAGUAAGGCUAUGGUGAACUGAGUAGUGAUGAUCCCAGUGCAGGAAGCAAUUUUGCAGGAAAAUAUUUUAUAGCAUAACAAAUUAAUAUGGAGCUUCCUCACAGUGGAGUAUUAAUUUAUCUAUCUAGUAAAUGGAGAAACAAAUUAUUGUGGUACCAUGAAACUGGUUCCGUCUACUUUUCUCCUUUGAAGGCUGAAUGAAUUCCUGACUUUGUGAAUGUAGAUGUAUACUUGAACUUAGGAGUCCUUAAUGAGAAACAAGAGGAUAAUUUUGACCAGUCAUUGCAUAGCGAUCUGGAAAGCUGUGAUUAUGCCCAGAAAUUGCCCCCUUCGUCUCUCUCACACACUCGCGGAGAUGCUCUUUCAUAUAGAAAAAGGACACCCACACUGAGAUAUUCUGCAACAAGGGAAACUACAAAACAAUAUCAUAAUGUGGGCACAUCUCAUAGUUGUGAGGGUUCAUCUGAGCAUAACCAUAAACACCCCAACUCAACAUUAACUUGUCUUUUCUGCUCAUACUGUAUCAUAUAUUGGAUUCACAUGGGGUCAGGAAUCCAAAAGAGACUGCAUAUCUAGCUACACCAAAAAAAAAAAGGUGGGGAAAUGAAGAAGGGAGAGAGAGAGAGAACUUAUUCAAAUUCACAUCAACAAUCCUCCUUGUCAUGGAGGUAGCGUGGCUGCUUUUUAAUUUAAUUUUCUGUGUACUUCAACAGAAAUUCCAAGAAAAAUAAAGUGUUUUAAGUUCCGACAGACACUAUCUACCGAGAAAUCAAUUGAGCCUUUGAGUUAAGCAUUGUUAGGGCCUAUCACAAUAAAAAAUCAUGUUGUGAUUUGUUUACUAUUAUCUUCAGCAUGACAAGGGUCUGCAGACCAGUAUUGCCAUUUUAUAUGAUUGAUUAUCACUACACAAAGAAGGGUCAACUAAAUCAGUUCAAGGACGAGCUAAGGCAGAUAUAUAGACAGAAUAUUGACUAUUAGCCUUACAGCAUGUGGACUUACAGAUCAUAGCUGUAUUAAAUUAUUAAGCUAAUUAGAGAUUCCUUGAGUUCUUGGGAGUCAAACAAGAAGCAUCUUUUUUUUCUUAGAAAUUAAUGUAAAUAAUCUGACGAGAUCAUAAACAAUCAACACAUGAAUCUCUACUUUCCUCAUUAAUCUCUGCAUAUAGUUCAUUUGAUCUUUGCUGGUCUGAUUUGAAACUCAUUAGAAAAAGAAAAAGAAAAACCCACUAGAGUCCCUAUUUUCCAGCCAUGGUUUACAGACAUGAAGCUGUGGUCCAUUGCCAGAAAAAGCAGGCUCCACCUAUAAAAAAAAAACCAUUUAUAAUAUUGAUUCUCCAACCCAUAAAAGCCAACAGUGGAUGCAAAGAAUCAGGUUCCCAUUUAUUUUUUACUGGGUUCAUCUCCUUUUCAAUUGAGUGCCCAGAGAAAUCUCAUGGGAGCAUUAUAGAAGAUAAGGACAACUGCACCAAACCUAGUGGGACGAGGAAGAUACUGAACUAUUUUGUAAGGUAGGGGACUGUUUCAACGCGCUUCGAAGAUCUCCAUGACUCUAAAGUCUAAACAAAGCAGAAAAUUAAAUAUAGGAAACGCGGGAAACAAUAAAGGAAAGAGCUAGCCACACGACUUGCAGUCUUGUUCAAUCUUCAUAGAAUAUUUAUUACUUCGCUUGAGGUUUGUAUGGGCUUCCUGCUCUAUUUUAGAAAUCGUAUAUUUGAAGGAAAGAAAAAAAAAAAUCUCUGCUGCAUUCUGUGAAUGUCUCUGUCAUGCGUGGCUGGGGUUUCUUUGGAUAAGAUCAGUUGAUUCACUUGUGCUCAUAGCUUGUACGUGAGAUUUAAUUUUCUGGUUGGAAAAUAAAGCUGUGAUGGAAUAUAUGGUCAUGAAUAUGGGCCGGAACCCCAUCACAGACCCUCAUCAUAAAACAUACGGGUCAUGUUAUGAGUUAUGACAACAUCAUAGAAUGAUGUUAUGGAUCAGUAGCGUCGAGAGAGGUAGCUAGCUAGUAAUAUAGAAAAGCUCCAAAUUAAGAAAUGAGAACCCCAAGCUCAAUGUAAAAUGCUGCAGAGCUCUAGUUUUACUUUUAGGCAAAAUGGGAAUGAGCUUUGAAAUUAAAAAUAAUUUCAUUCUCAAGUGUAAUUUUCUGAUUAUAUGGAGACCAAAUUAGGAAAGAAACCAUAAAGAGUAGGUCUCCACUUUUUUCUGGUUCAAAAACCCAUUGCUCUGGAUACGAGGAGUCCAUCCCACAUUAAUGAUGAUGCAGCAUGCAUGCAUGGGGUAGCCGAGGGCCAAACUGCUUUGCGAGUCUUAGAGUGUAUUAUUAUUGUGCAGAUAAAGAUUGCCAAAUUUAGGCCCAUAUGGGCUCCCACACCAACUUUAGGAAUUACGAGUCUUCUUUUGCUUGAUUUCCUUUUCAUACACCCACUUAACUCAAAUUUAUCCAAUCUUCAAAUUUCUAAAAUUUUCUACUCCAUUCAUUCUCAAGAGAAGGAAAGGCUGAAAAUUAUUUGAAAAUAGAUUUUUUUUUUCCUUCUUUCUUUCUUUCUGUCACUCAUUGUCAACAUUAUCCCUUUUCAAAGGGAGCCAAACAAAAAAGGACCAAUACUUAAAAAAAAAUAAAUAAAUAAAAUAAAAUAAAUGGGUGUGAUGAAUUAAUACUGAGAGGGUCAAGGCUCUUAAAUGAAAGUAAGUAACUUACCAAACAGAAGAAUAAAAAUGAAACAAGACGUACAAGGAGCAGCAGCUACCCCCAACAAGGAAAAUAAUAAAAAUGAAGGUGGUUCAUUAAACAUUGAAAAUUGUACAAUCUCUACUUCCUCACUAUGCUCAUCAGAUUUAAUGGCCAUUUAAUUUCUUGCAAUAAAUUUGUUUCUAUGUCCAACACAGCUGUACAAUCUUCUGAUUACUCCUGAGCAACACAAAUUUGUAAGCAUAUAGUUAUGAGAACCUACCAACCAAAAAAUAUCAAGCUACGCUUGCAAUAAAAUAUGAUUUUUUUUCCAAAGUACUUCUAUAAAAUGAACGACCAGCUGUACACUGACAGAAAGCGUAAUAUUACUAAUGUUUUAAUAUAGAAAAAAAAUAAAAUAAUAAAAUAAUGAUAUAAUUUUAAUGGGUUUGACUUCCAAACUGCCUUUAAAACAUUGUGACUAAAUAGUUAAGAUACAAGGAACAAGCAUCAUUUGUUGUCACAUGUAAGGGGAGUCCAUUAAAAGAAUAUGAACAAAAGAGAAAAAACAUUAUUAAUUAUCCUUUUUAAAAUAAAUUCGAAAAAUGUGAACAAAUUAAUUUAGAAAAAAUUGGCCAAAAGAAUGAAACCUUUCCUUGUAUAAAAUCAAUUAUUAUUUCUAUAUAUACGCCAACAAUUUUUGUUUGAUUUCAUAAAAGAAAUUAUUGAAUUCAAUGAAUUAGAGGGCAGUAGACAAAAACAUUUUUAAAAAUGAUUGUUGUUCAUAAAAUGCAAAAUCGUGUUUCCUUUACUCAAUAAUACGUUCAAUUUUGCCUAAGCAACAACUUUCACGAGUGAGUAUGUUUUGAAGUGAUGGAAUGAAAAUAUUAUUUUGGGUUUUAAAAGUUAACAAAUAAUUCACUAAUGCCUUUGAAAACGAAAGGAAUUGAAAUCAAACUAUAAACCAUAUAGUGAAAGGCAUAUUUGAAAGGAAUUGGGAAAGACAAUGUGACCAAAUUUGGAAUUGGAAUGGGGGAUAAACAGAGGAAAGUGCAAAAAUGAGUGCAUGAUGAUGAUGAUUCAGUGUUGAAGAAUGUCUUAUGCCAAUUCCGUAAGGUAGUAGACAAGUUGUAUUACUUUAUAUUUUUAGAUGGGGCCAUCCCCCUCACCCACUCUCUCAUUGCCCUCAGUUCUAAGCUAUCGUCUGCCUCAGAUAAAACCGGUUCUGAUCUUUCUGUUUCCCUCCUUUCUUUAUUUCUUUUCUUUUCUUUUCUUUUCUUUUUUUAUCAGACUGUAAAACUGCAAACCUCAAGUGCAAUGUUUUUUAAAUGGAUUGAUAUUAAUCUCUUUUAAUUUUCUAUUAUUUAUAUCUACAUUAAGUAGCAUAGGGUAGCUAUAGAAACUUUAGGAUAACUUUAGUAAAGGCAUUGAAACAUAUACAUCGUUUUUUUCUUUUUUUCUUUUUUUCUUUUUUAAGUGUAGUAAUUUUUUGAAUAGUUAGUGUAAAAAAAAAGUGAAUUGAGUUUUUUGAAAAGAUAAAUUUAGUAUAAAAAUUUUAUAAGAAUUCACAUUUUUAAAAAUGAACUCUUUGAUAAUGAAAAAAUGAGAGUUAUCAAAUAAAGUGGGCCAAUGAUGAUAAUAAUCAGGAUGGGUCAUUUUAUCUUAUAAAUCCCUACAAAUGACCAAAAUUAUUAUCAGUUUUUUUUACCAUUUGAAUGACUUUUUAAAUUGUGGCUUGAUAGAAAUAAGAGAGAAAGAAAAGUAAAAUUCUCUAGUUCACUUCACGAUUGAAAUUUGCAACUUGAUCAAUAUAUGACUUAUUAUAAACAAGAGAGAAGGAAAUCAAAUUCAAGCUUUAAAUUUUCACAUUCCCAUCUUCUUGUCGUACUAGUCUCCUUUUCCUUCUUUAUAAAUGACAAUGUGGAGAAGUUUAAGAAAACCCUUCUUCAAAAGGUACGCUAAUUUCUUUCUCUUCAUAGAUAUUUUUAUUUUUGUUUAAGAAAUUCAUUUUAUAGAGAUUUCAAUUUUUAGGAUUUUAUUUUGGGCAUUUGAAAAUCCUUUUAUAAUAAUUUCACUUUGGGUAUAUGAAAAAUCACUUUAUUGUGAUUUGAAUUUCUAAGGUUUGAUUUUGAUAAUUAGAGAAAUCUCAUUUUCUUAAGAUCCAUUACAAAACAAAGUAGUGUAGUUUAAAAAAUUUGUUUAUAACUUAAACAUCAAAUUUUUACAUGAAAAAUUGUAAUAUCUUUUGUUUCAUGAUUUAUAUAUAUAUAUAUAUAAAUUAUAUUUUUACUACUAUCAUUUUCAUCCUUUGUUUUCUCUUCUUGUUUCAACCUUCAUAUCUUUUUUUUAUAUGCAUUUUUGGAGGUCUCUUUGCAUUUUUAACCCUGUUUUUUCUUUUUCUUUUUUGUUUUUUUUCAAUUUUAGGGUUGAUUUUCAGGGUAAGUACUCAUAUCUAAAUUUUAGAUUUUUAUUGCUUUAAUUAAUGUCCUUGCCUUAUUUUUCAAUUUGUGAUUUAUGUAAUUGGUAAUUGAGAUACUUUUUAUAUAAGUAUAUUGAGCGGAUAACAAAAAUUUCUAUAUAUGAACUAAGAUUCUCUAUGGAGGUCCUCAAAGCACUCUUUGUUUUUAUAGAAAAAGUUCCCUUUUUCAGGUUUUGUUUUUUUUCCUUUAAGACUCCAUUUAUGAAAUAUGGGAAAAAGAAAGUUGUCAUGCAUUUUCAAUAGUUUUAUGAAUAAAAUAAGUAUUUAAUCCUAAAAUUUGUUUAUACAUUUAUUCCCUUUUUUAUGUUAAGGUCCUCAAAGAUAUUUUUGUUUCAAAAAAAAAAUAUAGUUAAGUGAAAUUAACUUUUCUUGAAUUUUCUCUUAUUUCGAGCUCUAUUUAUAAAACCUAAGAGAAAAAAAAUUGCCAUGCAUUUUCAAUAGAUUCAAAAGUAAAAUAUGUGUUUAAGUCUGAAAUUUGUUUAUACAUUUAUAUAAUAUGUUUCUUUCUUUUCUAAUAUGAUGAUCAUUUUUUGGAAAAAAAAACUUGUGCUUAAAAAAGUACUUAGUUGGUACUUUGGUUGGAGACUGUCAUUGGCACACGACUUGAUACUCAAGUUCAUUGCAAGCUUACUGAUUUAAAAACACAAACUAUUGAUCAGGUUUUGUGAAUCAAUAAUAUGAAUUGGCAAUAGUUAGUAGUGCAACAAUGUUACUACACAAAGCUUUUAGUCUAAGGCAACACUCUUAUUUUUUAAAAUAUAUCACCGAAGAACAAUAAAAUGGUCAUGUGAGAGUGAUUAAUGCAUGUUGGCGUGUAUUUUACUUUGUAUUAUUACUAACCUUCUUUGAAAAACAUUGGUUUUGCUCCUAGAUCAUAAUCAAAAUAGUGAAUUAGAACAUAUGGAACCAUCUCUUUAUCUUUCUAUCAAGAAAAAAUAUGGUAGAUUAAUUGAUAUAUCAUUUAAUGAAAGAGCCCAAUGCAAAAAAAAAUGCAUGUUGGGUCUUUGAAACAGUUCAAAUCAUUUUGAUUUGUUUUAUCGAGGUCUAUAGUUCGAGUCCAUAAAACCCUAAUAUAAUAAAUAAGCCCUAUAAAAUAAAAAAAAUAUGAAAAAUAAUAUAUAUAUGAUUAUUAGUCCAUUUAAUGUAGAUUUGGAUUACUUUACAUAUACAUUAUUUUUAUACAAAAUAUAUGAAUGACAAUAAUAUACUACGCUUAUAAUAUAAAUAUACUAAUAUUAUAAUAUAUUAUGACAUGACCUAAUUAGAAGCUUUUGAACUUGUUUACGAAAGUGACAAUUAUGGUUCAUUAUUUUAUACUCUUUGACAUAUUGUACGUCAUAAAAAAAACUUAGAAGUGAAAUAUAGUAUCAAUUUGAAUUCACAAGACACAUAGGUUUUUUCUUUUUAUUUUAUAAAAUUCAUUAUGUAAUAAUUUUAAUGCAUUGAGUGAAUGAUGCUCAUACACUAGUGUGUUAUGUUAGAUGCCAAUAAGUAUAAAAAGACAUCGUUACUUGUAUUAUAAAAUUUUGGUAAUGACAAAAAUGCAUUACACUUACAAUAUAAAGAGACUCAUUACUAUACAUUACAACAUGACUUAAUUUAUAAAGUUUUAAAUUUUUUUUAUGCAAUUGUUAGGUAUAGGUUACUUUGUUAUAUUCCCUACCAUGCUUUAUGUCAUAAGUCAACGCUAGAUGUUAAAUAAAGUAUCACUUUGAAUUCACAAAUGUUAUUUUAAAGAAAUAACUUAGUAUUUUAUCAAAAAGUAUGAAUUAAUAAUAACCUAAAAUUGUUUUCUUGUAAUUUUUAGGAGAAGAUGACAAAUACAAGGUAAAGUUUCUAACAUAACUUAUAAUAUUUGAUGAUAAUGAAGUUCAAGAUAUCAUUUAUCACUGCAUAGAGAACACACGAAGUCCAUGAUGCUUUAUUGAGAGUUCAUUGAGAAUGUUUGAAGAUAAACAAUAUUGGAAUAAUUUACAUAUUAAUGAAUUUGCUAUAUUCCAUUUAUAUAUUGGUGAAUUUUUCCCUUUUAAUUUGUUUUGUUAGUUAAUGGGUAGUCCAUUGAUAUGUUAUUUCUUUAGAGAAAGAAUUUAGUAUAAAAUGAUAAUCAUACCAAAAAGUCAAAUAUUUAGGCAAAGGAAAACUUGAUUGUUUUAAUAUUUGUGACAGAUGUUUUUUUUCCCUCAAUGUAAUAUGAUAAUAAUUGCUAGUCAUCUUGUUAAAAAAAAUUUGUAUGGGUACUAUUCAACGCAAGCUAGAAGUUUCUAUUAAUUGUCUUACUAUAAAUUUUUAAUACAUAUUUUCCCAAUUAAAUAUGAAUCAAUGUUACUUACAUUUACUUCAUUACUUAGAUAUCAGUGCAUAGAAAAAAUUCUUAGUGAUGUAAAACAAUUAAAAAAAAUUAUAUUAGAUAUUAUUGUAAGGUAUUAUAAUGUUAGUAUAUUUAUAUUGAAAAUAUAAUUGAUUUAUGUCAUUCUUAUAAUUUAAAACAAAAUUUGUAGUUUUAGAGAUGCCUUUUAUACCUUAUGGGUACUAUUAGCAUCAUAUAUUCGAUGUAUUAAAAAAUGGAAACUAUGAAAAAAAAAAAAACUCAAAGUCAAGCAAAAAACAUAUUAUUCAAAUGAAAAAAAAUCAAAUAUGAAAAGAAAUAAUUAUACAAUUUUUUAAUUAUUUUAUUAUAAAAAACCAAAUUAUCCGAAAAUACAUUUUCCUUCAAUUAUUAUUUUUCUUUUCUUUUCAAAAAUGAGAUUGUUAUAAAGAACCUAAUGAAAGGGAAUUUAUGAUUUCUAAAAUAAAAACCAAAUCCAAGAUCAAUAUGAGUAUCUUCCAUCAAUACAACAAAACAAAAUUAAAUAAAAAAAAAAUUCAACUUAAAAGACAAUAAAUUUGAGCAUCAAUAUGGGUUUCAUAUUAUCUUUGGCUUCAAAUGAUAACAGUUGAUCUAACGGUUCAGAAAAAAAAAAAUUAUGGGAGAGCAUGAAGUAUUUUUAUAACUAGAUUUGUUGUUGGAUCUUCUUCGAGGAUAUGCAAGAGAUGAAGAAGAAGAUUAACACAAAUGGCCUUUGGAGGAAUUUUUACACUUUCUUCCCACCCUUCCCAAGACUUCUCAUAAUGGAUGAUUCCAUGGGGUCAUUAUCACCAUUAAUCCACCCUAUUUAGUAAUUUUCCCUACAAAAAAAGUGCAAGUUUUGCGUUAAAUUAUCAUAGAUAAGAAAGAGUAAUUUUUAAUAUGAAAUUAAAUUAUUUAAAAAAAAUAAAGAAUAAUGAGUGCGCAAAUCAAAAGAAAAAAAUGGUUUAGUUUGAGGGAAAAUCAAAGUAUGAAAAAAAAAACAAAAAAGUUUCACGAAGUGUGAGAAAAAAAAUCAUUUUAAAUUUAGUUAGAGAGAAUUUUAGAGAGUUUUAUUUUUCGAAGAAAAAAAUGAGUUUGAAAAAAAAAAAAAAAGAGAGAAGGAAUUCUAAAGAUUGAGUUUUAGUGAAAGGGAAUAUUUAAAAUUAAUAAAUUAUUGUGUAAAAAGGAUGUUUAAAACAAAUUAAAUUUGGUGUUUGUAGAGUAAAAAUAAUUUAAAUAAAUACAUUAACCAUCAACAAAAAAAAUAUAUUAAAAUACUAAAUUAAUUAAAAUAUAAUAAUCCUAUAGAAGGAGAGUUAAAUAAUAGUUCAACCAAUACAAAAAAAAUGUCAAAAAUGUUGAACAAGCUUAAGAUCAAGUAUAAAAAAUAAAAUAAAAAGUCAUUAUUAUUUUAUAAAAAUUUUAAAAUUAUACUUGAACUUUUUUUUCUCUUUUAAUUAGAUGAAUAUGAAUGUUUCAAUUAUUAUUUGAAUUGCAUUUAUGACAUGGUUAACACAUAUAACAUAUUGAGAUACUCAAUGUAUUGUAUUAUACCGUAUCCAAUAAAUUCAACUAGAUUAGUAUACAAAAAAUUUUACUAUCAAUGUCCAAUAUUAAUUUGAACUUAUUAUUCAAUUAGCAUACUAUUUCUUGUUUGGUUAUUUAAUAUUUAUGAAUUAUAACUACAAAAUAAUUUUUACUAAUACUAAUGCAUAUGAUAAAUUUUGGUUAUUAGAUUAUAAAUUAGUUGAAAAUAAUUUUUAACAAAACAAUAUUUUGUCUUUACUCUUUCUAGACAUAUCUUCAAGUUAUAUAAUUAAAUAAAUUUUAAUUGUUUUCCAUCUCUUAAGACUUAAAUUUUUAUUAGAAAAAAAUAAGUUAAGAUAUAUUAUUUUAUUAAAUAAUAUAAUGUAAUUUUUAAUAAAUAUUGAAUAAUUUCAAAUAUUAAUAUAAAAAAUAUGAAAUCAAUCUAAUUAGUAUGGUUUUAAAAAUCGAAUCGGACCGCUCGGUCCAACCGCUGGCCAAUCACGGUUUCAAUUUGAUUAAUUAGGUCGAAAAUAGUUUGAAUUGAAAUCGGACCCAACCCUUGAAUUAGAGGAACCGAUCGAUUCCAUCCGAACCGAAUGAACCCUGGUUGCUUAUUUUCAAUCUAAUUAGUAAACUUAUAUAAUUGCCUAAUAAAAUAAAAUACACUCAAAUUAAAAAGAAAAAAAAAAAGAAAAAAGAGUGCAAAUGUUGGACACAACCUUGGUUGCUUAUUUUCAUGACUUUAAACUCUGCUUUUUAAGAUGGAACGUGAUUCAUUCAAGUUAAGAAAUCCUUUAGGCUAUAUUUGGUUCCCGAAAAAUUUGAGAGAAAAUGCGAGAGAAAUAAAAUAGAGAAAAAAAGUGGAAGUAAAAAAAAUGAAGGAAACUAAAAAAAAUAGAUUCAAAAUUAAUAUAUUAUUUUUACAUGUUUCUUCAAGCUCAUUUCACUUAAUUUCCUCCAUUAUAUAAAGAUUAAAUAAAUUUAAAAUAUAUGAAUUUUUAACUAAUUUUAAUUAUAUUUAAUUUUCUUUUAAAAAAUUUGUAGUGAAACUAAAUAUAAGAAAAUUAUUUUUCUUUGCAUUUUUUUCUUUUCUUAUUUCUUUUUGGGAACCAAACAUAACCUUAAUGUACACUUAUUUUAGGUACCAAUGGACCUUUAUCAUUCCAUCAAAAACUUAAUAUACUACAUUGGAAAACAAGAAGUAAAAAACUAGUUUUGCAAAUUGAAUACAAUUAUGAAAAAAAAAAAAAUAGUUUCAAGGUGCAAUGAAAAAAGUUUACAAGUUUUAGAAUAUUGCACAAAAAAAUAUAUUAACAAAAUCUCAAGGUUUAGACAACAAACUGAUUUACAAGUAGUAAUCUUUCUAUGGAUGAAGUUUAAGAGCCUUAAAAGAGAGGUUCAAGUCAAAACUAAUCUUUAGAUAUAAGUUAUAAUUUAACUAAUCAAUCACUUAUUAUGUAUUAUACUUUUUGGGCAACCUUGGACUGUUAGCCACUGCAACCUACAACUUUUUCCCACUGCUCAAUUAGGUUAUGUUUGGUUUGGGGAAAGUAUUAAAGAAAAAAAAAUUAAGAAAAAUUUAUUUCCUUAUGUUUGAUUUUUCUAUAAUUUAUUUUUUAAGAAAAUUAAAUAUAAUUAAACUUAGUUAAAAAUUUAUAUAUUUUAAAAUUAUUUAAUCUUUAUAUAAUGAAGGAAAUUAAGUGAAAUGAAUUUGAAAAAACAUGUAAAAAUAAUUUAUUAAUUUUGAAUCUAUAUUUUAUUUUACUUUAUUUUUUCUUUCAUUCCACUUUUCUUUUUUCUUUUUUUCCCCUUACAUUUUCUCUCAGAUUUUUAAGGAAUCAAACAGAGGGUAUGAAUUUGAAUAUUUUUUAGCUAUAAAGGUCCAAGAAUUGGUUCAAUUGAAUAUCCAUAUAAUUUUGGAGGAACAUUUUAACAAUAUUAAUAAAUGUUUAUUCGAAUUGAAAAAUAUAUUUUAACUAAUGAUAAAAAUGAAUCAUGUUAAAUUUGAGCUUUUAAUUUUGUAUGAAUCAAACUCUUUGUUUUUUUUUGAAGAAAAAAAAAAUCAACAAUGCAUAAAUGGGUUUUUUUUUUUUAAAUCUUUAUAAAACUAUGAUUCUUUUUCCUUUAAAAAUGUUUAAUUUUUAAAUGUCAAUAUUAAGGCAUAUUUAUUAUCAUUGAAAAAAAAAUAUCUUUUGAUUUUCUUUUCAAUGUCAUUAAAAUUAAAGUCAUAAAUUAUAUGCUAAUCUUUAAUAGAAUGAUUCCACUUUUACCAUCACUUUCGUUAUCUACCUAGCUAUUGGGGAACUCAUGAUGGGACGUGAUAAAAAAAUGAAGUAAUUAUUUCACAAGUUAUUUAUCAAUUUUUUUUAAAAAAUCCUAAUUACCAUAACAUCACAAGAUUUUCUAUAAAUUAUUUUGCCAAACAUUAUGAAAAUGAUGAGAUAAUUUAAUGCUUCUAAAAUUAUAAUAAUUGAAGAAUAAGAUGAGAUUUGAUAGUUGUGGUGAAGUCUAAGACCGCGUUGAGUGUAAUCUGUAAUUAGAGAUAGUGGGGAAUUUCACGAGGCUUGUCAGUAGGCAAAACGCUGGAGUUUAUGCCCCAAUAAUCAAAUCGGGAAGCAGAGAUUCAAACGACAACAAACAAAAGCAAUAGCGGCUAGACGCGUGAAAAAUCCUUUAUGACGUAACGUGCCCCCCACUCAGAAAUCGCCACGUGUGGCACACGCGUCUUCUGAAUUACUUGAAAAUUGAGCAUCCAUUGAGUGUGCCCUGUCCCUUCUGUUUUUACCGAGUCAGUGAUGGACUUGUUAUAUUUUGAAUCCCACUCUCAUCUGCCACUCAUUAUCCUUCUCUACAUGUUUUAAAUAACUGAAAUUACUCUUAAGUGAGUCCACUCGACUACGGGGAUAUAUGAUUCACUCUCUUCUCAUAAGUUCAACUUCAAUUUUUUUUUUGGAUAAAGACAUGGUAAUAUGUACAAAUUUUCUUAAUUCUUGCAAAAAACCGUGACGCAUUAUUUUUAUUUAUUUAAAAAAAUAUGGGUAUAUUUGUGGAUGGAAGGCUUGGAAGCCAUAAUCUUGUACAGGUGAAUGGUGACAGACUUCAUUUAUGAUGGGGUAGUACUAUAUAAUAUUCUUUGUUUUUGGGAAGCAAAACUCUUAAACUUAAUAAUGAAUAAUUUUCUACCUGUUUAAGACUCAGCCUAUCAAAAUAAAACGGCCAAAACCCGGCCUUUAUCUCUCCGUAACUCCUAUAAAUUUCUGGUUCCAACGCAUCAGACACGCCAACAUUCUCGCUUCUUCUCCUCACUUCUCACUUCUCACUUCUCAAACUGAAGGAGAUAGAGAGAGAAAUGCAUAGACAACAUAAGCUUUUGAGCCAUCUCUUUCUCAUUUUCUUAUUCUCAGCUUCGUUUCCCAAUGUAGGAAUGGGUUUUUUUUCUUUUCUUUCUUUUGUUUUCUCAAUAAUUUUUCUUCUUUUUUCACACCCUUUCAAUUCACAAUGCAGGUUGCUUUGGGCGGAGCCGGUGAGGAAUCGGGCAAACCGGUGGCUGGAGAAAACCCAUUCACACCCAGAGCGUCUUUGCUUCGGUAUUGGAAUAAGCAGAUCGGCAGUGGCUUGCCAAAGUCCACCUUUCUUCUCUCCAAGGCAUCCCCAUUGAGCGCGGUUGAGUCGGCCACCUUUACUAAACUUGCCGCUCAAAAUGCGCUUUCCGACAAUCUGCCGGCGUUCUGUAAGUCUGCGAACCUGCUCUGUUUUCCCGAUUUGGGGCAGAGCUUGGAGAAGCAUGACGCUAGUUCCAACUUCGCCGUGUAUUCGAACAAGAAUUUCACCAAUUACGGAACGGAUGGACUCGGGGGAACGGACGCCUUCACAAAAUACUCGGAGGGGGUCAAUCUUCCUGUCGACGCAUUCAAGCGCUAUAGCCGUGACUCCGUCGGCAACAAUGAUAAAUUCGAUAAUUACGGCCGCGAGGGCAACGUCGUGGAUCAGAGCUUCAGCGGCUACGGUGCCGGGGCUACCGGCGGCUCUGGAGAGUUCAAGAAGUACAACGAAGAGGUUAAUGUUCCCAACCUUCGAUUCAACUCCUACACAGACGAUGGCAAUGGCCGUCAACAAUCAUUCACGAGUUACACAAAUGAGACCAAUUCUGGAGAUGAGUCCUUCAGUAGCUACGGCAAGAACGGCAACGGAUCUCCGAACGAGUUCACGAGUUACGGCAGCAGCUCCAACGUCAUCGGCUCCACGUUCACCGGCUACGGUGAAACCGGCAAUGCCGCCAACGAUACGUUCAAGAGCUACGGCUUUGACGGCAACGUGCCAGAGAACAACUUCAAGAAAUACGGUGAUGGUGGUAAUGCGGGGACCGAUACUUUCAUAAGUUACAGAGAUCAAUCCAAUGUAGGAGACGACUCCUUCAAAUCCUACGCCAAGAAUUCCAAUUCCGCAGAGGUGGAUUUCGUCAACUAUGGGAAAUCGUUCAACGAAGGUACAGACACUUUCGCUGGGUACGGCAAGGGAGCGACGAACCACAAAAUUAAUUUCAAGAUCUACGGCGUCAACAACACAUUCACAGACUACGCUAAAAAGGGCAUCUCCUUUUCAAGAUACACCAACAAAAGCUCUGAAACAAUGACUUCCAUGGCGGUCAGUGGCAGUUCAGUAAAUAGGUGGGUUGAGCCGGGUAAAUUCUUCCGCGAGUCGAUGCUGAAGAAAGGGACUGUGAUGCCAAUGCCGGACAUUAGGGAUAAAAUGCCCAAAAGGUCGUUUUUGCCCCGCACUAUUUCCUCCAAAUUUCCGUUUUCAACCUCCAAACUUGAGGAGAUGAAGAAAAUAUUCCAUGCCGCGGAUAACUCAAGCAUGGAGCACAUGUUCACAGAGGCAUUAGAUGACUGCGAGAGAGCACCCAGCAAAGGCGAGACCAAGCGCUGCGUCCCCUCCAUCGAGGACAUGAUCGACUUCGCCACCACCGUCCUCGGCCGCAACGUUGUGGUUCGCACCACCCAAUCCGUCGAAGGGUCAAAACAAAACUUAAUGAUCGGGUCGGUCAAAGGGAUCAACGGUGGACAAGUCACCAAAUCGGUGUCCUGCCACCAGAGCCUGUUCCCUUAUCUACUCUAUUACUGCCACUCCGUUCCCAAGGUUCGGGUCUAUGAAGCGGACCUCCUGGACCCGAAAACCAAAGCCAACGUUAACCAUGGUGUUGCCAUCUGUCACUUGGACACCUCCGAUUGGAGCGCGGGUCAUGGUGCAUUCGUGGCAUUGGGUUCGGGCCCUGGCCGGAUUGAAGUUUGUCACUGGAUUUUCGAGAAUGAUAUGACCUGGACCAUUGCAGACUGAGCCAUGACCCACCUUCCCGUCUGGGUUCGAACCACUUGGUCAACAAAGCUGGCUCGACCCCAACUUCCGCUUAUGUAUUUCCUUCAUAAGAUGUCAUGGUGAAAUAUUUAAGGCAUGUGUUUCACCAGGCUAAGGAUGGUAAUUUAUUGUAUGUUAUCAUUAUCCCAGUGUUGAGAGCGUGUCUUUGAUGGCUUCCUCAUUGGUAGGAGGGUGAAAUGCAAUGAAUGAAUGGCUUGUUCUUCUUUUCUCUCUGUUUAUUAAUUUUUUUAUAUUUGACAUUAAAGAAAUGGAGGGUGGUGGGAGAACAGAGGGAGAUGCAAAACGUUGAUGAAUCUAGAAACCAAAACCAAAAGAUGAUGCACAUACACCACUCAAAAAAGAAAAGGGUGCUAUAAAAAAAACAUGGGAAAGGCCAUGUGACAGCUGUUGCAGGGGCAUCCCCUUAAUUCUCAUGGAAAACAAGGGGCAGUGAUUAGAAGGUUUCUUCAGUUGAUCGUUCAAUUCCGAAGUCAAUUAGAUCCGUUUUAUUGCAAAUUUCCACCAUCUUGAUGGCGCAAAAUCACUGUCACCUUUCAAGGGUGCCCUUAAAAGGAAAAAGAACAAAAAGGGGUAGCCUUUUAUCCAUCUUUUUCUUAGUCAUGAUCAUGAAAGCAAAGAUUUCUAAUUUUGGGUGGCUCAAAUAAAGAAAGGCGAUUCCAAGAUUUGAGUGGCUCCAAUGAACGGAUUAGCGUUCGUGAUGGUAAAAAUUAAUCUCUCAAAUGGCUUCAUUCACGGCCCACGACUCAAUCAUGCUUCUCAUGAACUUGAAAAACUACCCUCCUCCCUGCACGGUCUAGUGUGGCACUGCCUUCUGGUUUAUUUAAAUACACUUCCUGAGCUUCAUUCUCUCAUCAAUCAACCUAAUAGUUUGUCUUUUUUCUUCAUAUUAAAAAAUAAAACCAUCAUGUUAUCGUAAAUAUUACAAUAAUUGAAUUGAGACAAUGACGUUGUAACUGCCAUUAAUUAGACGUUGAUACUCAAGGGCAAAAGUCCCAUCAGUAGAUCAUUAAUUGGAACACCUCCAUCUAUGCUCAAUCUAAAGCCCGAGGCAUUAAGUGCCACAUUUCCCUGUUCCACAGAUGGACGUCCUUAAACAGAGCUUUAUAUCAUUGGUCAAUGUUCAAUGAAAUUUGUAAGGCCCAGAUAAAGUGAGUGGGCUAUGGAAUGAUUGCAAAGUUGUUUCCUUUAUCACGUUAAAACUCAUCCCUUUCCUAAGGCUGCAACGCCAAGUAUGAUGAUGCUUAAUCUUUCAGUAGCCUCAAAGCUGCAGAGAGUGAGCAUGUAUUGUUUCCAAAAAGUGCCUAAUUCAUCCACCCGCGAAUCACUAUCAUGUUUGGGACCAUGAAAAACGGAAAAAGAAAAAGAAAAGAAAGGGAAAGAGAGACAGAAGAAAAGAAAAACGAAAAGAAAAGCGUGUAAUCGAUGUAUUAGCAAUAUAAUUAGCAUUAUCUCUUGGCUUUGUCAAAGAAGAAAUAAUAGAUUGGAGAAAGAUUUAGACGAAAAGGAAAAGAAAAGCUAGCCAAGCAUGCUUUUUAUGACGCAGGCACUUUUGGUAGGGCACAUGCAUUUUAUGUACGCACGCUUAUAACAGCGGGUUACAUGUAUUUAUGUAAUCCCCUGAGGAAGGCGCAAAAAGUAAAAUUCAUCGUGGGAAGUACAAAACUUUGUCAACGUUCAACGUUCAAUGAGAUUUGGCAUUUAGAGUUGAAGGGUGUAGGAAUUCAAGACAUUUCAACAACCCUCAAUACAUCAAACAAAAAGAAAAAGUACCGAUAUUUUAUUGCUAUUAGAGAAAAUAGGCUCUAUAAAGACCCAGCAUGUGAAUGGCCGAGGAAAUAUAACUGCAGGCACCAUAAUCAUCGUUUGGAAUUUGGAAAUUCAAGUUUGAGAAAAGGCUCCAUUAAUGGAGCCAAUGGCCAAUCUUUUUCUCUGAGCAAGUAGACCGAUCGCCCAUGUUUUCCAUUGUGAAGAUGGCUCUCCACUAGGAGCCUACAAGAACCAAAGUUGGGAUUCUCUCAACCAUAGACUGGGCCACCGACACAUACGACCCACUAACCAUCUGCCAUGCCAUAAAAGCAGGUACUCGUUUGCCAUUUGGGGAGGACCCCUACUCAAGCAAUUAAAACUCCAUAUCUCAUUUGGCAGGAAAUACUACAAACUACUACAUAUAUCUUGGAUCGCAAAUGCCUAAGAUGGUAAAAUGUAUGGGACCCAUGUGGCCCUGCACUUCUGCCAUUUGUUAGGGUCUACUACAUAUAUCUUGGAUCGCAAAUCUCUAAGAUAGUGAAAUGUAUGGGACCCAUGUGGCCGGUUUGCUUCAUCAGCAUCCCCUGCACUUCUGCCAUUUGUUAGGAAUGGCCUACGGCAUAUAUCUUGGAUGGCAAAUCUCUAAGAUGGUAAAAUGUGUGUGACCCAUGUGGCAGGUUUGCUUCCUCAUCAGCAUCUCCUGCUUUCUGUCAUUUGUUAUGUUUUUUAUUUUAAUGCGGCCCACGUGGCCUAUUUUAUUAUUAAUUAUUUUUAUUUAAUUUAAAAGAUAAUUAUAGUAAACUUAUUUUAUUAUUAAUUAUCUUUUAUUUAAUGUAAAAAAUGAUUAUGAUUAACAAUAUUAAGUGCUAAAAUCCUAUUCAUUAGUACUUAAAGGAGUUGUUUUCUAAAUAAUCAUUAACCUUGAUCAAGUAUGGGAAAUAAAAAGAGAAAGGAGACCCUAUUUAGGUGCGAAUCCUCUCUCCAUCCGAUAUAUAAUUUUCUCUUCAUUAAGAAACAUAUAUCAAACUAAAAGGGAUUAAGAGAGAAAAACCAAGUUUUUUUUUUUAAUUUGUUCUUCUUUGUAAAGAAUUCUCUUUAAGAUUAAUCUCAUGGAUUAAUAUAUAUUUUCUUGAUCAUUUAUUUUAUAUAUGAAAAAUCAUAAAGUUCUAAGAUUUGGGAAUUAGAGUUAUACAUAAUUGUUCAAUAUAGAUUAAAGAAACCUUAAGAUGUGAUAUUAGAGUAAAGAUUUACAAAUUUGUGAUUUUCCUUUGAAGAUUAUUUUAUAUUUCUCUCUUAUGAUAUCAAAUCUUUUAACAAGAAAAUUAAAUUUAUUAAUAUUUUCUGUUGUAAUUGUGUUAGCGUUUUGUUGUAUGUUUUGCCUUUCAAAUAGUUGACUAUUCAAUAAUUAUUGUUGAUGUAAUUUCUUUUAUAUAUUAUUGCUUAUCAUUUUUUUAAGUAUGUUUCAAAUGCUCUUUCUGGUUUCCUUAUGCAUAUUUGACAAUAAAAUCCUUAAGAGAAUUGAUUAAUAUAUAAUGUGUCAAUAUAUUAUGUGAAUGAUUUUUUCUUUUGUAUUAAAGUUUUGCUUUAUUUGUAAAGUUUUGUUUUAUUUUAUUGUAGUGCCACUUUUACUAUGAUAGAUAUAUAAGGAAUCAUGAAGUUUUGAGUGAUGUGUGUAUAUAUUAUUAUUAUUAUUGUUGUUGUUGUUGUUAUUAUUAUUAUUAUUAUUAUUAUUAUUACAAUUACUAUAUUAUUAUUCAUGCUUAUUGAUAUUAUACAAUUUGAAUAGAUAUUAUGAAUGGUUUGUUAAUCACCAAAGUGACAAAAUCCUAAAGCUUUAUGUUAAUUAAAUUGUACAAUAUUAUCAAAUAACUAUUAUGGCUAUUUAAUUUGAUAUCUAUAGCAUGAAUAACCUGUUAGUAAUCAAAGUAGCCAAAUUAGAAAGUUUUUAUAGAUGUCAAAUUAAAUAAAAUUCAAUUGCUCAUGAUUAUGUGAUGACAUAUGAAAUGACAUAAUGAUAUGUAUAUUUGUUUUGUCAUGAAUAUAUUGAAGUUUAUUGAUCAUAAAACAUUUAGGGAUCACCCAAAUAUUUAAGGAUCACCUAAAGGUUGAUUAGUUAAUUUUAUUGUCAUUAACAUGAUCGUGGUUAACUAAUAUACUUUAUUUUAUAUGUUUAGUAUAUCCAAAGUUAGCAAACAUGCCAGGUUAAAGUAUAUAUAAUUGUUAAUUAUAAAAAUAAAUAAAUUAAACAUCAAUUAUGUUUAUUGUUAUACAUUGUUGGAUCACCCAAAGAAGAACUUCAAUGUACAUUUAUUGUUUAUGUUAAUGUUAAUAUCUGAAUAAGUAUUAUCUGUUUAAGUUUAUGACUCAAAACAUUAAUGUAUGAGUGUUCUAUGUAUUUGUAGUUUCUGCUCUCGUUUCUCUUCAUUCACAAGCUUCGUCUAUUUUGAAGUAUAAUAGACUCAACUUCUUUGAGUGGUAUGAACAAGCCCAGUUUCACCUAGGUGUUCUGGAUCUUGAUUUGACACUCAUUACUGAUAAGCUUGUUGCUAUUACUAAUUCAAGUAGCACAAAGCAAAUGUCUUUUCAUAAGGCUUGGAAAAUAUCAAACAAACUAAGCCUAAUGUUUAUGCGAAUAACAAUAGUAAACAACAUCAAGUUAGCUCCUUAAACUUAUACACACCGACAUAUGUGGGCCUUUUGAUGUUCAAUUUUUUUGGUGGAGAAGCGUAUUGUAUUACCUUUAUUGAUGAUUUUUCACCUUAUGACUAUGUAUAUUUGUUGCAUGAAAAAUGUCAAUUAGUAGACGCCUUAGAAGUGUUUAUUAAUGAGAUUGAAAGACAACUAGACAGAAAUGUGAAAAUUGUUAGGUCUGACAAAGGUGGUGAAUAUUGUGGAAAACAUGUUGAAAUUGGACAAUCCACUGACCUAUUUGCUAAAUUCCUUGAAAAACGUGGCAUAUGUGCCUAAUACACUAUGUCAAGUACAUCGCAAGGUGUUGUAGAAAGGCGUAACCGUACUCUAAUAGACAUGAUUAGGAGUAUGUUGAGCUAUUCUUCUUUACUCUUAUCUUUGUGGAUGCAUGCUUUAAAAACUGUCAUGUAUUCAUUAAAUGGGGUUCCCAAUAAGGCAGUUUCAAAGACCCCUUUUGAAUUGUGGAUAAGAAGGAAACCCAAUUAAAGGUACCUGCAUGUUUAAGGUUACUCGAAAAAAGUAAGGAUUUAUAAUCCAUAUAAAAAUAAAUGAGACUCAAGAACAACUAGUGGCUUUUUCAUUGGUUAUCCAAAAAAAUCUAAAGGGUAUGGAUUUUAUUGUCUUGACUAUAGUACAAGAAUUGUUAAAGCUGAAAAUGUUAUGUUCAUAGAAAAUGGCGACAAUAAUGAGAGUAUGGAACCACAUAAAGUGGAAAUUGAAGAAGUUAGGGUGCAGGUUUCUUUACUUUUGACUUCUUCUCAAGUUGUUGUCCCUACGAUUGUUGAAUAGUUUGACAACUUGCAAGAACAACAAAUGAAUGAUCAAAUUCCCUAUAAUGAAAUUGUUGCAUAUGAACCUAUAGUGGACGAACCAUAUGAAGUAACAUUAAGAAGGUCUCAAAAGCAAAAGAGAUCUGUUAUCUAAUGUUAUAUGGUUUAUAUACAAGAGUAAGAAUUUGAAUUAGGUGUUAAUUCUAUUAAGACCAGUUUAGGAUCCAUCUUCAUUUUCACAAGCCAAAAAAAGUGUUAAUUCUAUUAAAAUGAUUAGACGUUAUGAAAGAAGAGUUAAAAUCCAUAGAUCAUAAUGGACUCUAGGACCUCGUUGAAGCCCGAAGGUUGUAAGAGGCAGUUGUAAAUGAGUUUUUAAGACCAAAUGUAACUCAAAUGGCAAUAUCAAAUGUAUAAGGCUAGACUUGUUGCCAAGGAUUUUAUUUAGAAGGACGGUGUUGACUACAAUGAGGCAUUUUCUUCUGUUUCAAAAAAGGAAUCUUUUAGAAUUAUCAUGGCAAUGGUAGCUCAUUAUGACUUAGAGUUACAUCAAAUGGAUAUGAAACCAUUUUUUUUAAUGAGUAUUUAGAGGAAGAAGUUUACAUGGAUUAACGUGAGGGUGUUUUUGUUAAAGGAAAGGAACAUAUGAUGUGUAAACUUAAGAAGCCAAUAUAUGGACUUAAAUAACCUUCUCGACAAUAGUAUCUUAAGUUCAAUGAUAUUAUCAUUUCUAUUGGAUUUAAAGAAAACACCGUUAACGGUGUAUAUAUAUGAAAGUCAGUAGGAGUAAGUUUAUAUUUAUGAUUUUAUAUGUUGAUGAUAUUUUGCUUGCUACUAAUGAUUUUGGCUUACUACAUGAGACUAAGAAAUUUCUCUCUAAGAACCUUGAAAUGAAAUAUAUGGAUGAGACAUCCUAUGUGAUGAAUCACAAGGAUUGUCUCAAAAAGCAUGCAUUAAUAAAGUUUUAGAAAGAUUCAAGAUGGAAAAGUGUUUUACAAGUGUUGCUCCAAUUUAGAAAGAGGAUAAAUUCAGUCUUAUUUAAUGCCCAAAGAAUGAAUUGGAACAUACAGAAAUGGAAAGAAUUCUUUAUCUAUCUAUUGUUAGGAGCUUGAUAUAUGCUCAGACUUGUAUCAGGCCAAACAUCAUUUUUGUUGUCGAAAUGUUAGGUAAAUAUCAAAGUAAUCCAGGUUUGGAUCAUUGGAAAGUUGCAAAAAAAGUAUUAAGAUACUUGCAAGGAACAAAGGAUCACAUGCUUGCUUAUAGGAGAUUUAAUCAUCUAGAGGUGAUUAAAUAUUUAAAUUCAAAUUAUAUUAGAUGUGUUGAUACAUGAAAAUCCACAUUUGACUAUUUGUUCCUUUUAAUUGGCGGUGUGAUAUCAUGGAAAAGUGCGAAAUAGUCUAUCAUUGCUGCAUGCACUAUGAAAGUUGAGUUUGUUGCACGCUUUGAGGCCAUCGGUAAUGGAUUACGGCUACAGAACUUUACUUCAAGACUUAGUAUUGUCAACAAUAUUGUCAAGUUGCUGAAAAUUUAUUGUGAUAACUCUGUAAUAGUUUUCUUUUAAAAAAACAAGAAGUAUUCAAAAGGUGUUGAACACAUAGAAGUGAAAUACUUUGUCGUUGAAAGAAGUUCAAAAACAAAGGGUGCCAAUCAAACACAUUAACGCCAACUUUAUGAUUACAAAUUCAUUAACAAAAGGAUUGUCGACAAACAUGUCGAAAAAACGGACAUUAUUGGGUAUUGUCAUUAACAUUAAGUAUGUUAUUAUGUUAUGUUUUUAUGUAUUCAACACUUUAAGCUCAUUUAAAUAUUGUUUUUGAUAUUUGAAUAUCCUAUUCCUUUUCAUUGGUAUAUACAUGAAUGAAUUAUGUAAGUUUUAAUAGAAUUUGUCUCUGAUGAAGACAUUAUUGUUGGAUGAUUAUGAUAUAUUUUAUUAUAGGUCAUGUUAAGUUUGAAAUUAAAUAUUGUGAUACAUGGAAGAGAUUAUGUCAAGAUAAUGACAUGUAACCACUAUGAUUCUUAUUAGUUUUUGUUUAAUGGUGAUUUAUGAUGUAACUAAUGUAAGAAAGGAUUUCACUUAUAGUAUGCAUAUUAUGUUUUAUUAUUAAACCAUGGUAAUGCCAUAUGAGCCAAGUGGGAAAAUGUUAGUUUUUUUUUUUUUUUUUUUGAAUAUGGCCCAUGUGGUUUAUUUUAUUAUUAAUUAUCUUUUAUUUAAUUUAAAAGAUAAUUAUGAUUAAUAAUAUUGAGUGCUAAAAUCCUAUUAGUCAAUUAAGGAGAUGUUUUCUAAAUAAUCAUUUAUGUUGAUGGAACGUGAGAGAAAAAAAAAAAAGACCUUUAGUUAUUUCUUUACCCAAUAUAUAUAUAUAUAUAUACAAUUUUUUUUCCAUCAAACAACAUAAAUCAAACUAAAGGGGUCAAAAGAGAGAAACCAAGUUUUCUCUUAUUUGUUAUUCUCUGUAAAGAUUUCUUCAAGACCAAUUUUAUGGAUCAAUGUAUGUUUUCUUGAUUAUUUGUUUUAUUUGUAAAAAAUUUAAAAGUUCUAAGAUUUCGAAAUUAGAAUUAUGCAUAAUUGUUCUGCAUAAAUUAAAAAACCCCAACACCAUUUUCCUCUACUCUCUAUCUUGCUUCUUGGGUCUCAUAUUUUGUACUUUGUUUACCAUUAUAUAAGUUAUCUUCCAAUAUAUUCGUUUUGCCAUAAUUUUCACAGAGCUUAUAGAAAUAUGUGAAUGUAUAUGCACAAAAGAAUUAAUUUUGCUUCCGUCAUUCUAAACUCUUGAAAUAAGUCCAGAAAGGAACUGCUACUUACAAAGAUUGAGCCAGCAAAUGAAAUUUUUUUAAUUUUCUUAUUCCUCAUUCUUAAUUAAUACUAUGUUUAGUAUGGUAAUGGAGGUAUUUGGAAAGGAAAAAAAUGGACUUAAAAAAAAAAAAUCAAAUUUGGUAUUAGGAAUAGAAGGAAUACAUGAAGGGAAAUGAUUUCAAAAUGAUUUAUUAAAAUUUUGAAGUUUCCAUUUAAAAAAAAAAAUGAAUGAAAUUUGAUUUGAUAUCUUUUAAUCUUUUUAUCCAUAUAAAUAAUUUUUACUUAGUGAAGUCUGGAAUUUCAUGUCAAUAUAUAGUUUCUCUUUCAUUUUGAUUUUUGAAAUUAUUGGUAGAUUCAUAUAAGAAUUCAAAGUAAAAAAAGAUUUUUUUUUACGAUAAUUAUUAUAUUCUUUGAAUUUUUUAACUAGUAUAAGUAAUUUUCAUUGAUCAUUGGGGUAAAUAUCUGAAUUUACUACAUCAUAUUUUUUUGAAGGAAUAUUACAAAAUUAUUUCAUUUUCAUUUCUCUUACAACACCAAACAUGUGAAAGAUUUUUUUUUUUCUCUUCUGGCAAACAUGAUGAAUAAAUUGAAAUCUAAUUUCUUUUCUUUUAAUUUCUAUUAGUAAUUGAAUUUGUUUUGAAUUGAAAUUAAUUCCUUUCAUUGCAAAUCCUCUUUUAUACCAAAUAGAAUGAAGUAAUUGAAAUCCAAUUGCUUUCUUAUUUUAAAUUUUAUUGAUUGAAUUCUUUCUUUCUCUCUCUAAAAUCAGAAUAAGUUGAAAUUAAUUUAUUUUAUUUCAAAUUUUAUUUUAAAAAAAAAUUGAUUCUAAAUAUAAUAUUAACAUUUUCUUUAGUUUAGGCUUUUGCCCAAAUAUCCCUAAAAUAAACACUCUGGGAGUAUGGGCCUCCGAGGAAUGGAGUCCAACUGUUAACACCCAGCUAUGAACAAACCCCAGAGUCAACUCUACUCAUUGAUUUCAGCUGAGUUCCUUGACAUCUGUGGAUCACUUUUCAUACUGGCAUGGCUGACCGGCUGAAUGACCCAUCUGUAUAGGGUAGAGCCGGGCCUGAUGCAGUCUUCUUUCAGUGCACUACCUACAUUCGACAGUCUGAUAAUCUGGACUAUCAUUCAUUCAUUUCACUCGGACAGCUUUCCCUGCUGUUUUGGAUUGAGAAUUAAUGGGCUAUGGUUCUGUAACCUUGAAGGUGGGGAAGAUGACUUCGGUGCUCUCUUAAACGAAGUCGCAGCAGGGAGUAUUCAAUUUUCUGAGAAGUUAGGUGAGUCCCAGUACAUCAUCAAUCAAUUGAACGUGCACGAGUAUACAUAAUGAAAAUAUAAAUAAAAGGUGCAAUUGAUUUAUAUUCUUGUGAUCACUACUAGCAUUUACGGUAGGUAAGUCGAGAUUCACCCACAAAUUAUCUUCAUCUGUCCACCAGCAAAACUAGAAUGAUCUGCUCCUUCUCCAUUGGGUAAGAAAGGAUUAUGUUUCCAGCUAUUUGACUCUAGCAGACUAGAUAGAAAAUUUUUAGAGAAAGACGUGUUUUAAAAUAGAUAACAUCUACAUAGAUGGUGUGCAUGCAAAACUAAGUCUCAAUCGAUAUCCUUGUCUUCCUUUUAUUAGAUCUAGUUCCACCCACAAAUUUAUUAUCUAGGAGUGGACCACCUUAUGCAUAAAUGGGCGACACCCAACAACAAUAAAGCCAAUGAUGGUGAACCAUUAGUGACCGAAUUAAAGAUCUUUUGGAGACUGUAUCGAUUCUUCACCACUUAUUGCUGUGCAACGACCACUCGAAAUGGACAUAUAUAGAAUAUUGAAGAAGAGACCAUUCAUACAUGCAUAUGUGAGUAAACAAACAUAUUACACAACGGGGACUCGUCAUUGUCAUCCCGCGGAGAGGAGGGCAAUCCACUGUGAGAUGAAUCACUGUCGAAUGCCAUGACAAAAUCUACGUAAGAAACGAAGAAGACACUCUAACACCGGCAACAGAGCUUUGACCCAAAAUAGUGCGUUUUAAAAAAAUAUUCCAAAAAAUGAAGUUGUUGUCAAAAUAAUGUCCGAUCUAAUGCGUUUGUGCCAUAUGUCAUAAAACCGUAGUUGGUGACUACGGUUUUAUUUUUCUUAAGUGAUUAGAAACCGUAGUUACCAAUCACGGUUUUAACUUACUACUGCUUUGACUUUUUUUAAAAUGGUCAAAAUCGUAGUCACCAACUACGGUUUUAACUUUAUAUAUAUUUAUAUAUAACUUUAAUUUUUUUAAUAAAAAUAUUAUAUUAUUUUGAUUUUAAAUAUACUUAUUUCAUUAUUUUAAAAAUAAUAAUAUAUGAAAUUAAAUAAUUGAUAUUUUUAAUUUGAUAUAAAUAUAUUUUUAAAUUUUAUUAAAAUAAUAUACUCUAUAUUUAAUAUAAAUAUAUUUAGUUAAUUAUAUUUAAAUAUAAAUAAAAUAUAAUAAAUUAUGAAAGCCUAUUAAAAAACAAAUAAUAUAAAUUAUUAUAUUAAUUAAUAAUUUUUUAUAUACUAUAUGUAAGUGGUAUAUAAUGUCACAUGUAUAUAAGUUUAAUCAAGUUUAAAAUUUAUCAUAUUUUAAUUUAAGUUCAUAAUAUUAUAUCGAUAUGAUAAUAAUUUAUUUAUAUAUUUAAAUAAAUAUGCUAAAUUUUAAACUUAAAUUAAACUUUUAUAUAUAUAUAUAUAUAUAUGUGUGUGUGAUAUUAUAUACUACUUACAUAUAAUAUAUAAAAAAAUUAUUAAUUAAUAUAAUAAUUUAUAUUAUUUUUUUAUCCAAAUAGGCAUUUAUAAUUUAUUUAUUUUAAAUAAACAUAAUUUAUUAUAUUUUAUUUAUAUUUAAUUGUAAUUAAAUAAUUAUAUUUAUAUUAAAUAUAGUGUCAAUUGUUUUAAUAAAAUUUAUUUAUAUAUUUAAAUAAAAAUAUGAUAAAUUUUAAACUUAAAUUAAACUUUAUAUAUAUAUAUAUAUAUAUAUAUAUAUAUAUGUGUGUGUGUGAGGUAUUAUAUACCACUUAUAUAUAAUAUAUAAAAAAUUAUUAAUUAAUAUAAUAAUUUAUAUUACUUUUUUAUUUUUCUAAAUAGGCAUUUAUAAUUUAUUUAUUUUAAAUAAAUAUAAUUUAUUAUAUUUUAUUUUAAUUAAUUAAUUAUAUUUAUAUUAAAUAUAGUGCCUAUUGUUUUAAUAAAAUUUAAAAAUAUAUUUUUAUAUCAAAUUAAAAAUAUCAAUUAUUUAAUUUCAUAUAUUAUUAUUUUUAAAAUAAUGAAAUAAGUAUAUUUAAAAUCAAAAUAAUAUAAUAUUUUUAUUAAAAAAUUAAAGUUAUAUAUAAAUAUAUAUAAAGUUAAAACCACAGUUGGUGACUACGACUUUGACCAUUUAAAAAAAAAAUCAAAGCCGUAGUCACUAACUACGACUUUAAACUUAAAGUUAAAACCGUGGUUGAUAACUACGGUUUCUAACCACUUUAGAAAAAUAAAACCGUAAUCACCAACUACGGUUUUAUGACAUGACAGCUUAUGUGGCACAAACGCAUUAGAUCGGGCAUUAUUUUGAAAACAACUUUAUUUUUUGGAAUUUUUUUUUAAAAUGCACUAUUUUGGGUCAAAGCUCCCAGCUACACAUGCUUAAUUCAGCCCAAUAUCCGGAUAUUUUAAAUAUGAAUUGUGAGUGUUUAGCUAGGUUGGCAAUUCCGGACAAAAUUCCUAAGUGUCCCCUAACUCGACUUUUCUAUUCCUAUUCGGACUACUUGACUUUGAAGACUAAGACUUUGCUAAGAGACCGAGAUAUGUAGCUGAGUGUGUGGUGAUUGGAUGUGAAUCAACCCGGUUUUUAAUCUUUAAAUGUGUUAGAAAGUUGGGAAAAAUGGUUUUUGGUGCAAGGCUUUCAUUCCUCUGUUUCUGGAUCGAUCCAAGUGUAGGGGUGGAUCUAUCCAACUAAUGUUUUUUUGAUCAAAUCUCAACCAUUAGAUUAAGGGUUUCUUUUUACACUUUAAAAACCAAUCUUCUCUCAUUUUCUAGUGAGAGUGACUGCAGAAACGUGGAGAGAGCAACCACACUCCUUGUGUUCUUCAUUUUCUCAUUUUGUUUUCCCAAUUUGGGGUUUUUGAUUGCAAAGAAAAUCCACUUCUCUUAAUGUUUUCCAAACUGGUUUUUAAUGGAUUUUCUUGAGCAACAAAUGGGUUGAUUCCUUCCUUCCUUCAUAUCUCAAUCUCUCAUUCUAUUUGGGUUUGUGCAAAAACCCAUUUUCUUCUUGUGUGGAUUCAAGAAGAGGCCGAGAUUGAGCUUGGUACGGACUCCAAGUGUGCUCCAAAAGGAGAAGCUGAAAAUGAAGGUACUAGUCAAGUAUUCCGGGAAGGAUUGGUUGGCUUGAGCUAAGUAAAACCUUGUACUCAUUUUUUAUUCUUCAUAGUGGAGUUUUCAAUCGAUGAUAGGCCCGUGGUUUUUUUAUCUCUUCGGAGGUUUUCCACGUUAAAAAUCCGGUAUUCAUUGUCUCUUUCUCUCAUUCUAUAUUUUGAUUUAUUUUUUAGGAGUGUUGAAGUAUUUGCAUGUGUUUUGCAUUUAUAAAUUGUUGGAAGAGUGUUGAUGCAUACAUUAUUGCUUGUGGAUGUUUUGCUUUGUUGAAAAGUUAUUGGAAGAAAAAUUUCUUGACAUUAAGAUAAUCUAAGGUUAGGUAAUCUUUAUUGGGAGAAUUUUUAAAUUGUUCUAUAACACCUAUUCACCCCCUUUAGGUGUAGUUCAUUAUUGAGAUUCACAUUUUCAUGAAUGUUACGGGCACCUACUUUUUCUGCUCGUUUUUUUUCUUUUUUUUCAUGUCCCACGUAUUUAUGGCUUCAAUUUCCCUACUUUUCAUGACUUUAUCCAUAAGAUAUUCAUGCAACGUGUCCUUGAAAAGGGUAAAUGGCUAUGCGUGGCAAGGCAUCAGCGUGCUUCCGAUGGAUAUGUCCCUAUGCAACUCAUUACCGUGCUUGCUUGGGAUCGAUAGUUAUUUUAGAUGGGUCGUUACCUAAAAUCUGAGGCCUGAUUGACAAUGAUUUUGCAAAUGGUUAUGAAAAAAAUAAUAGUAUUCUUAAAACGUUUCUAAAAAAUACUUCACAUCAGUAAAGAGAUAUGAAUAUUAUUAUUUUUUUCUUUUUUUUUAUAAUAUAGUAAAAAAUUAAAUUAUUCUUCAUUUUUUAAUUAUUAUUCAAAAUAUCAUAUAUAAAAAAUAAAUAAAAAUACUUUAAAUUUAUUCUAAAAAAUAAAUUUUUAUAACAAAUUUUUUAAAAAUUAUUCUUUUAAUGAAAAAUCCAUCAAUUUUAAAAAUUUUAAAAAAUGUUUUAUAUAUUAAAGAAUUAAAAAUAGUUACUAAACCUUUAACUUUUUAGGUAAUAGUAUGGACAAUGGCAAAAUAAAUUGACGAAGCCGAGGAAUGUUGAAUUUUGAAUGCACAAGUUCAUUGUGUCAUGUCACAUAGCUUAAAAUAUCAACCAAACGGUUGGAUGUUGACAUUUUGGCAAGCAUUUAUUAUUCUUAUAUUAAAUUUAAUAAUUUUAAUAAAUUAUUUAAAUAAUAUUCAAAAUUAUCAAAUUUAUUCCUAAUUGUUAGGAUUUUUUUUUUAAAAAAGGACAUUAAUAAAUAAUAAAAUACUCAAGAAUAUCCUUAAAAUUUAAAAAAAAAAUUGAUAAAAAUAAAACACAUUCAUAUCAACUUAAUUAUGAAAUAAAGAAUUUUUUAAUUAAUGUCAUUUCAAACAUCAUUUCUCCUCGCUUCAUGGAGGAAGAUAGAGUGAAACUCACCUUUGAGUUUAUUACUUAACAAUUUUCUAAAAUAGUUUUAUAUUCUUGAGAAAAAAAAAUCAAAAUAAUAUAUUUGAUAAUAAAAAAUUAUUUUUUAUUUUUUUAUUCUUAACAAUAGAAAAUAAUAUAUUUUUAGAUAAUAUUUUUUAAUUAUUUCAUGUUAUUUUCACUUGUUUUUUAAAUGUUAUUUAAAAAAAUAAUUAUAUAAAUAUAUAGAAUGAUUAAAAAUAAAAUAUUAUAUAUAAAAAUUAUUUUUAAAAUAUAUUUAAAAGCAUUAAACAUAUGUUAAAAAUAUUUUAGGUUUUUAAUUAUACUUUUAUUCUAAAAAAAAAAAGUUAAGGAAUAAUUUUUAAAAGUUAUUAUCAAAAACUAUUUUUCAGAAUUAUUUUAAAAUUAUUUUUUAAAAUUAUUUUUUAAAAUUAUUUUCAAAAAUAGUUAUAAAAAAACUUUUUUUUUUCUUUUAGAAUUAGGAAGGGAUCAAAUCCAUCAAGGAAAUAUAAAUAUUUUCUUUUAAAAUAUAUUAAAAAUAUUAAAUAUAUGUUAAAAACAUUUUAGGUUUUUAAAUAUACUUUUAUUUAAAAAAAAAUUAAGAAACAAUUUUUAAAAGUUAUUAUCAAAAACUGUUUUCAAAAACUAUUUUUUAGAACUAUUUUAAAAAACAGUUAUCAAACAUAACUUUUUUUUUUUCUUUUCUUUUAGAAUUAGGAAGGAUCAAAUCCAUCAAGGAAAUAUAAAUAUUUUUCUUUAAAAUUUUCUAAAGGAGACGUGGCCCCUUGCUUUCAAGUCUUCUGGCCAUUGAGUAUGACUGUGUGACUGAUCACUUCCUUUAACUAAUUUUCAUUGUUCAAUGUGGCCUAACAACGUCAUUAAGUGGUGGCUAAUAAUCUUAUUUAGUAUCAAAUAAUAUGUAAUGGUUAGUAGUUUAGUUUUGUAGUAAUUUAAGAAUCAUUAACCAUUAGUCAUGGUAUGAUAGUAAAAAAUUAAUGGCAAUUCUUCUCAAAUUUUUAUUUUGAAUUUAAAAAUCAAUAAAAUACUAAAAAUUAAUAAAUUAUACAAUUAAUUAAUUAUUUUAGUGGUAUGAGUAAUUUUCAAGUUCUCAAAGAGCAUUGGUCAUCUUCAUUUGUCUCUCUUUUAUUUCUUCAAGAUUUACGAGCAAAUGUGUUUCUUUUUUUUGACCGGUUGGGUAUGAGGAGGAGCUUAGAUUGCGACUAAUUGGCUCUCAUUGUUUUCAUGAUAUUUUCCUCAUAACUCUUUGAACCUUUAGUGGUUUGUCCUAUUGAAUUAUUGAGCAUCUGAUUUUUAUGGUAUUGUGGACCCCGCAUUUCGACUCAUGCGUUUCCCACUCGAUGGCGAGUUCGAUUUUUAUUUUGAAAAAUUGAUUUUAUUUGAUUAAGAAAAUGACUUGGAGUCGCCACUUAUUUUUGUUUUAUUUUUUAAAAAGGGUAAACAAAAUAAGAAAGAAAAACCCUAAAUGUGACUCCUUGUUUUGGAAAAGGUGGUCUGUGAAAAACCAGAUCGGGUUCGGGGGUCAGGUUACUUAUCGGGAAGGUACGGUAAAGACCGUAGCACCCCUCUAAGUCCCUAAAUGGGUCUCUACUAAUAAAAUGAAGUUGACAUGACAAUCAAUGAGAAAAUCAAUGAAUACUCGAAGCGAUCAUGCACAUAUGGGAAUCAAAACAUGUAUAAAGAAUGAACAAAAUAUGAGUGGAUACGUACCUGGUCCUCCAGUCACGAAUGCGCCAUCAUGAAACAGGAUUAGUGAAUCACGAAUAGAUAAAAUUAUGCGCAUGUCAAGGAACAGAAUAAAUCAAACAAAAUAAAUCAAUCAAUCAAUCAGUCAGUCAUAAGGAAAUCACAUAUGUUGGGCCUCACCAAAGCCCGAUUUAUAUUGCAUGAAUUAAUCUCACGAAUCCCAUUAUUUCGGAAUUAUGAAGAUUCAUCAUUCUUGCUUGUGUAAAAAUUAAAAGAAAUAGAACAGUAUUUAAAAAUCGGAGUGGAAUUAAAACUGUUCGAGAGAAAAUUGGAUUUUUGAGAUUUAUUUGGAAAUUGAAGUCCCGAAAAUUAUUUGAAGACUAGAGUCUUGAGAAUUAAAUUUAAGAAUUGGAAUUUUGGAUAUUAAAUUUGAAAGAAAUUAGAAUUUUGGAAAUCGGAAAUUAAGUUCGAAAAUUGGGAUUCAAAAAAAUGUUUAAAAAUGGAAUUUUGAAAUAAAUAAAUGGACUAAUAAUAAUAAGGACGAAAAUAAUGAUUAAAUAAAUGAAUGGGAAUGCUGGAAUUUUUGAAAUUGGAAAUUAGAUUUAGAAGUCAAAAAGUUUAAAGAAUUGUUUAAAAUAGAAUUUUAAAAUAAAUAAACAAACUAUUAGUGAUUAAAUUAAUGUGAAUAUGGGAAUUUUUAGGAUUAGGAAUUUCAUUUGUAAAUAUGAAGUUUUAAAGAAUUGAUUUAAAAUGGAGAUAAAAUACUAAUGAUUAAAUAAAUUAAUGAGAAUAUGAGAAUUUUCGGAAUUAGGAAUUUAAUUCGGAAAUCAGCGAUUUUAAAGAAUUUGAUUUAAAACGGAGUUUUGAAAUAAAUAAAUAAAUAAAAUACUAAUGAUCAAAUAAUUUAGUGAGAACAUGAGAAUUUUUGGGAUUAGGAAUUUAAUUUGGAAAUCAGAAGUUUUAAAGAAUUUGAUUUAAAAUGGAGUUUUGAAAUAAAUAAUCAAAAUAAUAAUAAUUAAAUAGAUUAAUGUGAAUAUUGGAAUUUUGGAAUUAGAAAUUAAAUUUGAAAGUAGGAAAUUUUAAAGAAUUAUUUUUAAAGUGGAAUUUUAGAAUAAAUGCAUAAAAUAAUAAUAAUUAAAUAGAUUAAAGUGAGUAUGAGAAUUUUCAGAAAUUGAAAUUUUGAUAAAAUAAGUUGAUAUGAAAAACAAAAUUUCAGAAAUUGUAAUUAAAUUUAAGCACUGGAAUUUUGAUGGCUUAUUCAAAGAUUGAAUUUUAAAAUAAAUAAAUAAAAUAAUGAUCAUUAAACCAAUUGAUGUGAGAAUUAAAAUUUCAGAAAUUAGAAUUUAAAUUAAGAAAUUGAAAUUUUGGAGAUUAUUAAAAGGUUGAAUUUUAAAUAAAUAAAUAAAAUAAUGAUAAUUAAAUAAACUGAUAUGAGAAUUAAAAUUUCGGAAAUUGGAAUUUAAAUUUAGGAAUCGGAAAUUUUGAAGAUUCUUAAAAGGUUGAAUUUUAAAAAUGAAUAAAUAAAUAAAAUAAUAAUGGAGAAUUAAAUUUUGAUAUUGAAAAUUAAAAUUUCGGAAAUUGGAGUUUAAAUUUAGAAAUCGGAAUUUCGAGGAGUAGUUUAAAGAUUGAAUUUUAAAGAUAAGCAAGUGAAUAAAUAAUGAUGAUUAAAUAAAUGGAUGUGAGAAUUAAAAUUUCGGAAGUUGGGAUCGAAUUCGGAAGUUAGAAAAUUAAGAUUGUUUAAAGGAAAACUUGAAAUAAAUAAAUACAAUAAUAAUAACGAAUAUAAUGAUUAAAUGAAUGAAUGAGAAUUUUGGAAUUUCUUCAAAUCGGAAAUUGAAUUUAAAGGUUGGAAAGUUGGAAUUGUAUAAGGAAGGAUAUUUUGAAAUAACUAAAUGGAAUAAUAUUAAUAAUAAUGAUAGUUGAAGUUUUUUUGAAAACUAGGUUUUAAAGAUUGGAGCUUUGGCAACUAGAUUAAAAUUUUGAAUCUUGACAAUUAACUUUGGAAAUUAAAAAAAAAAUUAUUCUAAAAUGGAAACUUCAGAAAUUAGAUUUAAGGAGAGAACUUUGGACAAUUAAACUAUGAGAAUAUGAAUUUUGAAAGUUAAACACUGGAAAUUUGAAAUAAUAAUAAUAAUAAUAACAAUGAUAAGAUUUGAAAAAUUGAACAAAUAAUAAUAAUGACAAUGAUAAUAAUAAUAAUAAUAGUAAUAAUAGUAAUAAUAAUAAUAAUAAUAAUAAUCGUUAAUAAUAAUAAUGAUAAUAAUCCGUUAAUAAUAAUAAUAAUAUCCGUUAACAAUAAUAAUAAUAAUAAUAUCCGUUAAUAAUAAUAAUGAUAAUAAUCCGUUAAUAAUAAUAAUAUCCGUUAAAGAUAAUAAUAAUAAUAAUAAUAAUAAUAAUAAUAAUAAUAUCCGCUAAUAAUAAUAAUAAUACUAGUUAAUAACUAUAAUAAUAAUAAUAAUUAAAAUUAAUAAUAAUGAUAUGAAUUAAAAGGGCUUUGGGCUCCAUCUCCAUCAUAAGCCCAAGCCCACUUGGCAAAUAUUACCCUCCAUCUCCAUCACAUAAUUGGGCCUAGUGCCCCAACUAAAGCCCAAGCCCGAGCUUCAUCUUCCUCCCAGCUUGUUCCCACCCCCGCGCCUGGCUCCAGCACCGACAGCCACCUCCUCGCGGCGACAGUGCCCGGGGUCAUGGAUUCUCUGGGCUUGGUGGACAGCUCCUGGACCUCGGUGGCGCGAGAACAGCUUCUGGAGGAUCUCGCCCUUCCAGGCGAAGACGGCGGCGCUGUCGCAGGCUAUGGCAGCGGCGGCGUCGUCCCGGAGCAAUAACAGCGGCGGCGGCGUCCCGGAGCAAUAGUGCGACGCAUUGCAUUGGGGAAUCAGUGUCACAGAAAGCAAUAAUUGGAGUGUUUCCUAGUGCAGCUUCCUUAAUAGGCUGGUAAUGGAGAGUGAUCUUGAUGGAGGGGUUGGGAAAAGACUGGAGAGAUGGGUGAGCGUGAAGGUUAGAAAAAAAAGGGAUAUGGGCAGUUGAUAAAUGGGUAUGAAAGUCUAGAGAGAAAUGGGUGAUUGAAUGAUGGGUAUGAAGGUGUGGUUCAGAGGUGACAAAAUGGAGUGGGCUAGUGGGUAUUAAAGGAAAUGGCAAUGAGAUCAGUAGCAACAGGGCAUAAAAGAAAGGUCCGAAAAUCAACAACAAACAGCAUAUAAUUCAUAUUUUCCCAACCCAAAUUGACGAGCAACGUGGAGCAAACCAAAUAGGAAAUAAAUGAGAAAUAUAUCAAUCAAAAUAAGCAAGGAAUUUACCUCAAACUCACCUGCAGCCACUCUCUUUUUCUCCGUUAUCUCCUUGUAAUCAGACUGUCACCCCCCUGAAGAACGGGCUCCUCAAGCAACUGAAUAAACUCCCUUUUUGACUCUCAGAAGAAGUAUCCCCAUCCAAAGCUACCCCUCUUUUUUGCUCUGGUCCCGCCUGCUACCGAAGAAAAGCACCCCCAGAUCUCUCCUUUCUCCGCCCUCUUUUUGUCUUCCAAGAACCAGGCCCCCUUUUCUCCUGGCAGCCUCUCUUUUCCUCUGCCCUCAGCCACCCACAUCAGUCUUCCUUUCCAGUCUUGUCUCCGCCGCCCUCCAUACAGCCCAUCCUCGGGUUGACAAGAAGAUGAAUAAAAUAAUAAUAGCAAAAUGCAGAAACUUCUCACCUCUAGGGGGGUCUACAGGUAUGUCUUAACUUAUAAUAUCUAUCUAUGAUAUGAUACAUUUAUGCUAUGUUUGAGUUUUUUUUUAAAAAAAAAAAAUCUAAAAAGGAAAUAAAAUAUUAAAAUAAUGAUUUGCUCAUAUUUUAUUUUUUUAUGAAACAUAUAAAAGAAAAUAAAAAUUAAUUUAAAUUAUUAAAAAAAAUUAUAUAUUUUUAAAUUAUUUAAUCUUUAUAUAAAAAUUUAAAUAAAUACUAAAAUGAUGUUAGAGUAACAUAAAAUAGUACUUUGUUGAUUUUAAUUUAUUUUUUAAUUUUUCAAAUUUUUCUUUCCAACGGCUUUCUUUUAUCGCAUUUUUCCUCAAAAUUUUCAGGUAAGAAAAAUGCAUCGUCCUGGUACUCCGCACCGAACCAGUUGUGGCGAAAAGUUUCUGAUAGAGCUUAUUUUCAUAAAAAUGGUAUUGUAUUUCUUUUGGGCCUAUUUAAUGGAUCUGUGCGUCAACCUCUCCACAUCCAAAUGCAAAGUGAAACCGGGCCAGGUCUUGCAGCAUGGCCAGGCCCAUGCCAUCAAGACAAACACUUUAGUUCUUGUUUCCCAGUCAAAUGAAGAGAAAACAAAAGAAAUUCAAAGUUUUGGCCUUCUGAAUCUAAGAGCGGUUUGGUCAUAUUUUUUUAAACUUGUUUUUAAUUUUAUUAUUAUUAUUAUUAUUAUUUUAAGUUGAAAGAAUAAAAAAUAAAUUUCUAUUGUUUUAUAAAAAUAAGGGUGUUUGACAAGUUAUUUUUUAAAACAAUUUUUUUUUUUAAAAAAAACUUGUUUGGAUAAAUUGUUUUUAAAAUUAUUAUUAUUAUUUUUGUUUUGGUUUUGUAAAAAAAUUAUAAAUGCAAUUUAUACAACAUAAAUUAAAUUGAAUUCAAGUCUUAUUAAAAAUGAAAAUAGUUUGAUAAUUACAAAUAAAUUACAAAUAUAUAUAUAUAUAUAUAUAUAUUAUAAUAAAAUCAUAAAUUAUAUAUAUAUUUUUAUAAAAAAAACUAUUUUAGGAGCUUUGACCCAAAAUGCCACAUUUUAAAAACAAAUAUCCAUAAAGUAAACCGAAUUUGAAAAUAAUGCCCAAUCUGGUGCAUCUGUGCCACGUAGAUUGCCACAUCAUAAAACUAUAGUCACUAAUUACGGUUUUAAAUUUUUUUAAAUCAGUCAAAACCAUAGUUGGUAACUACGGUUUUGAAUCCUUUAUCUUUUUCCGUUCCUUUCCCAAUUAGGUUUCUUCAUUUUCCUCUUAAGUUUAUUACCUUUAGGGUUUCGUCCUUCCCGUUGUAUCAUUGGCUCAAAUUCAAAAUUUGGAAGUUAUUUAUCAGGUAAGAUUUAUGAGUUUUUUAGUUUACGUAAAUUUUAUUUUAUUUUUUGUAAAUCUGUUUGGUUUUCACGUUAUUGUUGUAGAUGUGUUUGGUAAAGAUGUGUUUGAUUUUUUUAUUUUAUUUUGAUUGUGAGCUUAGAAGAAAGAAAAAUGUUUUUUUGGUAAAGAAAACGGAUAUGGAAUGGAGGGCCAACAUGGUUUUUUUUGUUAAAGAUACCGAAAAUGAAGGGGAUCAUUGUAAAAAAACUCCAAAAAUGAACGGGACGAGCGGUGAUUUUUGUUAUAGGAAUAGAAAAAAAAAAAUAGGAGUACUCCACUUGUCAAGGACCAGAUUUAUCUUAAGCUAGGAGAUUGAAGGUGUGUGGUCGGUUUCUACAUCAUUCUCCAAAUUCUGGGAAUGUUUGGUUGCUUAGAAAAUAUAGGAAAGUAAAAAAAAUAGUCCCAAGAUGACAAAUCCUCAAAUAAAAAAAUGUUGCUGGAAAAAACUAGAGAUUCCAUUCCUCACACCAUACUGACUAUUUCAAUCUGACCAUUUCACGAAGGAAAUUCUUAAAUAAAUUAGCAACCAAUCUUACCCCUUUAUGAAGGCAAUUGUUUUCAGAUAAGCCCCAUUUGAAAUUUGCCCUUUGCUUCUUGCUCUAAUAUGUGAUGAAGAAUAUCUAAGAAUGUGAUAUAAGUGAAAAUAGGAUUGUGCCCAAAUAAAUUUCCCAGAUAUUAAGUAGUAGUUUCAUUCACAAUGAUUUUUUUCCCAAGGUAGACUAGAACUCAUUUUCUGUCAUCUUUUAUGAAAUUUGCAUCCUCCAUCCUAUAUAACAAUGUAUUUUAUUUGAGCGAGCUUUGUGUUAACACGGGAUCAGAGGUAUUCUACUGUUAAAAUGGCUAGAAAAACACUAAUAGUAUGAUUGUUGAACUGCCAGUAGAUACUAUGAACUUUGAUAGCAAAUAUAUUGGAACAAACACAAAGAGAACAACAUUAUAUCAUAUAGUACAAUAGUUUCAAGGAUAAGAAUGGUUGACCAAGAUUGUAUACAUGCAUUAUUGAAACUUCCUAAGGGUAAUUUUAUUGUCCUUUAAACCACUCCUCCCACCCCCACACUAGAAACAUUGAUAAAAAGAAAAAAGAAAAAUCAAACAUACUAGUCAUUGAUAACUUGGCAACUGUGAUUGCUCAUCUUCUUGAAUCCUUAAACUCCCAAGCAUUGCCUUUUUUCUCCUUCUGGUUGCGGUUGAGUCUGCAGAUAAGAGCAACCGGUUCUGCAUCAAAUCUAGUAAACGUGAUUGCAAGUGUUUGUUCAUCUCCAUGACGUGCUUUGUCAUUCUUGUAGCCCAUAUCCGGUUCUCUAUACUUGUCUCUAGUUUCAUUUGUAUUGCUCAUGGUGUACAUUCUUGCUGCCAAAUUCAUCAGGAUUGCUAAAUUCAUACCAAUAUAUGACUUUCCAAUAUGAUUAUAUUUCCUUCUUAUUCGCUUAGUAUAUAUUAUGGGCCAUAUCCUAAUAGUUUUAGCUUAAUAUGGUAUCAGAGCUAUGAUUGAUAUAGAUAUCAAGUUUAAAGAAAGACCUCCAGAUCGAGAAUCUACUGGUUUAGUGAAACUAUGCUUUGGAACCCAAUAGUAGGGAGGUGAACUCUAUGGGAACAACAUGAAGGUAGGAGAGUGAUCAUUCCCAUGGAUGAGUUGCUUGGCUGAGGAUACUUGUCAAGCAAAGAAACACGAAAUUGAUUAGAUAAUCGCUAAUGGUUUGUCACAGAAAGCAGUGACAACUUUGGGAUCACUACCAUAUUAGUAAUAGCCCCUGAUUAGAGAUGAAAAUGACAUUCUUAAUUAAUUACAAUUAUAAAAUAUGAAAUACUUAUAGAUGGAAAACUAAAUUGUAAAAGAUAAAGAACUCCAUUUGGUUGCUGAGAAAAACAGAGGAAAUGAAGAAAUAUACAUUAGUUUUUAGUUUUUCUUUUUAUAUCCACUAACUUCUUAGCAUCCAAACAGAAUAUUAGAAAAUGGAGUCGUGAAUCCUUCUAAGAAAUAGAAAUAUAGAACCUACAAACCAGAAAUGAAGAUUAUGGUCACCUUUUGGAUGAUUGAAUCUUCUGAUGAUAACCCUAUUGGCAACAUCCCAAAUAUGGGCAGUGCAGUCCCUAGACGUUGACACCAGACCCAAUCUACUAAAGGCCAAUGCAUUUAUGGACCUGCUGCAUUGCCAAGUGAAAAAAUUGUCAAUUGAAAAUUUGUGUAUGCUUGUUAAUACUAUUAACAUUCUACCUGUGACAAUCAACCAUUCUCUAAAAAAUAUCGAUAAACUUAAACCACCAUGCAAUACUUGUGUCCAUUUAGCCCAAUCGGCCGAUCCUCUGGAACAUCAAAUGGAUUACCCACCAACCGAGUGUCAAGCAUGCUAACGAAAAUUCUCUCAUCUACGCUUCCAGAAAACAAGAGCUGCUCCCCUAGAUCAAGCACAAUAGCAAUGAUUUAAAUAAAAAAUUUAUUAUUAUGAAGUGAUUUAUAUUUUUCCCCCUAAUGUGUAAGAAGGUGUUUUAUUAUAUAAUUGUGUAUUCACAUAUUAAAAGAUUAUAUGCAAUUUCUCUUGAACAUUCUUGUAUGUGUGUUUUUGUAAGUAUUUUAAUAAACAAGUAUGUUAAGUUCAAAACAGAAAGACUUGCUAUUAUUUUCAUUGAUUAUUAAAUCAUUUGAUAUUGUAUUUUUUUGUAAGUAAAUCAUGUCUGAAUCUAUUGUUCAUUUGAUUUGCUUUUGUGAAGGAAACAUGUUGAGGAUAGAAACAUAUGUAAAAUAUAUUGGGGAUCAAGCUGUAAUUGUGUCUUUGGAUGUGCCUGUUAGUUCAACCUAUGAACACUUGUUAUCUAUGAUAUACUUGAGAAUUGACAUUGACAAAAAACAAUUUCAAUUAGUCCUCAAUUGUAGGUAUCCUUUAAAAAGAGAAAAUAGGUUCCAAUAUUGUCUAAUAUGAGAUGAUAAUAGUUUAUCUCAAAUGUUGAAAUUGGUUAACACAUUUGGAAUAGACGAAAUUGAAUUGUAUAUUAAACAAGUGCCAAUACAACCACGGGUGAGGGGACAAUUAUUGGGUAACUUCACACAAUUAUUACUCGGAGAAAAUGAUAACGUUAAGGAAUUUGAGUAUGGUUGUGGACCUAGUAGUGCCCUAAUCGCAAUGACUUAUGAAUGUAGAGCAGAUGAAGAUGAAGAAGAAUGUGAUUCCCAAGAAGGUGAUGAUCAAAGUGAGAGAGCGAAAGAUGUUCAACAUGAUGACGAUGAGGUGUUCGAAUUUAUUGAUGAGGAAAAAAAUAAUGUUGAUGUUGUUUCAUCUUUCUUAGCUCUUCACGAAGCAAUGAAAAGUGAACAAGGGAGAUAUGUCUCCGUGAAUGGGGAAGGUUGUGAUAUGUCAAAUGACCUAGAUCAUGAGGACCCAAUAGAGUUUUCCCAUCUUCAGUAUCACUCAACACCAUCACUGUAGUUUGAAAAUGUUGAAAACAUUGGUAAUGUCAUUUCAAGUGACUAGACCCCAUGGGGGAACACUAAUAUUGGAAACUCAAGUAGAGAGUUCAUGGUUGGCCAAGUUUUUAAUUCAAAAGCAAACUUACAACAUGCUACGAAGUUGUACUCUAUUAGUGCAUACCAAGAGUACAUUGUUGUUUCGUCAACUACAAAGUUGUUAGUCUUAAGAUGUAAGAAAGCUAAACAAUCUCAAUGUCCAUGGAAACUUCGUGCUAUGGUUGUAAAAAGUACAACUUCAUUUGCAAUCAAUAAAUAUAAUGGUUCGCACAAAUGUGUAAAUCCUUGUUUGAAUCAGGACCAUCAACAAUUAGAUUCCACUUACUGCUCAUAUCCAAAGAAUGAUUAAGGUACAAUUCACAUUGUCCGUGGCUGCUAUUCAAGUAAGUAUUGUGGAGAAAUUCGGAUACCAAAUAUCAUACAAGAAGACAUCUAAAGCAAAACUUAAAACUUUUGCAAUCUUAUUUGGUGAUUUUUAUAAGUCAUAUGCUGAGCUGCUAUAUUUUUUCAUUGCCUUAGAGCAGACAAAUCCAGGAUGUGUUGUAAUUUUAAAAACAUUUCCUGGUAUUAUGGAGAAUACAAAGAUAUUUCAGUGAGUUUUUGGGACAUUUCAUCCAUCUAUUGAAGAAUUCAAGCAUUGUCGGCCUGUACUCAGUAUUGAUGGUACACAUUUGUAUGAUAAGUAUAAAGGCACUUUAAUGAUUGAUAUGAGUUGUGAUAGAAAUAAUCAGUUAUUCCCAUUGGCUUUUACCCUAACAGAGGGUGAGAAUAUUGAUAGUUGGGGAUGGUUUUUGGCAUGUAUUAGAACUAGAGUAACUCAUAGGAAGGGACUUUGUGUUAUAUCAGAUCGACAUUCAGGCAUUAUGGCUGCAAUGAGCGAUGUUCAUCUUGGUUGGUAUGAGCCAUACGCAUAUCAUAAGGUUUGUAUGUGUCAUUUUGCUAGCAAUUUUAUGACUCAAUUCAAGGAUAAAAUAUUGAAAAAUCUGAUGUGCAAAGCAGCCUUAGCAACCAAGAUUGAAAAUUUCAAUAAACAUAUGAACACAAUUGGGAGGAUUAAUGCAGUCGCACAACAAUGGUUGGAAGCAAUUCCUUUUGAGAAAUGAGUGUUCUCUCAUGACGGAGGUCGAAUGUAUGACAUCAUGACUACAAACAUGUUGGAGGUGUUCAAUAGUGUGCUUAAAAGAGCUCAUAGCUUACCCAUAGUUGCUUUGGUUCAAUUGACAUUUUUUCGGCUAAAUAGUUACUUUGUUGUGAGAAGGGAACAAAGUGCUAAUCGACUUGCUUCAAAUGAGGAAUACACUCCAUAUGUCGAUGCUAAGAUAAAGGCAAAUGUGGUUAAGGCGGGAUCUCAUGAGAUUGUUUUAUAUGAUCACAUCCAAGGACAAUUCCAUGUGAAAACUAAUAGGGGUACUAAGAGUAGCUCAACUAGUGGUCGAACAUAUCACAUCAACUUACAGGAGUAUGCAUGCACGUGUGGUAAAACACUCAUAUAUGCAUUCCCAUGUAACCAUACUCUAGCAGCAUAUCAUUUUCGUUCAGUUGAUUUUAGACCACUUGUUCAAUGCUACUAUAGUACACAAUUGUACUAUAAUACUUAGGUACCCUUGUUCCAUCCCAUUUUCAAUUUAUAUGAGUGGUCUCCUUAUGAUGGUCCGAUUAUCAUGCCUUUUGAAUCGAUGAAACGUGCAUCAAGUGGACAACCUAAAUCAAGUCGUUUGCAUAAUGAAGUGGAUGUUAGAGAGGGCAAGACUUCUAUUACAUGUGGGUUAUGCAAACAAAGUGGCCACAAUCGCCAUUCUUGUCAAAAUAGUAAUGGAGUUGAUUAAACCAUGUGAUGUAUGCAUGUAAUUUUCUUGGAUAUUGUGAUGUAAGCUACUAUGUGUAGACCCUCAAUUUUGUCCCUUUAGCACAUGUCUUUAAAAUUCAUUUUCAAUGCUCCACAAUAGUUCCUUGGUGGCCCAUGGCUACUCAUACCACUUACCUUUUUCUAAGUCACCUCGGAGAUUUUGGUUGAGGGAUUAUUUGAUCCCUUAUUGUGACCCUUGGUAGCCCUAACUUAGACUUAGGCUUUUCUUGUUUUUUUAGGAUAGCUUUUAGAUACACUUGGCCCAUUAGGCACUACCCUAGGCCCACUUAGUCUCACCUUAGGCCCGUUUAGGCACACUAGGCCUACGAAGACUUUUAUUUUAUUUUAUUUUAUUUUAUUUAUUUAUUUAUUUAUUUUGUUUUUAAUUUUAAUUUUAUGAUUAUCAUUCACUUUUUAUUGGUUAUCUUCCUCUUUAUAUUAUUUUCCUUAACUUAUUUAUUUAUUUAUUAUUUUUACCAUUUUUUAAUUUAUUUACUUAUUUAUCUAUACAUGCAAUUAUUUAACUUCAAAAAUUUCAUGUUUUUGCAAGGAAACUUACCAUUGGAGUUUAAAGAAGAUGGGACUCUCCUUGGAAGUUUUGGAGGGGAAUUUGAAUUGGAGAUUGCUUGGAGGGGAAUUUGAAAUUGGGAAGAUUGCUUUUGAUUGGAGGAUUUAAAAAAAGAAGAGAAGAAGAAAGGAAGGGGGAGAAUUNNNNNNNNNNNNNNNNNNNNNNNNNNNNNNNNNNNNNNNNNNNNNNNNNNNNNNNNNNNNNNNNNNNNNNNNNNNNNNNNNNNNNNNNNNNNNNNNNNNNNNNNNNNNNNNNNNNNNNNNNNNNNNNNNNNNNNNNNNNNNNNNNNNNNNNNNNNNNNNNNNNNNNNNNNNNNNNNNNNNNNNNNNNNNNNNNNNNNNNNNNNNNNNNNNNNNNNNNNNNNNNNNNNNNNNNNNNNNNNNNNNNNNNNNNNNNNNNNNNNNNNNNNNNNNNNNNNNNNNNNNNNNNNNNNNNNNNNNNNNNNNNNNNNNNNNNNNNNNNNNNNNNNNNNNNNNNNNNNNNNNNNNNNNNNNNNNNNNNNNNNNNNNNNNNNNNNNNNNNNNNNNNNNNNNNNNNNNNNNNNNNNNNNNNNNNNNNNNNNNNNNNNNNNNNNNNNNNNNNNNNNNNNNNNNNNNNNNNNNNNNNNNNNNNNNNNNNNNNNNNNNNNNNNNNNNNNNNNNNNNNNNNNNNNNNNNNNNNNNNNNNNNNNNNNNNNNNNNNNNNNNNNNNNNNNNNNNNNNNNNNNNNNNNNNNNNNNNNNNNNNNNNNNNNNNNNNNNNNNNNNNNNNNNNNNNNNUUUUUUAUUUUAAAAAUUUUUGGUUUUGGGGAAGAAAAUUAUUAUGGGGGUGUUAAAAGGGGGGGGUUUUUUUUGAAGGGGUUUGGGGGGGAAUUUAAAAAUGGGGAAAAUUUUUUUUUUUGGGGGUUUUAAAAAAAAAAGGAAAAAAAAAAGGGGGGGGGGGAUUUUUUUUUUUUGGAAAAAAAAUUUGUUUUGGGGGGGGGUUAUAUUUUGGGGGAAAAAAAAAAAAAAAGGGGGGUUUUUUUUUUGGGGGGGGGGGGGGGGGGGGGGGGUAGAGCACACGGAAUUUUGGAAAAAAGCAAGGGACUUCGAACGGAGAUCGGGCUUUCAUUUAAUCAUCAAGAGAGGAUUUUCUCUUUCACUUCAAAGGUUAGUUUUCUAUAUAGUACUUUUAUUUAGCCUAGAUUUUUUUUUUUUUUGGAAAUUUUAGUUUUUGAUUAAUUCUUUGUGUUAAAGUUUAUAUUUUUUUCUUUUUAAAUCCCCAAUUAGUAUAAUUCUAAUCUAUCUUUUAGUUUAAGUUUGUUAAUGAUUUUAAUUCUUAAGUUUAAAUAAUCAUAUUGAAUAAAGUUUGUAUUUUUAAUCCCAAUUAGUUUGAUUUCAAUUCGUUUUUAAUUUAAAUGCAGCUAGCUGAUCUUAAUUCUAUGUUUUAAAUAAUCACGUUAAAUAAAGUUUGUANNNNNNNNNNNNNNNNNNNNNNNNNNNNNNNNNNNNNNNNNNNNNNNNNNNNNNNNNNNNNNNNNNNNNNNNNNNNNNNNNNNNNNNNNNNNNNNNNNNNNNNNNNNNNNNNNNNNNNNNNNNNNNNNNNNNNNNNNNNNNNNNNNNNNNNNNNNNNNNNNNNNNNNNNNNNNNNNNNNNNNNNNNNNNNNNNNNNNNNNNNNNNNNNNNNNNNNNNNNNNNNNNNNNNNNNNNNNNNNNNNNNNNNNNNNNNNNNNNNNNNNNNNNNNNNNNNNNNNNNNNNNNNNNNNNNNNNNNNNNNNNNNNNNNNNNNNNNNNNNNNNNNNNNNNNNNNNNNNNNNNNNNNNNNNNNNNNNNNNNNNNNNNNNNNNNNNNNNNNNNNNNNNNNNNNNNNNNNNNNNNNNNNNNNNNNNNNNNNNNNNNNNNNNNNNNNNNNNNNNNNNNNNNNNNNNNNNNNNNNNNNNNNNNNNNNNNNNNNNNNNNNNNNNNNNNNNNNNNNNNNNNNNNNNNNNNNNNNNNNNNNNNNNNNNNNNNNNNNNNNNNNNNNNNNNNNNNNNNNNNNNNNNNNNNNNNNNNNNNNNNNNNNNNNNNNNNNNNNNNNNNNNNNNNNNNNNNNNNNNNNNNNNNNNNNNNNNNNNNNNNNNNNNNNNNNNNNNNNNNNNNNNNNNNNNNNNNNNNNNNNNNNNNNNNNNNNNNNNNNNNNNNNNNNNNNNNNNNNNNNNNNNNNNNNNNNNNNNNNNNNNNNNNNNNNNNNNNNNNNNNNNNNNNNNNNNNNNNNNNNNNNNNNNNNNNNNNNNNNNNNNNNNNNNNNNNNNNNNNNNNNNNNNNNNNNNNNNNNNNNNNNNNNNNNNNNNNNNNNNNNNNNNNNNNNNNNNNNNNNNNNNNNNNNNNNNNNNNNNNNNNNNNNNNNNNNNNNNNNNNNNNNNNNNNNNNNNNNNNNNNNNNNNNNNNNNNNNNNNNNNNNNNNNNNNNNNNNNNNNNNNNNNNNNNNNNNNNNNNNNNNNNNNNNNNNNNNNNNNNNNNNNNNNNNNNNNNNNNNNNNNNNNNNNNNNNNNNNNNNNNNNNNNNNNNNNNNNNNNNNNNNNNNNNNNNNNNNNNNNNNNNNNNNNNNNNNNNNNNNNNNNNNNNNNNNNNNNNNNNNNNNNNNNNNNNNNNNNNNNNNNNNNNNNNNNNNNNNNNNNNNNNNNNNNNNNNNNNNNNNNNNNNNNNNNNNNNNNNNNNNNNNNNNNNNNNNNNNNNNNNNNNNNNNNNNNNNNNNNNNNNNNNNNNNNNNNNNNNNNNNNNNNNNNNNNNNNNNNNNNNNNNNNNNNNNNNNNNNNNNNNNNNNNNNNNNNNNNNNNNNNNNNNNNNNNNNNNNNNNNNNNNNNNNNNNNNNNNNNNNNNNNNNNNNNNNNNNNNNNNNNNNNNNNNNNNNNNNNNNNNNNNNNNNNNNNNNNNNNNNNNNNNNNNNNNNNNNNNNNNNNNNNNNNNNNNNNNNNNNNNNNNNNNNNNNNNNNNNNNNNNNNNNNNNNNNNNNNNNNNNNNNNNNNNNNNNNNNNNNNNNNNNNNNNNNNNNNNNNNNNNNNNNNNNNNNNNNNNNNNNNNNNNNNNNNNNNNNNNNNNNNNNNNNNNNNNNNNNNNNNNNNNNNNNNNNNNNNNNNNNNNNNNNNNNNNNNNNNNNNNNNNNNNNNNNNNNNNNNNNNNNNNNNNNNNNNNNNNNNNNNNNNNNNNNNNNNNNNNNNNNNNNNNNNNNNNNNNNNNNNNNNNNNNNNNNNNNNNNNNNNNNNNNNNNNNNNNNNNNNNNNNNNNNNNNNNNNNNNNNNNNNNNNNNNNNNNNNNNNNNNNNNNNNNNNNNNNNNNNNNNNNNNNNNNNNNNNNNNNNNNNNNNNNNNNNNNNNNNNNNNNNNNNNNNNNNNNNNNNNNNNNNNNNNNNNNNNNNNNNNNNNNNNNNNNNNNNNNNNNNNNNNNNNNNNNNNNNNNNNNNNNNNNNNNNNNNNNNNNNNNNNNNNNNNNNNNNNNNNNNNNNNNNNNNNNNNNNNNNNNNNNNNNNNNNNNNNNNNNNNNNNNNNNNNNNNNNNNNNNNNNNNNNNNNNNNNNNNNNNNNNNNNNNNNNNNNNNNNNNNNNNNNNNNNNNNNNNNNNNNNNNNNNNNNNNNNNNNNNNNNNNNNNNNNNNNNNNNNNNNNNNNNNNNNNNNNNNNNNNNNNNNNNNNNNNNNNNNNNNNNNNNNNNNNNNNNNNNNNNNNNNNNNNNNNNNNNNNNNNNNNNNNNNNNNNNNNNNNNNNNNNNNNNNNNNNNNNNNNNNNNNNNNNNNNNNNNNNNNNNNNNNNNNNNNNNNNNNNNNNNNNNNNNNNNNNNNNNNNNNNNNNNNNNNNNNNNNNNNNNNNNNNNNNNNNNNNNNNNNNNNNNNNNNNNNNNNNNNNNNNNNNNNNNNNNNNNNNNNNNNNNNNNNNNNNNNNNNNNNNNNNNNNNNNNNNNNNNNNNNNNNNNNNNNNNNNNNNNNNNNNNNNNNNNNNNNNNNNNNNNNNNNNNNNNNNNNNNNNNNNNNNNNNNNNNNNNNNNNNNNNNNNNNNNNNNNNNNNNNNNNNNNNNNNNNNNNNNNNNNNNNNNNNNNNNNNNNNNNNNNNNNNNNNNNNNNNNNNNNNNNNNNNNNNNNNNNNNNNNNNNNNNNNNNNNNNNNNNNNNNNNNNNNNNNNNNNNNNNNNNNNNNNNNNNNNNNNNNNNNNNNNNNNNNNNNNNNNNNNNNNNNNNNNNNNNNNNNNNNNNNNNNNNNNNNNNNNNNNNNNNNNNNNNNNNNNNNNNNNNNNNNNNNNNNNNNNNNNNNNNNNNNNNNNNNNNNNNNNNNNNNNNNNNNNNNNNNNNNNNNNNNNNNNNNNNNNNNNNNNNNNNNNNNNNNNNNNNNNNNNNNNNNNNNNNNNNNNNNNNNNNNNNNNNNNNNNNNNNNNNNNNNNNNNNNNNNNNNNNNNNNNNNNNNNNNNNNNNNNNNNNNNNNNNNNNNNNNNNNNNNNNNNNNNNNNNNNNNNNNNNNNNNNNNNNNNNNNNNNNNNNNNNNNNNNNNNNNNNNNNNNNNNNNNNNNNNNNNNNNNNNNNNNNNNNNNNNNNNNNNNNNNNNNNNNNNNNNNNNNNNNNNNNNNNNNNNNNNNNNNNNNNNNNNNNNNNNNNNNNNNNNNNNNNNNNAUAAAUAAAUAAGUUAAGGAAAAUAAUAUAAAGAGGAAGAUAACCAAUAAAAAGUGAAUGAUAAUCAUAAAAUUAAAAUUAAAAACAAAAUAAAUAAAUAAAUAAAUAAAUAAAAUAAAAUAAAAUAAAAUAAAAGUCUUCGUAGGCCUAGUGUGCCUAAACGGGCCUAAGGUGAGACUAAGUGGGCCUAGGGUAGUGCCUAAUGGGCCAAGUGUAUCUAAAAGCUAUCCUAAAAAAACAAGAAAAGCCUAAGUCUAAGUUAGGGCUGCCAAGGGUCACAAUAAGGGAUCAAAUAAUUCCUCAACCAAAAUCUCCGAGGUGACUCAGAAAAAGGUAAGUGGUAUGAGUAGCCAUGGGCCACCAAGGAACUAUUGUGGAGCAUUGAAAAUGAAUUUUAAAGACAUGUGCUAAAGGGACAAAAUUGAGGGUCUACACUAUGAUACUACCUUUAUGCAAUUAUUGGCUUUGGUUUGAUUAUAAAUAUUGAUGUUAUUUUCAUAAUUAGGUUAUUUUUAUUUGGAAUAAUGUCCAUACUAUAGGGGAAACUCUAUCAAAAUUUUGAAAUUUCUAUUAAAAAUGUUAACAAAAUGCUCCAUUGUAUUUGUAUCUCUAAUAUUAAUUUAGACUAGUAUGACUUAUUUAUUGGUCAUAAAUGACUUGAUCUACUUAAAUUUAUCAAAUUGAUAUAUACUUAAUAUAGGGAAAACUCCAUAAAUUUUUAAAACUUUUCCAUUAGAAAUAUUUCUUAUGUAAAAACAAUAAGUAUUGUUUAUUUAUCUUCACAAUUUUGUUACGGAUAUGGAGUAUAGAGGACAUAGUUCUAAUCCAAAUCCAUUAAAUACGUCUGUUUUGGUUCUACAGGAUAGAUACAAGUCUCAUUUAGUUGACUCUGAUUAGGUAUGUAUAUGAAAGCAUAUAAUAUCUCUUUAAAGAAUGAAAAAAUUUGUAGUUUAUUAUAUAAAUGAUUUAUUUGAAUUUUUACAACUUGCUUUAGUCUUGACUUGUCGACAACAUAUAUCUAGGUUUAUGCGGGAGUGGGAGAUGGAUCCUCGUCUUCGACCUUAUAUUAUUCGAUCUGGAUUUUAUGGUGUAUACUGUAUUGGACACAUUACACUAGAUUGGGGAUUGAUCACUAGUCUAGUUGAGAGAUGGCGUCCUGAGACACACAUAUUUCACUUACCUAUUGGGGAGAUGACCAUUACUUUACAGGAUAUUGCUGUCAUAUUAGGACUUCGUAUUCAUGGGCUUCCCAUCACUGGCACAUGUGACAUAGAUUGGUCACUGCUAUAUUAUGAACUUUUAGGGGUGAUUCCCCCUACAUCUAAGAUUAAAGGAUCAAUGAUAUCGACACGAUGCCUAUGUCACCAAUUCUCUCAUCCACCAGUUGAUUCAGAUGACACCACAUUAGAGCGGUAUGCACGAGCUUUCAUAUUAGGACUCAUAGGUUCAACGCUAUUUACAAACAAGAAGGGUACCCACAUCCAUAUGUGUUAUCUCCCACUACUUAAAGACUUGACUCAAACAUCUAUGUAUAGUUGGGAUAGUGCAGUAUUAGCACACCUAUAUAGGGAGUUGUGUCGAGCAAGUUUGGAUGGUGCCACCGAUAUUAUUAGAUGUGUCACACUAUUACAAGUAUAAUUAAUUAUUCACAUUAGAUUAAAAUUUCUAGUUGCUUCAAGUUUAUAAUUUAAGUAAAAUUUUAAUGUUACAUUUUUUCUAGUUGUGGUCUUGGAAGAGACUCCACCUGGGUCGACCCUAUUUUGGUCAACCACCAGUCCCUCCAACAACCCAACAUUUAGAGCAUGAUGCAGUCGAUGAUUUACCAGUUGAGCAUUUAGACCAGAGAUUACAUGAUGAGGCAUUGUUAGAUGAGGGUUUACUAGCUGAUCCGUUAGAAUACAGGUGGAGAGUACCUUUAUCAUGGGAUCAAAACCCAUCACAUGUGUUGACAUUUUAUCGAGACCAAUUAGAUACACAGACCCAUGACUAGGUACAUAUAAGAUGUAAUGUGUUAUUGUUAACCAUAUAAACGUUAACAUUAUUAAUUUCAAAUGUUGAUUUUAAUAGGUUUUAUGGGAGCCUAAUUACAUGGGAGACUUAGUUGUCCAUCUUCCGGCGAUAUCUCUAGCAGACCAGGAGAUUUGGCAGACGUCAUCACCUCUUAUCUGCUUUGACAUUGUCAAGUGGCAUCGACUGGAGUGAGUGCUGCGACAAUUUGGCCUCCAACAAGGGAUACCUUCAUCUUGUUCCAUAGAGCAAGACCUUUAUUCCGUGGAUAGGCGAGGACGACACAAGUAUGAUUGGGGGGCAUUCUAUGCACAUUAUAUUACCUUAUGGGCUAGUCGUGUGGAGCGUAUUGCGACGGCACCACCUAUGGUGGGUGCUAUGCAGUUUCAUGAUCCCUAUAUGGAGUGGUACCGAUGUAUUACAAGAUGUUUGAUCACACCUCCUCUCCAUAUAGAUUAGAUGAGGUAUCAUAGUACAACAACGGCUACUCAGUUGUUCGUAAGAUUUUUUAAUUUAUAAAUAGUUUAUUAAAUUAUAAUUAAUUAAAAAUCAUUUUUGUCUGUUUAACUUAUUUAUUUAUUUAUUUUCUAUAGAUCACUAGCAUGGUUGAGAUUGCUAGUCGAUCUGCUAGGCCAACUUCAGGUGCACUAGGCGACAUUCAUUGGAUCACUAUUGAUAUUUUGCAUGUUAUUGGAGAGGACCAUCAUAUACAUUAUGCUCAUUAGUCACCUACAUAUCAUACCCAUCCAUGAGACCACUUGUGUCAGCCACUACAGUUAGGAUGCAUCUUAUUCGAGGCCGAAUGAGAGAUAGUAGGAGAGAUGGUGGGCGAGCUGGUCGAUAGCCUCAACGAUCUAUGCAUCCACCCGAGACCAUGUUAGCAUCAUCUACAUCAUCUACCCAAUUUGCACUUGAGGCUUCCACACUUCCCCCUUCACCCCUACCAUCACCUUCACCUAGCCCUUUUCUCUUAGAGAAUGUCGUAUCAGAUACAACUCUACCAUCACCUGUAUUUCUUCCCACAAAGGCCACUAUACCUGAUGUCAUUACAUCAGAGACUACCCCACUAUCUACUAAUCUACCAUUACCUCUACCUUGUCUCGAGGAGACCACUACACCACAUGUCACCUCACCAUCAUCACUUAUAUCUCCUCUCCUCGAGCCCACUAUAUCAGAUGUUAUUGCACUAGCUACCACUAUUGUAGAUGUCAUUAUUUCAUCUCCUAUAUCACCUCUCCUAGAUGCUACCAUAUCAGAUAUCACUGUACCUAAGAUCACCAUACCAUCUACCACCUUACCAUCACCUACACCUCUUCCCAUAGAGACUACCAUGCAUUAUACCUUUACACAUGUUACACAAUUAGAUGUAUGUCCACCUAGGAGACGUCGUGGUCCACGUAGACGUCGAGUCUUGCCUCCAUCAGCUCCAUCUCAACCUAUACAUACUGAGACAUGGCAGAUUGCACAGAUAGAUUCCACAAAGAUGUCUUUGUAUCAUAGACGUCCGCAGAGAAAGAUGAAGACCCCAUCAUGUGGCACUCAUUGAGGACUGUUUUUUAGUUUUUGUGUUUAUUUUCAUUUGCAUUAUAUUGUUAACUUUUUUUAUUAUGAACAAAUUAUUAUAUAUUUAAAUGAAAAUAUGAUAAAUUUUAAACUUAAAUUGAACUUAUAUAUAUAUACCACUUACAUAUAGAAAUCCGACAAUCUAAACAUUUGGUUUUAGGUUUAAAUUUAAACUAAUUAUAUUUAUAACUAAUUAGUUACAACAACACUAUAUUAAUAUAGAAAAAAUAAUGCAUUAAAAAAAAAUUUACUAUCUUAACCUCCAAUCAAAAUAAUUCUUAAAAAAUUGAACAUUCACAUGAUUAAAAAAUUGAACUUAAAAAAUUGGUUUUAGGUUUAAAUUUAAAGUUAUGAUAACCAACUACUAUUUUGACUAUUUUUAAAAAAAAUUUAAAAAUCGUGAUUACCAAUUACAUUUUUGAGAUGUGAAUACCCUCAUGAAUAAGAUACACAUCACAUUGAAAAUUAUUUUGAAAAUAAAAUUAAGUUACGAAUUUUUUGUUUCAAAGAAAUCAUUUUUGCCCAAAACUCCCGUUAGUACCCAAUAAGGAACAUUUUUGCUAUUCUCAAUGAAUUUACAAAAAUAUUUUAAAAGCAUUUUAAUCUAUUUAUCAAAAUUAAACUAAAUAGUGAAUUGAUUGGAAAAACAUAAGUAUUUUCUUUCUACAAUUCGAUAUUUUAAGAAUUCUAUUAGGUUGGCAUUUUAAGUUUAAAAUUUUUAGCCUUUCCAUUCCAUUUUGAUCCCAUUUUGAAAGGAAAAAAUGGAGAAAAAAAAUUAUUUUUGUUGUAUUUAAGUAAUUUUCCAAUUAUUUACCCACUUGAAGUCAUAUUAUAUUUUGUACAAAUGCUUUAAUUUUUGCACAAAGUUACAAAAUAAUAUAAUAUUCUUUAUUAUGAGGGCAUAAAAUAAUAUAUUUAUAACUAAUCAUAUUUAUAUUGAGUAUAAUGUCAAAUAUUUUAAUAAAAUUAAAUAAAAAUAUUUUUAUAUCAAAUUAAAGACAUCAAUGAUUUAAUUUCACAUAUUACUAUUCUGUAAAUAAUGAGAUCAAUUAAAGUUAAAUAUUUUUAUUAAACCACUCAUAUAUUUUAAUCAAUAUAAAAUCAAAAUAAUAUAAUAUUUUUAUUUAAAUAAAUUAAAAUUAAAUAUUUUAAAUCAAACAAUAUAAUUAUAUAUAUAUAUAUAUAUAAUUAAAGUUAAAGUUGUAGCCACCAACUACGGUUUUAGAAUUAAAGUUAAAACCGUGGUUGGUGAUUACGACUUUGACUAUUUUUUUAAACAGUUAAAGUCGUAGUCACCAACUAUAGUUUUAAACUUAAAAUUAAAAUCGUGGUUGGUGACUACGGUUUUGACUAUUUUUUAAAAAUAAAAUCGUAGUUACCAACUAUGGUUUUAUGAUAUGAUAAUCUAUGUGACAUAUACGCAUUAGAUUAGACAUUAUUUUCAAAUUCGGUUUACUUGAUGGAAUUUUUUUUAAAAUGUGGCAUAUUGGGUCAAAGCUCGGUUUUUGGGGUAGGUCCAGCCUUAGGAGGGGUCUCUCUAGGUUUAAGAGAGAUUUUGGUGGCUUGGCUUAGGGUAAGGACAUGUGUCCUCAUCUCAGCUGGUCUUUUCCAUUUCGAAAGGCCAUCGUGGCCUCAAUUAUGGUACUUUUUGCCACCUUUGGGAGACCCUUUUCAAAGAGAGUGGGAGGGCAGGAAGAAUAUCAGUUCUAUUGGUGUUUGUUAUAGAGAGAGGGAGAUCGAGAAGGCUGGAAGAGAAGAAAGAAACCAGAGAGAAGAGGAUUAGAGGAGCAAAGGAGAAGGGGAGCUCGUUGGGGCCUUGUUAGCCUUUGGGGAAAGGAAGUAAUAGCUUGAAGCCAAACAGAAAUGCUUGAGAGAAGGACUGUAAGGUACAGAUCAAUAUGGAUUUCAUGCCUUUCAUUUUCUCACUGGUUUACUCACUUUUCUACUGAUUUCUGGGCAUUACUUGUUAAUUUGAGCGUGGAUGUUAGAAGCCAAACGAUUUUUUUUUGUUGAUUCCUGGUUUGCUUAUGGGCUUGUUAUUGCUGAUUCAUUUGUCAUUUCAUGGGGUUGGUUUGAGAACAACAUGACUUUGUUUUAAGCUUUGUUGUGUAGCAUUUAGAGGUCUUAUUACUGUUGUCAUUUCUAUGAGAUUUAUUCCGGUUGUUUCACAUGGCUUUCAAGCCUAUUGACAAAGUAAUGAAAUGUCGCUUUGUUAGGUUGUCUGCUCCUUAUCUGUCUCUUCUCUGUUUCUCUUAGCUUUUAUCUCUUUGCUUCUGCAUCUGUAUCUCUUUCCUUUUCUUUCUUUGGUGCCCUGGGCCAUGGAGAUCAGAGUAGCAUGAGUAUUUCAAGAGGAGUAGAAACUUUAUGAGACUGUACGAUGAGGAUUGCUUGUGGUGUUUAGCACACUGCUGCAAUUGUUGAAUUAGUGAUUGCAUCCUUUAGUUCUAAGUCUUCUGGUAGCUAUUUAUCUGGAAACUUGUUCACCUGGGGUGAAUGGAGCCAUGAUGUGAGAUAGUGGAGUUGUAUUGGGAAAGUUCCUCGAACAUGCUGUGGACAAGGAUACUUCUUCUUCAAGGUAAGAAGGUUGUUGAACUGGGCUCCGGCUGUAGUUUAGUCAGCUGCAUAGCUGCUCUUUUGGGUGCUCAAGUUUUUCUUACUAAUCUUCUUAAUAGAUUGAGGCUUCUGAAAAAGAAUGUUGAAGCCAAUCUGAAACAAGGAGACUUACGGGGUUCUGUAACAAUACACGAGCUUACAUGGGGUGAUGAUCCUGAACCAGAAUUGAUUAAAUCUCUGCCUGCUUAUGCCAUGUGGGGCACAAACACAAUUGCUUUGGCAGGAGAACUUUGAAAUUAUUCUAUCCUUGAAUACUUUUCAAAAGCUACAAUGAAGGAUUUCAUGGUUGGGCACGUGGCGUUAUGGAUAUGAUAGUUCUACUGCUCUCAUUCGUUCGACUACUUUAUUUGAAGAGUUGAUUCAUCUCAAAUGUGAAAUUUGCCACCAAUUUAUCCCAACAAAUGGUGCUGGUUUAAUUGAGCAUAGGUGCCACCCACUUUGGUCCCACAAAUAUUGCCUAUGACACGAACUCGACACUGUAGCUAAGUGUUGUAGCUGCGAACGCUUGGAGUCUUGGAAUGCGAGAUACAUAUCCUUGGAAGUUGGGCGAAGUUUAUGUAGUUUAAUUAUCGCUAUGAGAUUAUCACAAACACGCAUGACUUGUAAAAUUUAAAAUAAUAAUAAUAAAAAGAAAUUUGAUAAUAAGAAAUAUAAAUUAUAGAUUAUAUAAAAAAUGAAGAAAAAUAAAAUAUCAUUUUUUAAUCAUAAAAAAUAACAAAAGUACUUGUUUUUCAAUUAAAAAAUUAUUAUUAUCUUUUUACUCUAAAGUAUUUAUACACUUUUUUAUUUUUAAUAUUUAUAUAGUAUUCAAUGUAUUCAAUAAAAUGAUUGAAACCAAUAAAUAUGAAAAGAUAAAACAUUAAAAAAUUGAAAUUUAAAGAAGUUUUAGAAGAAAAUCUAUGAUGAUUUUGAUAUGUUUUAAAAAAUAUAUUAAAAUGAAUAUGGAGGAAAAGUUUUAGAAACUAAAUGUUAUUCUUUAAAAAAUAAUAUAUAUAUAUAUAUAUAUAAUAUAAUUAUAAGGGUGUUAAUCGAUGAAAUUUAAAACCUGUAGUGGCUUAAUAUAUUUAUACAGAACCUUAGGGGGUCACAACAAAAUUAACCCGAAAAUAAAAUGAUGAAUUAUAGUUUGUGUGCUUGCUUAUGAUUGAUCCAAAGGGAAAUUGAGUAUAUGCAACUAAAAGCUACAUUAGCAACAGUUGGAUAUAUGUUAUGUGCUUGCUAUUGCUUGCUUAGGUUCUGUGUGCCAAGAGAAAACACACAGCAAAAUUCAUUAUUAAGUUUCAUUUAUUUAUCUCGAGAUAUCAAUUCAAAAAUAUUUUCUUUUCUUCAGACCCCAUUUUGUAGCAAACAGACCCUAACCUGUUAUACACAAUAAAUUAGAAACUUCAGCCUUUGAUGAAAUUGGGUGCGGUUGGGAAGCAUCUGGCAAAAUUAGGCCUUUGGCUCCAAUCUCAACCCAACUCACCCAUUUUGUAGCAUUAGAAAAUAGACGUUAGGAGUAAACUGGCUGAAACUCAUCUUGAAUCAAUAUCAGUAUUUGAAACUUCAAAAAUUUGAAAACAUAACAUCUUAAGUUCAACUCGUAACCUUCUCUUAUUGGUUGGCUCUAUAUACGUUUUAAUUUAUUACCGUAUACCAGAUGCAUACAUAGCUGCUUUCCAUGCAUUGACAUGCCAAGCCAACUUGCUUCUACCCUUAAUGACAUCUGGAUGUAAACGACCUCACCAUGACAUUGAAAAUCUAUUGAUACCAAUAUUAUAUAUAUUUAAAAAAAUUUUAUAUAUGCAUAUUUGCAUAUUUGCAGAACUGGAUUACCCAGUAUUGUCAAUUUAAAAUUUCAGUUUCCUAAUUAAUUGAAAUACAAUAUAAAUUUAGGAUAUGUGUAAGACCCACAUGGAGGGUCAGAACGCCAUAUCCGGCAAUUUCCCAUCAUCUUCAAAGCAUUUUGAACAAGUAAAGAUAGUGUUGCAGUGCAUUUUUCUCAUGGCCCUGCGGUCAGCCUCUUCAAUCUUUCAUGCACCCUUGAAGAGUCUAUGCCGAUUCUAGAACAAACAGCCUGCAAAAAUCAAUCAAAUGACAUUAAUACUAAACAAAGUCUGGAAAUGGAAUCAUUCUGUUCUAUUGCAUCUGAAGAUAUUUCUACCUGUGAAUUAAUUAUAUAGUGGAUCUUAUCGCCAACACGGGAGUAGCUAACAGCUACAACAGGAGCUGCUUCCUCCUCAAGAACAUCUAGAACCCGGGUCAGGAUGAACUUGUCAUUUGACCUGCUAAUCAAACAUACCUCUAUCGCAGAAUCCAAUUCUGUCACUGUGAAAACAGUUGACAUCGAGCCCCUCAUGCCUGCAGUCUCAUCAGUGCUGCCUUCAAGUUGUUGCUUCCUUUUCUUCAGCAUCUCUACCCUUUGUUCCAAUUGCUUCACAUGAGCGGUGGCUUGAUCCAGCACAUCAAGUGACUUCCACUAUAUAUGUAUGCAUGCAUGCAUGUAUGCAGUAACUUCAUUAGUUCACAAUAAAGAGAAAAGCGACCGACGACGGUGUUAGUACUUACCUUGGGUGCCCGUGGGGUAGGAUUAAUUAGAGAAGCAAGCUUGGAAAGGAGAUCUUUCGCGAACAUUCUUCGGUUUCUUUCUAAAACAUUUCGAGUAAGUGUAGGUACUUUACUCCCCCGGCGGGGCAUCUUUUCUUUGCCGAAAAGCAGAUGGAAACCCUAAACCAAGAUAAAGAAUGACACGAAUUAUAUUUGGCUCAAAUCGGCUAUAUACAGUGGUGAGUAUCUCCCGUGAGAGGGACAAAACUAGCUCAGAAAUGUGAACCGGCUGGUUUGCUUCCACACGAAAUGCUAAUUGAUUCUACGGAUGAGGGCUAGAAAGGCCAUCCCAGUGACUGCGAUGGACGAAUGCGACCACUCUUGUUAAGACUCCUAUGCCUAUAAAACAAAAUUUUGAGUCCGAUUGCAGACGUACUGUUAUUAAAAACAAAAAAAACAGCUCACAACUUCAAAGCUACUGUAGACCCCCAUUUGGGUGUCAUUUUCUACAGCCAUUUUUGCCAAGUUUCGCAGUCCCAUAGGGCCACAUGUCGCCUUGUGGUUGGUGGUCAUAGAAACAGAUGGUGGAAUUGAGGAGCGAGUGAGAGUUUGACACGUGGCAUGGAGAUAUUCUGGCCGUUAGGAGGAGCGUAUAUUUUCUGUUAGAGGGGAUUUUUGCAGGGGGGUCGGCUGGCCAGAGGUAGGGUGCUUUUCAGAAGCUGCUGCAGGGUAGUGAGGGAGGGGGGCUUACUUUUGGAGAGGCGGUUAGAGAUCUUUUGGGAGGAGGAGCUUUGGUUUUGUGAGAGGAGCUUCAGCGGAGGAGGGAAGAAGGGAGAUUCUGGGGGGAGACGACUACAGACAGAGUGAGGCAGAGAUCUAAAAAAAAAAGAAGAAGAGGAUGGUUUAUUGAGUUCCUGUCGAUCUUGUUGGAGGGGAUCGUUCUGAGGUAUGCUUUUCUUCUCUUUUUCUACUCAUUCUUGGGAGAUUUUUGGGGAUUGCUAGUAAGUAUGUUCAUAUAUAUGUUUUUUUUUUUUUUUUUUUUUUUUUUUUUGGGGUUCUUGCUGAAGAUCAGUUUGUUCUUGUUUCAUUUUCCCCAUGAUAUAUCAGUAAUCAUGCUUUGUUUCUUGUUGGAUACUCAUUUGAUUUCACUCACCUUCACCUGAGUCCAUUGAUUGAUUCAUAAUUGAGGCUUGCAUGGAUUCACUCUGCUCCUAUUAUUUGUACUCUGUUUUUCCAUUUUCCCCUGUUCCUGGUACCCGCCCAUGGUGCAUACCUGUUCUUUCACCCCUGCCUGAGGGAACAAAGAACUACUAAGGUCCGAAUGUAAGGAGACUAAAGCCAGGAUACUAGUGGGAGUGUGAUUAUGUAUGCUCUGUUUUUGGGACCUCUUGUCUCUCUACCCGAUUCUCAAAUCAUUUCUUAGUUUCAUUAUUUCUUGGGGAUACUGUUUGUUUGCUCCUGCUGUUGACUUCGUGGUUAUGGUGGCUCGCGUGUUGGUCAUUGGCUGUCAAAGAUGCUAGUUGGAAUUGCACAGUUUAGGCUCUACUUUAUAAGGUUGGGAGUAUGAAUUUGGUUCUAUCCUCUGAAAAUCAUCUGAGCCAGAGCAAUAUAUGCCCAGCUGAAAAAGGUAUCUAAUGGAUGCUACCACGAGGGCAAACAUUGUGGGGAAUUGAUUUAAUAAGAAUAUGAGCGAGCUUUCAUGUCAGUAUUAGCUUGAAGUCGGAUCAAAAGCUAAGUAUCAUGCGGCCGCCAUGGAUCAUCUGAACCCCGAAGCUUUCUGCCAGUCCGUGUGUCUCCUUCACACGCCCACGACAUCACCUGCGGUUGUAACUGCGCAAGGCAUAGCCAGGAUGGAGAAGCCAUAUUUGAUGUUCUGUUUACGGAUAAGGUCACCAUGGAGGCUUGAACUGCUAUGGCUACAAAGUGAGCAAUAAGUUACUGAGUCCUAGGCAGAGGAGUAAUUGAAUUUGCUCUCGGGAAAAGACGUAUAGAAUAAGACCCAGUUCUUGAUUGUUGUAGCAGCUGUCAUGGCAAGCUCCAGUUAUAUUUCAGAAUAAUUUCAUGGCUCCCGAGAGACUCCUCUUCAAGGUGAAGAAUACCGUCAUCCUGUUAUGAGACCCUUACUGCACAACAAGAAGGUGUAGUGCUGCCAUGCAAGUUCCUUGGGUUUGAGCUCCUCAUUUUCUGGAAGGUGUGAUGUUUGUCGAUGUGGAUGGCCUAACUGUUCACAUUACAUGGUAUUUUGGAUCUGGGCUCUGGGCCCAACUCAACUCGGUGAAGAAACUGAAGCUUUUCUUGGUAACGGGCCUCAUAGCACUUCUAAGCUAGCUGACCUUCGUGAGGAUUUCAUUAAUAAACAUGACCGACGUAGUGGCUGUAGACAACCCAGCUCUGACCCACUUCCAGUACCCACUAAGCCACCUUUUUCACACCCAUCCCCAUACCCGUUUUUUUCUUACUCAUGCAUAUACCCCUAAUCCCAUGCAAGACUGUACCUAUUCAUACCCACACUUCCAUACCAUCUUUCAUCUUUAUGCCCCAUGCCUGCACUCAUCAAACCCAUUCCACAUUAUCACCUUUUCUCCCUCUUCAGACUCUUUCAUACCCAUUUCACCACUCCUUAUUCAUCAUCCAUCAUCCAGCCCUGUUCAUUCAUUCCAUCCUUCAACUUGCCACUAAGCUAUCCACAUUUCAGUCGCCUUUCAUUCCCUGUAUACUCGCCGCCCUUCAAUUAUUCCUCUCAUAUACUCGGCCAACCUCAUCCCCAUAUUUUAGCAUGCCCACAUUGUACCCCUCACCCCAUAUAGCUCAUCUUCGGUUCAUUUCAUCCUUUUCCUAAGUAUAAGGGACCCCACAUAUAGCUGCCGUCACCUCAUUAUCCUUCAUCACCACCUUCACAUAUCCAUUCUCUCUCAUCAACCUUUAUACCCAUUUUCUUUUCUCCCAAUACCCCACUAUAUUCCUGUCCUCCACCUCUCAUGAACCUGGACGUGUUUAGCUCAUUCAUUCAGUCACUAAGUCCCACGUCCAAAGCUUUGCUAGAUAAGUUCUCUAAAAUUGAUCGUGAUGCUGGAAUUGGAAUGAUGAACUAUAGGUCAGAACUGGACUUCAGUGGGAACGUUAGAGAAACAAUUUCAUUGUCCAAAAAUGCGCCUCCUGGUCCACCUCCAUUGCGUUCAAUAUGUCAACACAAGGCUCCUGUAUUUGGAAAGCCCCCCAAGGUGGUUCAGCUAUGUUGAGCUGGAGCUUGCUACUGGUGGAUUUUUACAAGCUAAUUUCUUGGCAGAAGGCGGGUUUGGAUCUGUCCACAGAGGGGUCCUACCUGAUGGCCAAGCAGUUGCUGUGAAGCAAUACAAAUUGGGUAGUUCUCCGGGUGAUGUUGAAUUUUGCUCAGAAGUGGAAGUCCUGAGCUGUGCUCAGCACCGAAAAGUUGUUAUGCUGAUUGGGUACUGUAUAGAAGACAGAAGAAGGUUGCUAGUUUAUGAAUAUAGAUGCAAUAGCUCACUGGAUUCUCAUCUAUAUGGACGCCAUCGAGAUCCACUAGAAUGGUCUACUGGAGAAAAAGUUGCUGUUGGAGCUGCUCGAGGUCUGCGUUACCUUCAUGAAGAAUGCAGAGUGGGUUGCAUUGUCCACCGUGACAUGCGACCCAACAACAUCCUCAUCACCCAUGAUUUUGAGCAACUGGUUGGGGAUUUUGGCUUAGCUAGGUGGCAGCCUGAUGGAGACACGGGUGUGGAAACAAGAGUAAUUGGAACAUUUGGGUAUUUGGCUCCAGAAUAUGCUCAAAGUGGCCAAAUCACAGAAAACGCUGAUGUAUAUUCUUUUGGGGUUGUCUUGGUGGAGCUUGUCAUAGCAUGGUUCAAAGUCGCGGUAUCGGUCAUUGACUCGGAGGGUCACGAGGCAUAUCGGUAUCGGUGUCUCGGUUCGGUAUCGGGCGAUACGUAAAAUAAGAUAAUUAAAAUUUUCAAAAAAUUAUAAAAAUAUUAUAUAAAUUAAAAAACAAAAUAGAUAUAAUUAAAUAAAUUGAAAAUUUUAAUAAAACAAUUUUUUUUUUUACAUUUAACUCAAAGUUAUUUAUGAUAAUAUUAAAAAUUGAGGAUUUAAUUAUCACUUUACCAUAUAAAUAUUUUAAUUUAUCAUUAAACCUCAUAUAUAUACCUUUCAUAUCAUUUUAACAAAUGGGUACUCAAUUUUCCUAAUUAGUUAUUAUUAAAUCAGAUUAAUAUAAAAGGUAUUUUUCAGGUAAAUUGGCCUUAAUUCUCCGUGUAAAUCCGUAUAAAAGGUAGCUUUUUUACUUUACUAAUUUGAGCCCCAAUCUCCCGUCCUCGCCACCAUUGCUGUCAAGACCCACAACAGAGCUCUCAAUCUCCCACCCUCGCACACCACCAUGCUGUCAAGACCCACAACAGACGACACCACUUGCAAUCGCAAAUUUAUAACCGUUCCUAACAUGGGAGGGGGAGCAAUCUGAUUGCGAGGGGUUGUCUUGUCGACGCCGCCGAUGAAAUAUUCAGUCCACUUGACGAGUCACCACCGCCGACACCAAAGCUCCACCCUCUGGUAAUGCUCGAUUUUGAGGAAAAUCAGGUAAGUAAAUCAUAAAUCAUGCCCUCAUCCUUCGGUGGUUUCUCCGCUUAUUUCCGAAUGGGUUACGGUUAGGGUUUUUUCUUCUUCAUCUUCUUUGAUCUUCUUAUUGAUGGUUUAAAAUUUCAGAAUAGGUGUUUGCUUUUGGAAGGGCAAUCUCUGGUUAAUUUUUUUUUUUUUAUUUUAUGAAAAAUUUGAAAAUUCUCUGUAACCUAACCGAGUCAACCGAGUUAACUCGGAAACUCAGACAAGUCAGUCGAGUCUAACCGAUUCCCAGUCGAGUUCAUGCAUUAUACCGUAUCUGGUAUCGGUCUCGUCGCGGCAGGUGUCGAGGCGGAUACGACUCGGCCGAGUCGUACCGGACUCGGCCGAUACUUUGAACCUUGUGUCAUAGGACGAAAAGCUGUGGACCUUAACCGGCCCAAAGGGUCGGCAAUGCCUCACUGAAUGGGCACGUCUUUUAUUGGAAGAGUAUGCCAUUGAUGAACUAGUAGACCCGCGGCUGGGAAACUGUUAUUCGGAGCAGGAGGUAUAUUGCAUGUUGCAUGCAGCAUCCUUGUGCAUACAGAGGGAUCCUCAUGCAAGGCCUCGGAUGUCACAGGUGUUACGCAUUCUGGAGGGAGACAUGGUUAUAGACUCAAAUUACAUGGCCACCUUUCAAGCCGCAUGUCUUUUUGCCUUUGUUUCACCUUUGUUUUUUUUUAAAAUAAUCCUUCAAAUCCCAAUUUUCAAAUAGUUUUCCAAUUUUUUUCAAAUUCUUCAAAUAAUCUCAAUUUUCUCAUCUUUCAUCCUUAGAAUUUUUAGGAUCACCCAAGAGUCUCAUUUUCAAUAAAAUUUGGCUGCCAUUUUCCUCCCGACAAGCCACUUUUGAAUUUUCUUUGUUUUCUAAAAAUGUUUUAAAAUAAGUAGGGAUUAAAUUCCGUAAUUCCAGGUGAUGGAAUUUAUGGAAUUGAUUCAUGCAAAAUGAACGGGCUUUGGUGGGGGCCCUACAUCAAAUAAAUUUGCUUUAAAAUAAAAAUGAAUUUUGAGUGAAGUGUCAUGCGUGCCUUUGAUGAUUCUGUACUCGUUUUUGUGACAUGUGAGUUAUGUUUGUGCACUUUAUUUUGCACUAACCCUCUCUCUUGAUAGCGCAUAGUGGCUCGCUGCACAGGUACACACUCAUUCUCACUCUGAUUAGUCUAUAUGCAUUUUCUGACUCUCGUAUGUACAUGUUUUGCUUUGAGUAUUCAUUGGUUUAUUCAUCCAUUGCCAUGUCAGCUUCAUCUCAUUAGUAGAGACCCGACUUUAGGGACUUAGAGGGGUGCUACGGUCUUUACCGUACCUUCCCGAUAAGUAACCUGACCCCCGAACCCGAUCCGGUUUUUCACAGACCGCCUUUUCCAAAAUAAGGAGUCACACUUAGGGUUUUUCUUUCUUAUUUUGUUUACCUUUUAAAAAUAAAACAAAAAUAAGUGGCGACUCCAAGUCAUUUUCAAAUAAUCAAUAAAAAUCAAUUUUUCAAAAUAAAAAUUGAGCUCACCAUCGAGUGGGAAACGCAUUAAGCGAGGCGAAAUGCGGGGUCCACAGCUACAUUCCAUAAAUUUCAUUUAAAAAAAUUGUUUUCAAAAUAUAGGUUGAUUUUAAAAAAAAUUUAAGGUUUUUUAUCCUAGUAUUCUUUUAAAGAAAAAAAAAGCAUAAAAUAAAUCUAUGCUUUUUCCACAAGAUGCUCUACUUUUUACAUAAAUUUUAUUUCUAAUUUUUGUUUUUAAAAACAAAAAAAUACAUCCAAAAAGGAUAUUGAAUUGUUGUGAAUAUACUGAUGACAAAAUAAAGAUGCUAAAAUUUAAAUCAAUUUCUCCUAGUUCAAUAUUAAAAUCAGCUUAAAUAAAAUGUAAUUUUUGUUGCACUUUUGUUUUUAAAAUUUUAAAAUUAAUAUUUUAAAACCAAUUUUGAAAAUAUGUGAGUUUGAUUUAUAAAUUUUGAUAGAAGAAAUUAAAAAAUAAGUGUAUCCAAAAACUUUUUACUUUCUAAAUUUUUUAAAAAUAAAUAUUAAAAUAAGAAAUCCUUAGUACUCAUGACUUGCUUCCAUUUUUUCCAAUAUCAAAUCAACGGCAGUGACAUAUUGUAGAUAUAUAUAUAUAUAUAGAACAUUAGAAUAUAUAAAAUUGGCCCAAAUUAUUAAAAAUCAUUUUUGUUCAAAACUUUUUUCUUUUGCAUGUAUAAAACAAAAACAAACAAACUGCAUUGAUUCAAUAAAAACCUUGUCCUCAAUAGCGUUUAACAUCAAAAACAGUUCAUCGGGACACAUGUAGCACAAAAAGGACCCACAGUUUACUAAAGACUUUCCAUGCUGCGUGAUUUGCGUGUGCCAUGGCAUUGACACUAGAUAGGCUGCGUGGCGCCUAUUGGCGGAGCCACAUAGUAUCCACUGCCCACGGAGUGCUGAGAUGCCCCCUGCCAUGUAGAUCAAAAUAUUGGAAAAUAAAUGGGAUUUAGUACUAGACAUGAAAUUUUAAGAAAACAAGGGUCGGUUUCCUGUGUUUUCUGUUUUUAAUAUUUUAUAAAAAAAAGAAUGUUUAACAAGUAGUUUUAAUAAAAAAAAAUAAAAAUUUAUUUAAAUAAAUUAUUUUUAAAAAUAAUUUAUUAUUUUAGUUUUAUAGAUUCAAUUUAUAUAAUACAAAUUUAGUUUAAUUUAUGUCUUAUUAAAUAAUUUUUGAGUUUUAAUUUAUUUUUUAAAAUUAAUAAAUUUUAUAUAUGUUUGAUUUGAUUAAUUUACUUAAUAAAAAAUUUUAAAAAAAGUAAAAGAAAAAGAAAAAUAUGUAUAAUUUAAAGAAAAAUCAUAUUUAAAGAUUUUCACUAUUAGUAUUAAAUCACCUAGAGAUAAAAAAAAAAGAUAUUAAAUUCAAUUAUAUAUAUUUUUUAAUUUUCAAAAUUUUCUAUAUAUAUUUUUUUCUUCUUUUAAUCUUUCCUUGAUGCUUUCGGGAAUCUUAGCAUUAAUUAUUUCCAAGAGUGUCAACAUUAUUUUCUCAACUUUCUGCUUUAGAGGAAUAAUUUCUUAUGAUCUUUCACGCGUGCAUAUGGGAGAAGCAGAGGAUGGUCGAUGUCAUUCAAAUUAAUGCUUUAGAAAGAUACACGAAACUAGAGAACUAGUUCCCUUAAAUUACAUUCAAAUGGAGUGGUCUAGGUAUUAAGAAAAAAACAGAACAAUUUUGCUGCGUCCAUCACCAUGUCUUUGGAAGAGGAUGGUCCCAAUACUUCAAUCACUUCCGCGUUUUCCAUACAUUAUACAGGCACUUGACUUGGUCUUUAGUUUCUUACAUUGAUAUCCGGGUCAACACGUGGGCUAUCAUUGUCACUUUCCCUGCCUCAUCCUCACCUCACCUAAAUCAUGCCCUGCAUAUAUGCUAGAGACAAAAGCGAAAUCCUCAUCGAACUUGUUGAUUUUGGGUAAAAUACUGAUCAAGUUAGAUAUAAGUUUCUCAAAUGAAGCAGCAACGUUGUGAUCUUCUCGUACAUUUUCUAAAUCCUGGUGUUUUCCAGGAAAAAAAAAAGUCACGUGCGAAAGCAUUGGACGCAGGGGACCAGGUCUGGUAAUGUAAGGGGAGAGUUACCAAUUCAAGAAGAAACAAAAAGAUGAUUGAUCUUUUUUUGUUGUCUACGAAUGCCACAUUUGGAUGCCGGUCGAUAACCGUUCAAAAAUGCCGGAGAUUAAUUCUGAACCCUGCAAUUCUCUAAGUGUCGGAUGGUUUUGUCAUAAUCUGGGUCCUUUUCAUAGUGUGAAUCAUUUGAUUUUAAUUGCAACUACGUCUAGCGUGUCAUCUUCUCUGUUUGAAAGUUGCGGACUUGGGGGCUGGAGACUUGGAGUCAAAAUAAGAGAGGGUGAAGGUUCUGUCCACAAUUCAUUUUUGGCAGGUUUACUUUGGAGGAAGGCCACACAAACUCAUUAACAUGGUUCAAAGUCGUGGUAUCGGUCAUUGACUCAGAGGGUCACGAGGCAUAUCGGUAUCGGUGUCUCGGUUCGGUAUCGGGCGAUACGUAAAAUAAGAUAAUUAAAAUUUUCAAAAAAUUAUAAAAAUAUUAUAUAAAUUAAAAAACAAAAUAGAUAUAAUUAAAUAAAUUGAAAAUUUUAAUAAAACAAUUUUUUUUUUUACAUUUAACUCAAAGUUAUUUAUGAUAAUAUUAAAAAUUGAGGAUUUAAUUAUCACUUUACCAUAUAAAUAUUUUAAUUUAUCAUUAAACCUCAUAUAUAUACCUUUCAUAUCAUUUUAACAAAUGGGUACUCAAUUUUCCUAAUUAGUUAUUAUUAAAUCAGAUUAAUAUAAAAGGUAUUUUUCAGGUAAAUUGGCCUUAAUUCUCCGUGUAAAUCCGUAUAAAAGGUAGCUUUUUUACUUUACUAAUUUGAGCCCCAAUCUCCCGUCCUCGCCACCAUUGCUGUCAAGACCCACAACAGAGCUCUCAAUCUCCCACCCUCGCACACCACCAUGCUGUCAAGACCCACAACAGACGACACCACUUGCAAUCGCAAAUUUAUAACCGUUCCUAACAUGGGAGGGGGAGCAAUCUGAUUGCGAGGGGUUGUCUUGUCGACGCCGCCGAUGAAAUAUUCAGUCCACUUGACGAGUCACCACCGCCGACACCAAAGCUCCACCCUCUGGUAAUGCUCGAUUUUGAGGAAAAUCAGGUAAGUAAAUCAUAAAUCAUGCCCUCAUCCUUCGGUGGUUUCUCCGCUUAUUUCCGAAUGGGUUACGGUUAGGGUUUUUUCUUCUUCAUCUUCUUUGAUCUUCUUAUUGAUGGUUUAAAAUUUCAGAAUAGGUGUUUGCUUUUGGAAGGGCAAUCUCUGGUUAAUUUUUUUUUUUUAUUUUAUGAAAAAUUUGAAAAUUCUCUGUAACCUAACCGAGUCAACCGAGUUAACUCGGAAACUCAGACAAGUCAGUCGAGUCUAACCGAUUCCCAGUCGAGUUCAUGCAUUAUACCGUAUCUGGUAUCGGUCUCGUCGCGGCAGGUGUCGAGGCGGAUACGACUCGGCCGAGUCGUACCGGACUCGGCCGAUACUUUGAACCUUGCUCAUUAACGAGGAAUGUAUUUCCUCUCGUAUAGGCGAGGAACAUGAUACUUGGAAAGGAAAUGGACUAUUUUAACCCUAUACUAAACAAUUGUUAAAUAUUUGAAUAUUUAAAGAUAAAUAAUUAUAAAUAUAAUUAAAUAAUUGUAUAUUUGAAUAUGUAAAAUUACUUAAAUGUUUUUAAAUUAUUAAAAAUACUAUAUAUUUGCUAAACAUACAAAUCAUGUAUUUUUCUAAUCUAUAGUUAUAAUAUCUCAAAUUUAAUCAUAUAAAACCCUAUUGAUUCAAAUUUUUGCUCGAAAAUAAUAACUUUAACAUGCUAAAAAUACUGUUGUAUCCAAUUGAUCCCCACAUAAUUAUUUUCAAUUUUUAAAAAUCAAUUUCAUAAUUUAAACUAAUGAUUUUUUUAAAAAUAAAAAUAAAUGCAAAUGAUAAAAAUAAAUUUUAUUCAUUUAAAUGAGAUCUUUUUUUAAUAUUUAAUAAUAAUGGUGAAAAUUAUGAGCAUAAAGAAAAAGUGAUAAGUUAUACACUUCAAAAACUGUCAUAUUCAUUAGAUUCUUUUUCCUAGACUACAUGUGAAAACUUCAAUAAAAUUCUUGAUUUGGGAUUCAUUACCUUGCAUUCUUUUUCUUAUAUUGAACUGGUGCCGUGUAUGUCUUGGGUGCUUCCUUUAAUAUUUCUUUUCCUGUACGUUUCUACCAAGACAAUUCAUGCACUUGAAGUUCUCUAUCACUUCCAUUUAUGUACUUGGAAAUAAAAGUUCAAGCUUUUCUUUUUUCUACUACUCAUUCUUCUAGCAACUAAGAGCUAAGAUGUGAAUUAAAACUUUCAGCUUGGGUUGAGAUUGCUUGAAAUUCAAAGAUCGACUCAAACAGCUAUCAGAUUUCAAAGAAAAUAUUUCAAUUUAAUUGAUAACCAUUUCUUAUGUUAAGCAGCUAGCAGAUAUUUAUGUACCCAACCAGAGCUUCAUGUAGGCUAGCUCCAUAUGUUCCUUUGGCAAAAGAGUUCAUACGUGCAUAUGGGAGGAGAAGUAGAGGAUGCUCCAUGUUAUUCAAAUUAAUGCUUUAGAAAGACAGGCGAUAUUUGAGAAGUAGUUCCCUUACAUUACAUUCAAAUGGAGUGGAAAUAAAGUUAUGCAAGCCAUUUCAUCUAAUAGGCAGUGAAAAAAAAACAAAGAACAAUUUGCUGCGAUGAAUCCAAUGAUCUCGCUCUUCGGUCGCAGCAACAAUUGAACCUUGCCAUUGUGAGAGGGUAUUUUCUUUUACCGUCUGUUUGGUUUCUGAGACAAUUGAGCAAAAGAAAAGAAAAGUGAAAGCGAGGUGGUUAGUAUUGGAUGAGUGGAGGGAGGGUUCCUUUUUCAUUUCCUACAUUUUCUCAGUAACCAAUUAUAUGAUUAAUUUGAUUUGAAAUUUUAUGCAUUUUGGUAUCUGAGUUUUAGAUUUUUCUCAAUCUAAGAGCUAGUUUCGUUUUAUUAGAUUUUCUCGAAAAGAUUAAAUCCAACUUGAGAGCUGAACCUAAUAUCAGAAUCACUUUUUUAAUUGUUGAAAGGAUUGAAAUUUUGUGCGAUGAAUUAAUAGCCGGUUCUUGCUCUUCCAUGUAUUCAAUUCUGUUUUGAAGAUGAGUUACUGCGUGUGUGUUUGUGGACAAUAUUUCUGGUUUGAGGUAAAUUAUUACAUGUCAAAACUAAUCUAGAUGUUCAAUAUUUCUAUGUUUAUGAUAGUUAUUUUGUUCUACUUCAAUUGAUCUUGUGUUUUCACUUAUAAUUGACUGACUUAUAUCCCAUUUAAUUUUCUGAAGCCUGGUUGAUCCAUUUCUAUGGUAGGCUAAGUUGUGGUGUGACUGCCCUUUCUGGCUAGAUGACUUGCGAGAUUCCUGUGUUUGUGAAUGCCUUGAAAGUGAGUUCCCUGAAUCAUUUAAGAAGCUCUUUAAUCAUGACUUUUCAUCAAAAGAUCUCAUUUAUCAAGAGGGAAAGCCGCAGGCUGUUGUCAACUGUACACUAGAUGCCAAAGCUUUCAAAGGCUGGGUAGAAGUAAACAAUAUGAUGAGACUGACAACGGUGGAUUCUUUUUAGUCAAUAACACUGUAUCUUUUUUGCUUUUAAGUUACUCUUAUGGUUUUGAUGGUUCAUUUUCAUUUGCAGCAGAGAUGACAUCUGAAUUAGUGUUGGGGUUCCUAAUCAGGGUUUAGGGCUGGCUAGGUUCUGACAUUUUUCUUGCUUCUGCUAUUUUUUUCCUUUAAAUCUAUCUCAGUUGAAGUUAUUUCCUUCUCUAUUUUUUACCACUGUUAUUUCUUUCUUUGCUAUGUCACCUGCUUAUAAAAGUUAGAUCUUCACACUUUUAAAACCUUAGUUUUGUUAAGCUAUAUUAGCCAUCUUCCUUAUAGUUUGACAUGCAUGGAGAAUGUGAUUAAAUGUAGUAGUAGUAAACUAGUAUAUGGUAAUAUUGUUUUCCUCGUCAAAGUAAGCAUUGUAUAGUUGUUGUUUGGUUCCUUUAGCUUAUUUAGCUUAUUAUAAUUUUAACUUUAAAUGCUUAUUAUAUUUAACAUGGUCACUUUGUAUCUUGUUUUAGUUUAUUGUAUGGGCUCCAACAAGGGAGAGCACAUUGUAUGAAAAGGGCUCUUGAUGACACUAUUACAUUAAAGGAAAAAUAGUUACCUGGUUAGUCAGGAGAAAAAAUGCUGGCAUUUCCCUUUUGGACUUUCUCUGUUUGUUUCUUGGAAAUAACAGGGGAAAAAAUAUAAAGAAUAUCCAAUAAUUUUCCUUCUAAUUCUUACCCUAAAUGAUUGGUGGCAAGGCUUAUUUUUGUGCCCUUGGGUAAAAAAAGGGUACAGAUACACAUUUUAGAGGAGUAUUCUGAAUAAUAGAGUUGUAAAAAGCAGGGCGGAAAUUAUGCUCUGUUUGGUUUUACAUGGCAACAAAUACUGGAAACAAUUUUCCGUUGCUCCAUGUGUUUGCGUAAGAAAAUUGCUCUCGUUCAUCCCAUUCAUAUUGUUCAUUCACUGAUAUGAAGACCUUCAAGAUGAUGGAUCUUCAUAAGCCAGUAUUAGAUUUUGCUUAUUUUGCAUUUUUUUUCCCACUAAAUGCAGUUUUAUAUCUAAAAAUCCAGCCUAUAGAUAAAAAAUUAUAAGAAUUUUUGCUCAAUUGGGUUCCUUGUGGGUUUCUUUUUUUAACUAAUAUAAAUAAUAAAUAUAACUUUUAACAUUAUAAAAUAUACAUCCUCAUGGCACAUAAUUGGUUGGUUCGAUGAAAUUGGUGUUUAAUUACCUAUGUGAGGAUCAGCACCUUGAUUCUUGAGUUCUUUGUACUUUUGACAAAGAGCACAUACACAGUAGCAUCAAUGAACCAACAAAUCCCUACUUGGAGCCUUUGACAGUUAAAAUAGUGCCUGGAAUUUGGACUUGAGCAAAAAGAGUUUACUCCUUUUGUUUGAGGCUGAUGACAGUUGACACCAUCCCUUAUUCUUUAAAAGUUCCUAAUAUUUGUAGAACAUCAGCUUCACUUUGUAGGAUGUUGGUGGUCAGGAUAAUGUAUUAACAUUUGUUUACGAACCAUAUUAUGCUAUUCUUUGCAUAUUUCAAAAUAUAUACUCAUAUAUAGCCAUUAUUUCUGUAUAAGAUUUUUAACUCUCUCUUUCUCUCUGUCAUGCCAUAUCUUAUUGACAAAGUUAUUACUAAAAUUUUAAUUCAUAUAAUGGCUUAAAAAAUAAUUUGAUUCUUACAUAGAUUCCUCCAUUGUGGAGGCAAUAUUUCCAAAACACACAAGGUCUUAUAUUUGUGGUGGAUAACAAUGAUAGAGAUCAAGUUGUUGAGGUCAGGAAUGAGUUGCAUAGGAUAUUGUUGAAUGAGGUAUCUUACUAUUUAGUAAAAUCCAUCUUUGUGGUGGAUAACAAUGAUAGAGAUCAAGUUGUUGAGGUCAGGAAUGAGUUGCAUAGGAUGUUGAAUGAGGUAUCUUACUAUUUAGUAAAAUCCAUCUCUAUUUAAAUUUAUAUAUAUAUAUAUAUAUAUAUAUAUAUAUAUGCAUAUUCGCAGAACUGGACUACCCAGUUUCGUCAAUUUAAAAUUUCAGUUUCCUAAUUAAUUGAAAUACAAUAUAAAUUUAGGAUAUGUGUGAGACCCACAUAGAGGGUCAGAACGCCAUAUCCGGCAAUUUCCGAUCAUCUUCAAAGCAUUUGGAACAAGUAAAGAUAGUGUUGCAGUGCAUUUUUCUCAUGGCCCUGCAGUCAGCCUCUUCAAUCUUUCAUGCACCCUUGAAGAGUCUAUGCCGAUUCUAGAACAAACAGCCUGCAAAAAUCAAUCAAAUGACAUUAAUACUAAACAAAGACUGGCAAUGGAAUCAAUCUGUUCUAUUGCAUCUGAAGAUAUUUCUACCUGUGAAUAAACAAUAUAGUUGAUCCUAUCGCCAGCACGGGAGUAGCUAACAAAUACAACUGGAGCUGCUUCCUCCUCAAGAACAUCUAGGGCCCGGGUCAGGAUGAACUUGUCAUUUGACCUGCUAAUCAAACAUACCUCUACCGCAGAAUCCAAUUCUGUCACUGUGAAAACAGUUGACAUCGAGCCCCUCAUGUUAGUAUUCAACCAAGAUGAAUACCCUAAUUUCAUAUAUACUGGAAUAGUCUUGUUAAAAUCAACCAAGAUGAAUACCCUAAUUUCAUAUAUACUGGAAUAGUUAACAAGGUAAAUACCCUAAUUUCAUAUAUAUUGGAAUAUUUAACAAGGUGAAUACCCUAAUUUCAUAUAUACUGGAAUCUCCUGAUUAAAAACAAUGAGUAGAAAAAUAAUAGCGGAAGUAUACCUGAAUCCAUUGAAGAAGAAACCUUAUAGGAAGAAAACCCUUUGAGAUGGUCUUCCAAUUUUAGCCACUAGAUUCUGUGUCAAUUUCUCUCUGAGAGGAUUUUCAGAAAUUGGAAUGCGUAGUCGUAGAAUGGGGACCAUAACCCUAUUUAUAAACCGCUAGGGCAGUUUUAAUUUUAUCACAAUUAUAUUUCUGCCCCUCAUAGAAAUAAUAAUUGUCUAAUGGUAUCUACACAAUAAUCUCAUGACAAUUAUACCCUUAAGCCAAUUAAUCAAUUAUUAAUUAGAUCACUAUAUUUAGACUUAAUUAAAUGAUAGCACACACAUUUUAAUUAUUUACACGUGUGACCCAAAUUAUAGAUUAAUUACAAAAAUUAAUCUAACAAUCUCCCACUGGGCCACAUGCAUAUGUAAUCAAAUAAAUGUGUUAAACCUUAUGAGCUCAAAAUUUGCUAUCAUGUCCUUAGGGUAUAUCCGAACAAUCUCGUCCAUUAACUAUACUGACAUAGGAUCAAGGUGGCCUUUGUUACAUCAAUCGUUACUAGACCAAUCAAUGGUCACGUAUAUCUGCACAGCUAAAUGACAUAGAUCAAUCAUGAGUGCAUAGCAUGGAAAUUACAUGCAAUGUGAUCUAUUCAUGCCUAUUUCCAACUGGUCCAACUUAACUUUAUUGAGAUCAAAUCUUUAGCAUAAUUUAACAGAGUGCAAUAAAAUGAAUACUUUAUUUCUGCAGAACACAAUCCAAAUGUAUAGAUAAAGUCUAAACAUAACAUAGAGCAAUAUACAAUGAAUAAUAUAAACUCCCACUAAAUUUGGAUAUCCUCAAAUGAGACAACACCCAUAUGAGCAGUGUGCUCAUGAAAGACCUUGGGUGGU